rnacentral:lncRNA from 1 species
UUUCUGGCUUUUAAAGGGAGCAGCUUUCUUCGACCACCAAAAAAAGGAAGCUGCUUUUCGUGUGGUUGUGAUUUCCUGAGUGUAUGUGAGCGGGUCUAUGGCACUUGCACUUUUUGUGUCGGUUACGGUAACCGGGCGAGGUGGACACGGCGGCGUGGGACUGAAUUCGGAGAGGUGAGAAAAAUUAAAAACACAAAAAGAAGGUGUUCAUUUUGUCACAUUUUUAUUACUAAAAAUUCAAUAAAGUACAUUCAUUAGUAUGGUAACUUAACUAUUUAAUUCCAUCUCAUUAAACUAAAAAAAACAAUUACAUAAAAAUAAGGGAAACCUUGUCCAGAGAGACCUGAGAGAAAGUGACGACUUCUCCUCUCAUUCCACUCCAUACUUGAUCUCUAAAGUCCAUUUGGCAUGUAAUUGAUGUUCAAUUUCAAAUUUAGUGGUAGCAAUUAGCAAAGCUAAUGAAAGAAUAAAAUAAAAUGAAAGAAAAAGCAUCAUGAAAUAAAUCAAGAUGAAGAAUGAAAUUUUGGCAACUCGCCAUUCUCUUCUUUUAUACAAAAGAUACAUCCUAUUUGUAGUGAAAACAGGUCCCGACAAACCCAGUUAUCGUCAAGAAGUAUUUUGUAUGACUUUAAAAACAUAUUCCGAGAAAUUAUCUCUUGGCUGAGAACAACAACAAAUCUUCAUGCAUAGCUUGUAGAGAAAGACAUCAGGCAUACAAAAGAACACGCAAGCAUAAAAUAAACGACGCAGGGAAAACCAAAAAUACAAUUGGAUACGCUGUCAAAAGAACAUAAAUAAAUGAAAAUUACAAAACAAAGAAGUGAUGAGAAACCAAAGUACCCAUUUCAUAAUCUAAUUGCUUUUUAGUUUGCUUGCCAUUUUUAGUUCUUCAAUUUAGAGAGAAACCAUAAUUCAGCACAUGAAUAAAGUGAAAACAUAAAAGAUAUGUGGGAUAAGCUAACAGCCAUCCCUGAGUAAUGCAUUCACUUCUGAACCCCAAACACACCAAAACAAAAAUUCACACACAUGAACUACAGCUCUGCUAUGUAACAAGAAUUAAAAGCAUCUCAAAACAAAAUGGCAAACUAUAAGAGCAAUGUAAAAGUAAAAUUGCAAGAAAUCUAAUACUUGGAGGGCAAGUACUAAUCAGACGAAAAUGAAAGAUUGAACUACCUCGCGUGGAACUGUGCCUUGGUUUUUUCCCAUGCUUACAGGAAGCUUUGCACUGAGCUCUUAUAGCCCAAAUUUUCUCUGAAGGGAAAAAAACACAAUUUUGAAAUAAGAUUUUCAUAUUAUACCUUAAAGAGAAGAAUUAGACAACAAAAAAGAGAACAAUGAGUACUUUUCAUCAUAUAUUGUUAGAGUAUGUGGUCCUCUAGUCCAAUGGUCCUGCAGCCAUAUUUACUUUAUAACUCUUUCUUUAGUCUAAAAACAUCUUGGAUCUCAAAUUAAUAUGAAUACGGAUUCAUACGCAUGCAUUGCAUUACAAUCACAAUGCAACAUCUCAUUAGAAAUCCCCACACAAAAUUCUUUUAUUGCUACUUUGAUUUUAGUUUAUAUUUUUUCUGAAGCACGAGGGAGCUAAUUUUUUUUUAAAAAUUUUUUAUUCCAAUAAUGUUAUAGGGUUGAAAGGAUAUUAUCAAUUUAAUUGAUUGUAUUUGAUUGGUGGAACUUCUAUAUCUAUAUUUCAGGUUUUCAAAUUCAGCACUGGGAGAGUCAUUCAUAAAAUGUUUGACAGUGAGAUUACCUCCAUGGAUUAUGCUCACAAUGGACAGCUCAUUUUCCGCGGUGAUGGGACAAUAUAUUUCAGUCAUUCGCCAUUCAAUCAAUUCAAACCGAGGAACAAGCAACAUCAAGAAGAGGAUCUGCCAUGUCAGGAUCACUGUCGUCCAAUUAAUACAAAAAAUCUAGAUAAAAACGAUCAAUUUACAUAAAAGCCUUUCAUUUUCUCAGCAACCAAGCAAAAGAAAAUACCUAUCCGUUAAACACUCGAUUUGGGAGUAAACGUUGCUGAAACUGGACUUCAAUCCCCUCAACCGCAACAAUCGAAUCGAGGUGUGCAAGUCAUUGAAAAACUCACCCAAGAUUUCAAAAUCUGCAUAAAGAAAUAAAUAAGCACAUAAAUUAGCCAACCCUGUUAUGAUCCCACAUCGGGUACACAAGAAAUUGUGUAGUGGUACUUAAGUGCAAGGGGUCAUCCCACCUAUUGGACUAGUUUUUUGGAUUGGGCUCUUCCCUUGGGCUUGAGUACCUAACAUUGGUAUCAGAGCCUAGGUUCCCGACGCUGCGAGACUUGGCGAGUGGUGCCGCCUCAUGGUGCCGCCUUGGGAGUAUGGGCUCCCAAGGGUCUUGGAGACGGGCAAGGUAUGAAAUGUCGAUAUUAUCGCGAUAUUUCGCCGAUAAUAUCGGUUUUUUGAGUUACCGAUAUUUUAAUACUUAUCCACUGAGUUUUCGUCAAAAUAUCGCAAUAUUAUCGAUAAUAUCAACAAUAUCGCGAUAUUACCGAUAAUAUCGCGAUAUUUUGGAGAUGUGCGAAUCGGAGAAGAAGGCCGGAGCUUCUACAGCUCCUGCCGACUGUAAAAGAGCACCCUAGACUCCGAUCUAGGUAUCAAAAUGAAAUACAAGACGAGAGGAAUGUUUUUAUAACUUCCGUUUGCCGUGAAACGGUCGAAGGUGUUCGGAAAGUUCGUCGACACCCACGGCCUCGCCAGAGAUGGGUGUGCCUAUUCUCGAGCCGAUUUCGUCCCAAAAACCUUGCAAAAACACGAGAUAGAACUUAAAUUUCACAUCUAAGCUUCAAUCUAGAAUAGAAUGAGGUAAACCCGAAGCUUACCUAACCGGAGAAAUUCAAGAAACUCGCCAGAGGGUUCCUGCGUCGCCGAGUUGCAGAGACGAGAAAGAGAUGGAGAAAGACGAGGUUGCUGAUAACGAUGGGUGUCUUCCUCAAGCAGGUGCGAUGGUGUGCGUGUGUGUAUGUGGGUCUCGGUGCAGAGAGAAAGGAGAGAGAUGAGAGUUUCAAGAAAGAGACGGCGCCAACGAGAGCUAUUUGUUUUUUUUUAUCUUAAAAAGAGAGAGGUCUAAGAGAAAUGGGAAGAGAGGGCCGAGUGAAAUGAAAGGAGGUCCUUGAAUUAUUGAGAGAUAUCUCUGAGAGAGGCCUAGGAUUUCUAAAAGGUAAUUAGAAAUGGGAAAAAUGGGGCACAUCUUAGCCUUUAUUUUGGAAUCCUAAGAAGUUCACCACAUGGAUGCAUGACAUGUGUGCAUGCCAUGUCUGUUGAAUGGGAAAAGUCUGACAUGGAAAGACAAAGAGUCGUUUGGUCCUCUGGGCUCGAGGCAAGAUAGAAAGUGCUAGGGUUUUUUUUUCUGAAAUGAACAUAAGCUGCUAAAUUCGCAUAUAUUAUAGUUGUUGCUAAAGAUUGACACUAGUGCGGACUUGGACGUGUUGGUCAACAUGUCCUCACAAUCCCCAAGUUCUCCGGUUCGAACCCUUACGCCCAUCAAAUUUUUCUUUCUUUUCGAUGCGCUUUUUCCAUGGCUCUAGGUCUUGAUUUCGAAUCCAGGUGAGCCCUUUCCUUUUUCUUUUUUUUUUCUUUUUGUUUUAUUAUUUGUUUAUUUUAAUUUAUUUGUUUCUUUUAUGUUUUUCCUUUCUUUUAGUUUCUUUGUCUUAGGCGUUCGUGUUUAUUAAAGUAGGAUGUAAAAUCAAUUAUCUUAAAAUUAUGUGUUUUUAAAUUUUGGACUUGUUUGUUGGAUACUUUUUUUGCAUUUUAUCAUUAUUUUAUUAUGAAAAUAUGCUAAAAUAUGCUAAAAUAUCACUUAUGUUUUUGUGAAAAUAUGCUAAAAUAUUUAUAUAUAUGGUUUUGUUUUGAAUUCUUUUUGUACUAAUUCAUUAUAUAUAAAUGAUUAUGGUGUGUUUAAACUUCUUUAAUUAAUUACUACAUAUUUUCUAUACUCACAAUGUUUGCUAGCUCGCUAUAUAAUCAACUUAAAUCAGUAAAAUCCAUCAUGCAAUGCAUUUGCUUCCAAUUUUUUGUGAUAAACUAAUAGAUAAUUGAUUAAAUAAACAUCCUGCAAAGUUUCAAUAAAAAUUUCCAAGUUUUUCUUACAAUUUCUGUGGUUUCCAUAUUAUUUUUAUCAAUAUCGAUAAUAUCCCGAUAUUUCCAUCGAUAUUUCCGUGUUUUUGGACUACCGAUAUUUCCGAUAUCAUCGAUAUUUAUACCUUGGCGACGGGGGACUUGCCGACUGGUGCCGCCAUGGACGUUGGGUCUUUCGAAAGGUGGUGUAAUGUUAUGAUCCCACAUCGGCUACACAAGAAAUUGUGUAGUGGUACUUAAGUGCGAGGGGUCCUCCCACCUAUUGGACUAGUCUUUUGAGUUGGGCUCUUCCCUUAGGCUUGAGUACCUAACAAACCCAUAAAUCAAAGAAAUCAAAAUCCACCCAGAAUCAAAGAAAUCAAAAUCCAUCCAAAACCAAAGAAAUCAAAAUCACACACAGAUAUACAAGGUGUACAGUAUUGACAUGCCUUAAAUGAUAUUAUUCACAAGAUUUAUAAAGCUCAUGUUGUAAUACUUGUGCAGAAUCUAUCAUUCACGGCGUCACUUUUGUGCAAGUCGUAAAUAAAAUUAUUCACGAUUUAAACAUUGUGUGUCGUAUUUGACAAUUUAUACUACGCACUUUCUUUUUCUUUUAAAGCUUUGCGUUAUGUCGUAAAGUUGACUUUCUAUAUAUUUGGGUUGUACCUUUUAUGGCGCAAAUAACACGUCGUAAAUAAUGGCUUUUAGCACAGAAGUUUUGUGGUAAAGAAGCCCGCGCACUAAUUCAUUCUCGCGCCUUCUCUUUUUUAUUUAGCCGCUUCUUUUUUUGGUUUUUUUUUUUUUUAAAAUUCCCCUCAAAUCUUAAAAGGGUUUGUAUUUUCUUUGGUAAACUUGAAAGAGAAACAUUGCAAUUGCAUUUUCAUUUACCCAAUAUUAAUUGUCGAGAGCCCACCCCCUUCCCUUCUCUCUGACAUCGUAACUCUCUCCUCUCCAUCGAUCUCGCUCCAUCUGCUCGCCGUCGCUCUAUAUGCUCGUCAUCGCCGUCGAUUCGUCUGCUCGUCGUCACCGUCGCCCAUCUGCUUUCCGUCACCGUCGAAGUGCCCCGCCAUUCAAAAUCUGAAAUCCCCAAUACAGGGUGCUUUGCGGCAUUUCGUUCUCCAAAACUUUAGGUAUGCUCUCAAUCUGUAUCAACCCUAUCCUGUCACCUCUACUUCAAGGUGAACAAUUUAUAGUUUAUAAAUUUUACUUGUGUUAAUAUAUAUUUUUUGGUAAAUGUUAUGGAUAUUUUAUCAAAUCAGAGAGUAAAUUCGUAUUAAGUGAAGAUUGGCAAAGAACAUAUUGUUUUGAAAGGUUGAAUAAUGUUUGCAGAUCACAUAAAUCAGUAGUUGUCAAGUCCAUAAGAGAAGCAAGAAAUCGGAAAGCAAGGCUUCGACUAAAACCAAAUAAUGUCAAAUUAAUUCAAGAUUGGAAGACUUUCCUUGCAAAGUGUAAGCUCAUUUUCAUUUUCUUUCAUUUCUAAGAUUAGUUAUCUUCUUUUGAGUUCAAAAUUGGGUCAGAGAAAUCAAACUGAUAGUAGUUAAAAGUCUAUUUCAACACCAAGCCUUGUCUACACAAGAAUUUGGUGUUAGUUAAACAUGUGUAUGAUUCUAUCUUGAUUGCAUGUUAAUUUAGUUUGAAGAUAGAUUUGGUACAUGCUAGCUAAUUGAUACGUGAUAUGAAUCUUUGGUUUCCUUUUGAUAGGACAAAAGUGAAACAUUCAGAGAGAUGAAGUCUAAGCAACUCCGCACACAUGUAGUCGCAAGGGAUAUGGUAGGUUGGCCGAGGAUUUGGUAAUUACAUUUCAUUCUAGUGCCUUCUUUUCUACAGGACAAGAACAAUUUACUAAUUUUAUUCUGUGUUCUACUGUGUGUUUACUACAUAUAUGUUUCUAUUUUGUAGAAAAGAAAAAGUGUAGACCCUUCUCUAGUUUCUAGAGGUGAUGUUUGGAUUGCAGCACAUACUAAAAAGGGUGGUGGACCAUCCAAUUUGCUUGCUGCAGAGACUAUUGUAAGUAAUUUUUAACCAUUUAUUUCUUCUUGUUUGUUGAUAUGCAAUGACGGAUGAGGUCUUAACUUUGAUGUGCAACGUUAGGAAAAAAAUUAAGCAAUAUGGAAAUGGAUCAUCAUCUGGUUUUCGAGGUGACGUUCUUUCCAAAGUUUUUGGUGCUGAGCGACAUGGUCGUGCAAGAGGAGUUGGAGGUGGUGUUCCUCCUACAAAGCUUGGAAUAUUUUCACAACAAAAAUUGCGUAAUCACCAAAUGGAUGAAAAGGUGCACAAUUUAACUAAUCAGGUCAGAGCACUGACAGAAUUGGUGCAUCUUUUUAUGAAAAAUCAGGUUAGUGAUUUAAUAACAUUGGUAUCAUAUUGAAUAUUUGUGAAAUCAGUUGUAGUGACACAUCAAAUCACAGGGUAAUGAUCUACCAAGUGAGGCAUCUCCUGACACACAGGUUGCAGCUCCUGAGGCACAUGUUGAUACUGUCGCAAGAACUGAAACUCGUCUUUCCCAAUGCGCAACAAAUGAAUCGUGGUGGCGAGGUUGAUACACUUUUUCAAUGAGCCUUCUAACUAUUAAUGCUCAUUGACUCUGUUAAAAGCUCUGCCAUUUUCAAUCUAACUAGACACUAGAAAUGAUCAUUGACUCAGUUAAAAGUUUUGAUGCUUUGGUCCUUUUGCAUAGUUGCGCAUCUACUGAUUUCUAUUUUUUUUCAAAUCCUGCAGGUUAUUUCUGAAAACAUUGAAACAUCGUGGUGUGCCAGAUGGUUUGAUUAUAAGACACCUUCCUUUUGGUCCACCAACUUAUUUAUAACUGCUAAAUGGUACGUAGUGUGAUAAUUUUCAAAUAUUUUGAUAUUAAGACAGGUGUAGGACAACAUAGAAAUUCUUAGGGCCUUCAGCAACAAAAUUAUGAAAAAGUGAGUGAGAUACAAUUAAAAAAAUGAAAGAGAAGGAUCAUGAUUCAUGAUCUAAAGGUUUGAAUAGGGUAGAAAGGAUUUAGUUUCGUUGUUAAAAUCGAUUUGUGAGUCUAUUGUUAUUGUAUUGUCAAUUUGUUUAUUUACUUGAACUUCCUAGUAUCAAUUUGGUUCGAUAUAUCUAGCACCACCAUAGAUAUAUCUAGUAUCAAUUUGGUUAGAUAUUGUCAAUUUGUUAUUUUAUUGUCAACUAUAGAAUGUGCAUCAGUUGUAAAAGGAACAAAACAAUUCAGAUUUUUUGUUUAUGUCCAAACUUAGAAUUGUAUUGUAAUUGACAAUUUCUACUAAUUAAUCCAAGUAUUUGGAGUUUAAUAUGUUUAUGAUCAAUAUUGUUAUCCUUGUAUUGUAUCAGUUUAGAUGUUAUGAAGUGAGGUCUGUCUAAAAAUGAUAUGCUAAAUAUAGAUGUAAAUUACGGCAUCUAAAAUCAGCAAUAAUUGUUGAUGGUAGUCUUUUUUUUACGAUGUAUGCCGUAAUCACCUUCACAAUAUUACGACACUCAACAAAUGCUGUAUCAAAUAUAAAUUACUGCACACUAGUAUGUCGUAAUUGUUUUUCAGUAUUACGACACCCUAUUAACGCUGUAACUAAUACCAAUUAAGGCACGUAGGACAUGCCUUAAGAACAUUUAUGGCGUGUUUUACUUAAAUUAUUCACGACUAUUAGAGUACGUUGUAUUUGUCAAAACAUCUUUUACAACAGGGGCUUUUACUGCUUGGAGGCUCAAGCCGUGAAUUUCCAUUUAUGGCACCCUUUGUGCGCCGUAAAAGGCCAAUUCUAUUGUAGUGAUCCAUGGGUACAUUUUUAAUCUACAUGUUUCGUUUUAAUAUAUCUAUUGCUAUAAUAUGUUUUGGUUGGUUCAAAUUCGUUUUACAUAAAUAUAUGGGUACAAAGUUUUUGGAGAAUAUUAUGUAAAAUGGUUUUUAAGGUUGUUGCAUUUUAUGUACCCACAUAUGCAUGUCUAUAAAACAAUGUGGUAUGAUGUACAUUCUUUUCCUUGAGUUUUUAAAUGUACCCAUGAGUUUUCUUGUAAAUUCGGUAUGUAUCCAUAUGCUAUUUAUGUUAUGGGUACAUACAUUAUUUUUGGUCUAAGUUGGUGGGUACAUUGCUUUUGUAUGUAUGAAUUCAUUGGGUACAUUAUUUCCCUUAAUACUACUCAAUAAAAUUCACAAAAAUGUGCAGUGUGCAUGAAUUUUUAUUGUAGAAAUUGUUUUUUUUUAUUUUUAAUUUUUAAGUCUCAUAAUUCGUGAAUUUUGUACAUAUUGAUCCCAUAAAUUUUUGAAUUUUAUUAAAUUUUUUUUAGACUUGAUCGAUUGAUUGAAUCUCAUAAUAAUCCCUUAAAUGUUCCAAUCAAUAUUUUAAAAUACAGCUUUUUAUUUAAGAUUUCAAAAAGAUGACAUGAAAACAUAGUAAUACUAAAAUUUUGUUUUAAAUUACAUUUGUGUAACAAUCAAUGGUAUGUUAAAACUGGGCAAAAAAAAAAAUGGUAUAUUAAAAAAUUAUAAUUUAUUCUUUUUUUCAUAACUGUCUUCUGCUUAGAUUAAUUUUUUCCAACGUUUCUCUUCGGGAGAAUUAGUUCUUACCAAUAUAUAUGCACAUUAUCUGCUUUUUACCUGGUCUUAACACAUGAUUAAUUACUUUCCUACCUGCUAACGCGUUGACUUGCGCAUCCAAAGUAUUAUCAAAGUCACUGCCACCAAAAAGGUGCCCACUCCACAACCUUUGGUUGAACCAAAGAACAUCACAACAAUAAGGAAAUCGUUAAAUCUAUCUCCGCAACAUUUUUAUUAAUCAUUAGAUAGAUUAAACGAUCCCCCUAUUCAUAUUGUGUUCUUUUGUUGAACCAAACCAUGUCAACAAAAUAUAUCUAUGGUUAAAGCAUCUAGAUUCAAGCUUUUGGAUGUGCAACUUAAACCCCUCAAUGAAUAGCCAAGCAAUUUAUCAUGUGUUUACAGUAGGUCAAAAGAAGAAAGUGUUUGUCUAUAUAUUAAUAGGAACUAAUUCCUCUGAAGAGGAGAGAUGGAAGUGAUGAUAAUAAAAAAAAAAAAAGUCGUAUUCAGUGCACAAGGCUCCCGCUUUACGCAGGGUCUGAGAGAGGUGAAUGUCGGCUAGCCUUACCCCCAUUUUAUGGAGAGGCUGCUCCCAAGUCUCGAACCCGAGACCUACCGCUCAUGGGCGAAGACACUUGCCAUCGCACCAAGUGCGACCUCUAAGGGAUAAGAGAGUAAUCAUGAAAAUUUUGAAAGUGAAAGCAUUGCCUUGGAAUAUAUAUUCUCUUUAGGAAUUCUGUGCCCAACUAAAUUCUAGAUUCUCAAAAUAUGAAAUUAGCAACUUCACCAAACACUUGGACAUGUAACAGGUCACACGUAUGGUACCAACCUUACCAACCUUACCAACCAUCUAUAUACCUAUGUUUUCGAACAUCGUUAGAUAAUUAAAGUACAGUUCACACAGCAUUUCACAUAAAAAUGGCAUCAUACAACACAUGAGAAGUACUUCUUACAGUAGCAGUCUCGUAACAUGACUAUAGUUUUUGUUACUUCUUAAGAAAAAAGAGUUUAAAAUCCUAUUGAAAGAUAAUUGUAGAGACAGAAACCCAAACUAGUUAAUUAGGUUUCUUUACAUCUCAAUAAAAUUGAAGGGAAUGUAUCUAAUAUUAUCUACUAGAGCCUCUACAAUCAUCAUAGAAUCCACAACCCACAUUUUAAUUAAUCGAAAUUCCAUGAACACAAAUAAGCAAAAGUUGAGUGAAGCCUAAGCAAUAUGUGAUCAUUUAGAGAGUCAAACUCCAUCUUUUUAGAAUUAGGGACUUUUCAAUAUGAAAAGGUAACCUCCACAAUCCAAUAUCAUAUGAAAAGGAAAACCCAAGAAAAAUACAGUAUAAUUGUGUGCAAGAGCAACACAAAAAAAGUUGAAGAAUUAGAAAUCAUAAAGAGACUUGAGACGAUUGUUGCUCACUUAGCUAAAGAGCAUUUGCACUUGAGGUCUCGAGUUCGAUUGCCCCCUUUCUUUAGAUCGCUUGAGAGGAAAAACCUACCAUUCUCUAGUCUAAAGAUAUAUGCAUCUUUGACAUGAAUGACUAGAGGGGAAGAAAGUGCAGACAAAUCACACAUACCUUCAAAAAAUUUUAUGGGGUUGGUGAAUGGUGAUUAGGGAUACUGACUUUUAAUAGCCGUUGAUCAGUGUAUAUUGCACACGCCUUCAUCAAUGGCUAGCGUCGGUACAACUGUGAUUGGGAGGGCCUUUUUACGAUAAUAGAUGGGUAAAGGUUUCAUUAGAAGGGGAAUUUUGUUCUGGUUUGCCAUAAUAACUUGAAAUUAAUGGUUUUUUGUAAUCCUUAAGUUAUUGUCAUUUUAGGUUAACUUUGUACCUGGACUCUUUACUGGAGCUAUCAAUUGAAACCCCCAUUUUCUUACCAAAAUAUGAAAAACAAAGAGUCCCAUUUUUACAGCACAGUCCUACUCUAGUUGAAAUCCGAUCGACGGUCAAGAUUUUCUAGUCAUGUGAAAGUAUCACAUAUAUAAAAUUGACUGGAGAAGGCAUGCCACAUUGCCAUGCCCUUGACAGCUUUACUUUGUUUACAAACUUUCUAAAAGAAAGAAAGAAAAAAAUCUAAAAUGGAAGGUGAUAGCGAUUUUACCACUUGUAAAACAAAGGGUUAAACCAUAGAAAAUUCUUGCAAGAGAACAAGUGUUUGUAGUAUAGAAUGGCUCAAGCAAGGUCGAUCUCCUCAGGGACUGAUAUAAACAAUUUACGAGUUUUUAUGUAUUUAACUUAUUUAACUCUAAGAAUUACACUAAUUUAACGAAACUAAAUAUUAUUGGAUGUGACUUAAACAAAUAUCUAAAAUGGGAAUUGGUUUUAGGGAAUAAUGAUUCAACUUAAACAAAACAAGUAAAUGAGGAAAUUCAAGAUAAAAUAAAUGAUUAAGAAAAAUAGAUUGACAAUAUGCUAGAGUUCAACAUUUACCAACAACACUCUUACGUAGCUAUUCCAAUUGCUUAAAUAAUUGAAAACACAUAUGCUUUGAAUGUUGGAUUUUCCUUGUGUAUGUUUUACUUGUGACAUUCAAGCUAAAACGCAUACCACUACAUGCAACUUAUCCAUGACAUUUGAAUUAAAUAUAAACAUGAGUGAUUCAUUAAUCUUGGUGAAAAUCCUUUUGUUAAACCAUAUAAUCCCUAAGAGCAUGAUAUUUACCUUAGGAGAUUACAAUUCUCAAUCACAAGAAGCACAACCAAUUUUAACGUGACAUUCGUUCAAAAUUGCAUCCGAUAACUUUUCUAAGCAUCCUAAUGGUGAUCAAGCAUCAAGGUACAUAGAUAGUUUAAUUCAGUGAUUGAAAAUAUCAAAACAAGCAUGUAACAACACUUAAGCAAUUGAAAAAUAAAACUACGUAUUCAUGUUGCGGCUCAUGGCCUCACUCUAGCAUAAUACUUUAAAUAAUUAAAGCCCAAACAAUUUACCAAAUUUCAUCUCUGUACUCCGCAGAGACGCUAAACGAGACAUAUUUGGUCCAUCUCUGAACAUCUUUUCUUACUGUUCUUACAAUAGAAAGGGCACAAAAUUGACUUACACAGUCUUGCACAAUACUCACUUUGCUUCAACCCAUAUUUCACUUUGUCAAAUCAUACACGUUCCUGCAACAGGUGAACUCAUAUUUAUCUACCACUUCUUGCUAAUUUUAAUUUUUCCAUUCCCAUUUUUACUACAAGUUUUCACAUAAUUUUUUUAUUGCAUUUGUCAAUUCUUUAUACUUUUUAAUUGUAUUUUUUUUUUUGUCUUUUAUGUGUUUUCUAUGUUGGCACAAGGUUACAACAGUAUUAAACAAUUACAGGUCCUCCAGAGGUUUGCUUAUUGCCCUAUUUCAUCAAGCUCGGUAUAAAUAGAUCUUAAUUUUUUACUACAGUUAAAUACAUGGACAUGCCUCCACAAAUACAAAUUAGUUCUUGCUUAAAUACUUUGUGUGUUUACAUAGAAAAUGUUCCCAUCGUCUACCAAAAUCCUCCACACAUGAAAACAAAAAUUCUUACUCAAAAUACUUAUUACAAUACCACCAUAUCUGUUGUUUUUUAUUAAAUUAACACACUGUUUUCAAUUUUAUCUUCAACACAAAAGAAAAUGCUCUUACACAAUGUGUUUGCUUACAUUUUAUAACUUAUCUACCACAUGUUAAUCGCAGUUAUAUAAAUAGGAAAAUACGUGUUCAAUAGAAGUGUGAUGCAUGUCACUUCGUUAACAAUAGUGGAAACUAAACAAUUAAAUAAUUUGUUUCAAUUAGUUAGUACAUUUUAUAAAUUUCUCAAUUAGAACUGUUUCAGUAUAUUUAAUACAUUUUUAAACAACUUUCCAGUUAGUUGCCCAAACUAAUUAUUCCAGCUUAUUCACAGUAUAAUACCAACAAUUUAACAACCAAUGAUACUUCGUUUAACAUAAACUUCAUUUGGAAAAAACAAAAAAAAUCUUUUUCUCUGCUGAAAAAAUCAACAGAUUUAAUGAUGUAGAUCAGUUAUACCAACAAAUUACCAUAGUUUACCCAAUGCUAUACAGGUUUGACUUUUGUUUAUAUUCUUGGAUCUGUUGCUUGGUUGUAUAAUUUGGCUGUGUGUUUUGUUUCAGGACAAUUUGUUCUUCGUUUCUUGAGGCUUCUAUGUGUAGAUUUGAACCGUUUAGCUUUCAAACCGUUUAUACUCAAGGUAAAUAAUUUCGUUUGUUUCUUUUUAACCUUUUUUGUAAGAAUUUUUUAUUUAAUGUUGUGAGAGUUGUGUUUUCUAUAGUAUGGAAAUUGAAUCUUUGUGAUCUUAUAUCGUUAGAUACGUUGCUUGGUUAAUGUGAACACGGAAAAUUCCCGAAACGAAAAAGACAAGAACAACGUGCACAAACAAAUAUUUUGUAUUUGAUGAUUAUUUUGGGUUACAAUCUCUCUCUAAUUUGAUCCUCUGAUUCGAUCUCCGUAAGAUAUUGGUUUGUGGAUGUGCGAUUGAUCCAAGGGCCGUCGAGGCUUGAUCUUGGAUGAACGGUGAUGAACGGAUCUUCAAGGGCUUUUGGGCUUGAUCUUGAAGAAUAGUGAUGAACGGGUCUUCAAGGGCUUUUGGGCUUGAUCUUGAAGGAUGGUUGGAUGUGUGGAUUUGUCGACGUUGUUAAUCCAAAGGGCUGUUGGGGCUUGAUCUUAGGAUGAACGGAUGAUGAACGAAUAACACUUUCUUCAAGGGCCGUCGGGGCUUGAUUUUGAAUUGGUGAAAGUUCUUCAAGGGCCGUCGGGGCUUGAUCUUGAAGGUAGAUGAUUGUUGAUCCAAGGGCUGUCGGGGCUUGAUCUUGGAAGAACGAUGAACGAAGAACGAAGAAGGCUUUCUUGAUUCUUCGGGAACCUGGAUGCUUGAGAGCUUCGGAGUUUCAGAGCUUCAGAGCUUCAAGGUGUAAUAUGAAUUUGGUUCCCUUAAAUGAAUGAAAUUGGCUUCUAUUUAUAGAAUUUUCCAAGGCCUAAUUUUGAAUAUAAUAUUCCAGAUGAAAUAAGUCGUUUCUGCCAAGUGUUGACACGUGUCCUAUUUGAUGACUUUUCCGACUCAUUUCAAUUUUUCGUCGAGUCACACACUACGUGUAAAAUUUAUGUAAUACAUGAGCGUUGAAACUUUGAUUUAUCAGUCAACAUUUAUUUACCAAAAUUUCGAUGUCUACAAAUGCCCCCACUUCAAGGCGCGUCGUAUACAUGUGCUUGUCACGUGUAGGAGAUGCGUUUUGAAGUCCCCUUACUGUAGAUGUCGAUCCAAGGGCCGUCGAGGCUUGAUCUUGAACCGGGCUGGAGAUUUCUUCAAGGGCCGUUGAGGCUUGUUCUCGAACUUUGUUCGAAAUUUCUUCAAGGGCCGUUGAGGCUUGAUUUUGAAUUGGGCUGAAAGUUUCUUCAAGGGCCGUUGAGGCUUGAUCUUGAAUUGGGUUGAAAGUUUCUUCAAAGGCCGUUGAGGCUUGUUCUUGAACCUUGUUUGAAAUUUCUUCAAGGGCCGUCGAGGCUUGAUCUUGAAUUGGGCUGGAAGUUUCUUCAAGGGCCGUCGGGGCUUGAUUCUUGAAGGUGGAUGAUUGUUUAUUCAAGGGCCGUUGAGGCUUGUUCUUGAACCUUGUUUGAAAUUUCUUCAAGGGCCGUCGAGGCUUGAUCUUGAAUUGGGCUGGAAGUUUCUUUAAGGGCCGUCGGGGCUUGAUUCUUGAAGGUGGAUGAUUUUUUCUUCAAGGGCCGUUGAGGCUUGUUCUUGAACCUUGUUUGAAAUUUCUUCAAGGGUCGUCGAGGCUUGAUCUUGAAUUGGGCUGGAAGUUUCUUCAAGGGCCGUCGGGGCUUGAUUCUUGAAGGUGGACUCGAACACAUGGCAAGCAGGCACGAGGUGAAGGUGACGGUCUGUUUCUUUGCUCAAUCUUUCCAAGUGCCGACCGAUUGCUUUUCUUUCUCCUUGUCCCGCAGGCAAGAGCAAGGGUAAAAGAAAAGCAUGCCAUGAGAUAUCUUUGUUUUUGACUCUGAUGAUAUGAGGUACUUCUGCUUUUGAAGAAGUUGCGGAUGAAUCGACACGUGCUUUGUUGUGCUUGUCUCCACAUGCUCAGACUCUUGGCAGAAUGUGAAAGGUGGCAUUUUCUCGAGUUACUCAACUCAGACUCAUUCUGCUGAGUUGACUGUGCGGGCCGCAUUCUUCUCUGCUUGUUUCUUCUGGCAGCCUUGCUCUCGAGUACUCAUCUUUAACAUCUUAUGUUUCUUCUUUGUCUACCACACUGUGGAAGACGAGUACUCGAGAGUAAUACCAUGUAAGCAAUCAGAAAAGGGUUCCAAGCAGUCGGUUCCAGAUCGGAAGAUUGAUACCAAGUGUUGGCUGAUUGCUUUCCUUCUCAUUGUCCUACAGGUUAGAACAAAGACAAGGAAAAGGACACGGAGAAUGCAUGAUAUGAGAUACUCUUGCUUUCUCCCUUCAUGAUAUGAAAUACUUUUGCUUUUCAAGAUUUGUUUGCAGAGGUAUCCUAUGGGAUGAAGAACACUGAGUGAGUUGAGAGGGUUUGUUGGAAAGCCAUUUGUCGGAGAUGACGGAAUGUUAUGUAUGUCUGCCUUGCCAUGGAGCGUGAAGGUCGACAUUUGUAGGAAAUAAUAACUGGUACUGUUCUUUCACUCCUGUCGGCAACCGUUGGAUGAUUGAACAGUAAACUUCACGUGAUUUCCUCAAAGCUUUUUCUGCAUGCGACAAGUGCUGACGAGGCUGAGAGAGACAUGCGAUUGGAAUCGGCGCUUCGACAAACUUUUCCAUGAUUUUCGCAAAGCUGACGAGGCUGAGAAAGACAGAUGGUUUGGAAUCGGCGUUUCGAUAAACUGCCCGUGAUUUCCGCAACGCUGACGAGGCUGAGAAGGACAGAUGGUUUGGAAUCGGCGUUUCGACAAAUUGCCCGUGAUUUCUGCAACGCUGAGUUUGCGUGUGACAGGUGCUGACGAGGCUGAGAAAGCUGACACUUCUUCGAUUUUUGAGAUCAGUCCGUGAUCCUUGAGUAGGCCUAGCUUUGGAGAAAGCAGGCGCUUCAUCGAUCUCUGAACUCGCCUCUUCGAUCUCUGAAAGCCCAUCGCAUGCUGUUUUUUUAUAGAGGUACGCAAGACAUUCAAAGCACACUUGAAUUUCUACCUGUGAAAAAAAACUCCCCUUUUGCAUAUCUGAGAUCUUUAAUUUGCCCGACCUCUUCAUUUUGUUGAACACCUUCGGAAAUGUCUUUCCCAUCUGACCGUCGUCUUGACUUGAAUAUCGAAGAAGAUAUUGACAUGUCUUCUCCAGGCAACAUUUGGCAGCUGUCCUUCGUAUCCUCCAACGAACCUCUUACGGUUGGGGACACUGUGAUGAGGAAUGACGCAACGGCUGCAGUGGUUGCUAGAAAUCUUCUCACUCCUAGGGAUAGUAAGAUGCUUUCCAAGCGGUCCGACGAGAUGGCUGUUCAAGACUCUCUGGCCUUCAGCGUCCAAUGUGCGGGCUCAGUAUCAAACAUGGGCCAACGCCUUCUUGCUCGAUCUCGUCAGGUUGAGUCUUUGAUGGCCGAGGUGGCUAGUCUUCGGCAGGAGAUCAGAGGGCUUAGGCACGAGAAUAAAGAGUUGCAUAUGCUAGCAACUAGUUACUCAACGAGCAUGAAGAAGAAGCUAGACCAACUGCAGGAGUGUGAAGUUCGGGCUCGAAAUGAUCAUCAAAGGUUUAUGGCGUUACUCCCGAGGCAUCUUCUGCCUUCGUCAUCUGGCGCUUCACCAAAUGUUGAGGCUCCGGAAAAUCAAACUCUGGCGCUUCGUCUUUCUGGAGCUUUACCAAGUGUGGAGGCUUCAGUUGAUCCACCUCCGGUGCUUCGUCUUUCUGGAGCUCCGUCGAGUACUGAGGCACCACAUGAUCAUCCUUGAAGAUCCUUUCCUGUAAAUUUGAUUUGACUUUUUUUUUAAGGUAUGUAUAAUGUAAAAUUUCUAGAAAAAUAAAAUGGACUUUAUUUCUCUGAACAUGUUUUUUUUGUUUUUUUUUUUGGCUGUAUAUUUUCUCUUUAAUCAUGGUGCACCCAUUUUCCACAUGGUGCCAGACGGACCAAAGAUCAAACAUUUCCUUUUUUUAUUUUUUUAUUUUUUCUUUAAUCAUGGUGGCAGACGCAUAAACAAUUUCAUUUAUAUUUUUUUUUCUUUUUGCUGGCACAUGGUGCCAGAUGCACCAUUCAUUUAUAUAUAUUAUUAUAUAUGUUUUUUUUAUUUUUUUUUAUUUGCACAUGGUGCCUGAUGCACCACCUCUUUUUUUUUCACGUGGUGCCAGCAUCACUUUGCUCCACCAUCCAUUUUUUUUAUUUUUAUUUUCUGUAUAAAUUUGGGUGAUGGGUAGAGGAUUUUGCAGGCAGGGAGCAAGGAGGCCGAGAAGAUGGUGCUUCGAACUUCAUGACCGGCUAGUCGUUUGACGGCGGUCGUUGAAGUCGUUGGCAGUUGCGAGGCAAAAGACGGAGGAGAAGGUGGAGUAGGUGACCUUGAUGUCGGAUCCAGCUAGAACCCAGAGCACAGCGACUGAGCCCAAUCACCGAGCACAACCGCUGCACACCCGUUGUACUGCCACCGAGCACUGCCACUGCGCAUCUGUUGCACUGCCAAUUGCUGCAAAGGAUUAUGUUUAACGGCGGAGACGCUGCCCUAUUUGCCAUGCUAUGCCGACGUGCUUCACAUAAUUAACCAUCCAGAAUUGUUAAACAUUCCAUCUGGGUUUAUCGCAAAAACAGAAGAAGAAAAAAACCAAGAUCCAUCCAUGCCAAACACCAAUCUGCCAUCUUUUUGGGAUUUGUACGACAUCAUCAGCCAAAACCUGCUUGGUCCGCUCGCAAAUUGUGGGAGAGGAAGAGUUGGCGGAGCAGCUGUAACACUGGAAAAUGGAGGACGUUGACGAGUCCUCCAAGUUGUUCUUGACGUUGGUGCUGGAGAAACCUGCCUCUCUCAUGACUCUGCUGACACUUGGGUCGUCAAGGAUGGGGAUGAUGAGCUGCUCGAGCUCGACUUUGAUGGUUAAGAGCGGCUGCUGCUGCUGCUCGAUGCAGUCUCUUCUCUGAUGGGCUUGGGCUCUCUUGAGGGCGUUGGAGAGAGAGGGCUGCCCGUGGAGGAGAGGGCAUGGAGUUGUUGGGAGAAAUCAGGGCCGGAAUGGAAAAUAUUCCCGAGCUGCAUCAACGAGGAGAUAACACCGCUAAGUUAUUCAUCUGGUUUGCUUUAGUCAAAUGGAUCAAUCCGCGGGUCAUGCUCGCUUGCCAUCAUCAUCCCAGUGCACAGGCAUGUCGGGCACAUGACCUUUCCAGCACCAGAGCAAUUUGGGCACCUCUCAGUUGUGGGCACUCGCAAAGGUUGGUCUGAUGCACUAGAUGCUGAUAUAGGAUUGAUGUUCAAGCACACUCCACUUGCAGAACAUCUAGCACAGGCCAAGUACCCAGUUCCAUGGCAAUAUUUGCACCUUUUCUUCUCUUGCUGCUCAACAUUAUUAGCUUCAAUCAACAUCAAUGCUGAAAUGACACCCACUGCCCCACCGGAGAAGGAUGCCACAAUAGGAUCAACCUGACUUAAUUGUAAAGGCAGAUGCAUGCUACGAAUGAAAUCUUCAUACGAGGUACCUCCUAUACCUAAUUUUAGUUCCAACGAUGGCGCAAUGAGACCCCCAAAUACAAUUACACUAGAUAUCAUAGAUAAGCUUGUGAGGUAGAGCUGCUUCAACGUCUUUGGUGUCAUAUGAGGGAGAAAAGGGAUAGUGGAUGGAAUGUCAGGCAUCUCAUUUGACUCUUCCUCACAAGCCUCAUCCAUAUCUCUCGCCAUCUUUAUCCGUUGCUGCACCCGCAAUCUCCUUAGCUCUUCCAUGAGAAGAAAAAUCUUGUUGUGCCGGCUUCUUAUGUUGUCCUAAAUUUCCUGUAGUUGCAUCUGCACAAAGUCCUGCACCGUCUCCGGCUCUUCUAUGAUACAAAAAGUGCUUGGCGUGUUAUCGCCGGGGAAUGAUUCCUUGGAAGCAGAACAGGAAAUUUGGGGAUGCGGGGAGGUGAAUUUGGACAGAGAGAGACGUCUAGGGAUUCCAUGGGAGGGGGGUUGAGAGUGGUUUUUUGCCGGCGCCUCUAGGGUAGUCGUCGUUGGCUAUUGCUAUAGAGAGGUCAAUGACUUCACCGGAGAUGGCGUUGUUCUGGAGCCCGAGCGUGAGAAGCCGGGUGAGAUUGUCUGGAAAGGGUCCCCAGAGGUUGUUGUCGGCGAGGUCGAGAAGCUUGAGCUUGGUGCAAUUGACGAGAGGAGAAACGGUGUCGUUGAGGCGGUUGUUGUGGAGGUCGAAGAGUGAGCUGGGCGAGAUCAGAGAACCUUGACGAAUUCGGAGCGUUGAGGGUUAUCAACACGAUCCCAUCGACGAAGAAGAAGCAGAAUGGGCCUCUUGCGGGGCCUAUGGCAUCAACCGGUCUUUGGGCUUCUGGGCCAGUAAAUUGGAGAGAAGCCUGGGCUUUUGACUUGCAGAGAGAUUAGGCUCUGGGAGCCGCUUGUAGUAUUGUGGCUAAAGGGGUUGCUUCCUGUGGCCACUUAUAUAUAUAUAUUUUGUAAAUACAUAAAACAUUUAUCUCUUUUUUUUUCUUUUUUUUUUGUACAAAGAAAUUGUAAUAGCAUCAAAACUUUUAAUAAAAUCUUUAUUCCUUAUUUUGGUGUGACUGAACUCAAAUUUUGAAUAUUCGAGUUGCCUACGUACCUCUCCAAAGAAGAGAUCAAGUCGUAACGUAGUUCAAAUGAGUGAUGAAUUUAACAGUGAUUUUGAUGAUGAUUUUGUCGUACACAGUUUAUGCUCUUGCGGGCCAGGAGCUUUGGUUCGUGCAGUUUAGGCUCGUGCGAACAAGGAGUGUUGGUGUUGCCUUUUAUGCUCGUGCAGACCAGGAGCGUUGGUGUUGCCUUUUAUGCUCGUGUAGACCAGGAGCUUUGUGCCAUGCAGUUUAGACUCGUGCAGGCAAGGAGCGUUGGUGUUGCCUUUUAUGCUCGUGCAGACCAGGAGCGUUGGUGUUGCCUUUUAUGCUCGUGCAGACCAGGAGCUUUGUGCCAUGCAGUUUAGACUCGUGCAGGCAAGAAGUGUUGGUGUUGCCUUUUAUGCUCGUGCAGACUAGGAGCUUUGUUGUGCCAUGCAGUUUAGGCUCGUGCAGGCGAUGAGCUUUGGUUCAUGCAGUUUAGGCUCGUGCGAACAAUGAGCAUUGUGCCAUGCAGUUAGGCUCAUGCAGGCGAGGAGCGUUUAUUGGUUCGUCAAGCGAUCCAGGAGAGUCGUUCCUCGCAAUCUUCAUAGCAAGGAGCCUUGACUGAGUGAUUGAAGAAGUCUUUGGGGAAGAAAUCGCGCAUCGUGAUGGGGAUGGACGAUAUUUGUGUCGUCAUUUCAUCAUCUUCAACACUUUCACUUUUCUUUGAAGGUUGACAAGAGCUGCUUUGCCCCAUUUCCGAUUGGCGGACUUGUGGAUGAGACGUAUGCUUCUUCUGCAGUUUCUCUAGAGUGACAUGAGUCAUUCCUUCAACUUCGCUUGGCUCAACUGGCAUGGUUUUGGAGCAUGCCCCCAGCGAUUGAGGUGAAGAUUUUGAGUUGACAAAGCCGGAAGUGACGUCUUCUUCCAUGAUUUCAUCUUCUUUGUCUUCUUGGGCUUGUUGGCGUGAAGAUUGGCCGGCGUAGAUGAUGGUGCGCCUCUUUACCUUCAGUGGUCCUUUUGUGUCGACCUCCCAAGCUGUUUGGCGCUUUAUCCUUGAAUGAAUCAAGCUUCGAACGUCGUCUUUUCCUGCUAGACCGUCGAGCUUUUCUUCCUUUGGCGUUGUCUUCCUAUUUCUAGAAUGCUUCUUGGUUUCUUCAAGUUUUUCCAAAGCCGAUCGUUGGGGAGGAGAGCCAGCCUUGCUGCUUUGUUUCUUAGGUUUUGACAACCUUUCAAAAACAGAGCUUUGGGGUGUUGGCGUGUUAAGCCGUUUGAAGAUGGAAGUUCGGUCUUGCCCACCAAUGCGAUCAAGUGCCGACCUUCUGGGUUUUGAACGAUUCAGCCUAUCGAAGACUGACACUCGAAUAGGAGGUUGAGGCUCCUCUUGAUCUUGUUCAAUCCUCAAGCUGAUGUGUCGAGUGCUAGCAUUUUUUGCUUUACUUGAAAUCUUCACGGGUGCAUUUGGUGUGAAGCCAAGUCUAGCUCUGUUGUUGUCAACUCCGUAAUCAUGCUUUUCCAACUUCUUCUGAGUCUCGGUGAAGUCAUGAUCUUUGUCGUUGAUGGUGUUUGAAACCUUCUUCUCAAGAUUUGAAGAGGAAGCAAAGUCGUACCCAGCCUUUAACAUGAGUUCGUAGGCGUUUGGGUUGAGACCUUCUUCGGUCCUCUUAGUUGGAAUGAAGCUUGGGUUCGCUUUGACGCCAUGAUGCGCCUCCAGACGGUUGAUAAGUCCAACGGUUUGCAAGUUUUUCUCCUCCGCAGUCUUUAUCAGCCUUGCAAUUGUUUCCUUCAUCUGAACUAGUUGUUCUUCAAUAGAGGUAGCGCCGAUGGUCAUGACUUGUUCUUUGUUUGAAGCCAUGAAGUGUGCUUGAAUUUCUUGAACAGAGAAAGAGAUGAGAGGUAGAGAUUGUCCCACUGGGCGUGCCAAUUUGUGAACACGGAAAAUUCCCGAAACGAAAGAGACAAGAACAACGUGCACAAACAAAUAUUUUGUAUUUGAUGAUUAUUUUGGGUUACAAUCUCUCUCUAAUUUGAUCCUCUGAUUCGAUCUCCGUAAGGUAUUGGUUUGUGGAUGUGCGAUUGAUCCAAGGGCCGUCGAGGCUUGAUCUUGGAUGAACGGAUCUUCAAGGGCUUUUGGGCUUAAUCUUGAAGAAUAGUGAUGAACGGGUCUUCAAGGGCUUUUGGGCUUGAUCUUGAAGGAUGGUUGGAUGUGUGGAUUUGUCGACGUUGUUGAUCCAAAGGGCCGUUGGGGCUUGAUCUUAGGAUGAACGGAUGAUGAACGAAUAACACUUUCUUCAAGGGCCGUCGGGGCUUGAUCUUGAAUUGGUGAAAGUUCUUCAAGGGCCGUCGGGACUUGAUCUUGAAGGUAGAUGAUUGUUGAUCCAAGGGCCGUCGGGGCUUGAUCUUGGAAGAACGAUGAACGAAGAACGAAGAAGGCUUUCUUGGUUCUUCGGGAACCUGGAUGCUUGAGAGCUUCGGAGUUUCAGAGCUUCAGAGCUUCAAGGUGUAAUAUGAAUUUGGUUCCCCUAAAUGAAUGAAAUUGGCUUCUAUUUAUAGAAUUUUUCAAGGCCUAAUUUUGAAUAUAAUAUUCCAGAUGAAAUAAGUCGUUUCUGCCAAGUGUUGACACGUGUCUUAUUUGAUGACUUUUCCGACUCAUUUCAAUUUUUCGUCGAGUCACACACUACGUGUAAAAUUUAUGUAAUACAUGAGCGUUGAAACUUUGAUUUAUCAGUCAACAUUUAUUUACCAAAAUUUCGAUGUCUACAGUUAAAUGAUUUGGCUGUGUGCAUUGUUUCAGGACAAUUUGUUCUUCGUUUUUUGGGGCUUCUGUGCGUAGCUUUGAAGUCCUUUGUAGUCAACAUAAAUAAUUUUAUUUUUCUUUGUUUUUAGUCUUCUAUGUAAGAAUUUCUUAGUUAAUAUUCUGAGAAUUAUGUUUACUAUAGUAUGAAAAUUGAAUCUUUGUGAUCUUCGAAGUGUAACGUCAUUGCAACAUGGACGACUGCCAUUAUCGAACAUGAAAAACAUUUUGAUUUCUGUACUCCGUCUAGUAGAAAACUCUCGACUUCUUCAGAAACCACGAGAAACUUAAAACUGAGAAAGCUUCGCGGUCUCCCUUCCAUCUCUGCUACGCGGUCUCUGCUUUGCGAUCUCUGCUUCCUUCGUGAUUUCUUCCUUCCUGAACGACAUCUAUUCGAAUUGAAAACCUUCUGGAGCUCUCUUCCCCAAAUUUCAGCAGCAACUUUGCUCCAGAUCUUUCCAAUUGAAAUUCCUCUCCUUCACAUUUUGCAUAUUGAAUUUCGCAUCAUCAUCAUCUCCCUAGAACCUAGGAGUUCGGUUCGGUUUCGAGUUUUCCGACGGAAAUCCGGCGACAGCGGCCAUCGAGGUUGGUCUGAAACUAUUCCUCAUCACCACAGGUACUUUCUACACCUAUUACAUUUUAGAAAAAGUUUCAUGACUUUGUGGAAUCCAAUUUAACGAUUAGAAAAAUUUUCAUUAAUUUUCUGGGUUCGUGAGUUGGAGGGGGAUUAGAAAUUUUUUCAUUAUUUUUCUGGGUUUGUGGUUUUUUUUUUCCAAAACGUUUUUCCUUUCUACUAAUCCAAGUUCCUUCACAUCAAUCUCUCUGUUUUGUUCUUGAUCUUCCUCGAGUAGAAUACCUCUUCUUGCUCUGGAGCGCGUGGGCAGUCUCUCUAAGGCAGCCCAUGACGUCAUUUUCCGAUUCGACUCGGAGGAGGUUGGCUGCUCUUCUUGGCUGAGCUUCAUGGCUGGCCGAAUUCCCCUAUUCCCUUCCUCUUAUACUUUUUUAUAUUCGUUCACCAAAACAAUAGGAAAACGUCUCCGUCUGUUUGAUUGACGGCGAAAAAAAAAAAGACGGAGAAUAAAAGCCUGACGGAAGCUGAAAGCUUGGACUCUGUUUGUAUUUUUAAUGGAUUUUCAGAACACAGGUCAAGAAUAUUGCGAUUUGAGAAAAAAAGAAAGAACCACGUUGACAUAAUAUAUUCACAAUAGGUGUACAAGGUUCAUAAAGCUUUACUGUGGUUCCAUUUUUUGUUAAUGGAAUUAGCCUUUUGUUUUAGGAAGAACUUGGAACCCCCUCCGUCCAUUCUAUCCCCAAUGGAAUUAACACUUAGAUAGUACUAUGACAAUGUGUCAUUAUUUGAUGCAUACCUGUAUAAAUUUAGGCUAAGUGUUUUAUACACAAAUUGAUACAGAUUAACUAUACAAUGAUAACUAUAUACCGGAGAGCUAACUAUACAAUGAUACAUUCUUAUCUGUUAAUUAUCUUUGGUUACCAGCUAUCCAUGUUGCUGUCAUAUUAAACUACACAACAUCAGUUGUAAUUUAUGUCUUAUUAGUAUCAUCAUUUUUGUUCAUUAUUUCAAUGUCUAACAUAACUCCGCCUAUGUCUUACAUGGCCGGUCCCAAGCCCGGAUAAAGGAGGAGGGGGAGGGCGUCAGGUAGUCGACAGCCGGCACUCCAUGAUCACGUCGAAUCCUUAUGAAAAUGAAUCCAGAACAAAACCCCACUUAGUGGGAAAAGGCUUUGUUGUUGUUGUAUUUCAAUGUCUAACAUGAUGAUCUGGUUUCAAUUUGCUACAGGCAUUAUUUCCAGACAAUAGCUAUGGUUUUGAUUGUAGCGGUGACUGAAAAAUUAUUCCGAAACUAACAUUUGAGGAAUUCAAGGUUUGUUAGUUAAUUUGUACAUCAGAAUACCAUGACAAACUAUGAAGUUGUAAUUGUUGACCUUACAAUGUAUCUUUUUUGGUUUGGAGCAUUAGACUUAUAUGUGUUGCUUUCACCUCAUGAAGGCUAACUCUUUAUUUUAGGCCGUAAGAGUAUAAUUUCUUGGAGAAUCUACAUUGUUGAUAAUUUUUUGAACAAUAUUAUCCCCAAAAUUUCUCCGCAUGUUACCCUCAACGUAGACAUCAUAUAACCAUCAUUGAACUUCUGAACCAAAAAUUUGAGUUUUAUGAUUAUAACUAAACGUCUAUAAACACAUGAUACAGAUUGAGACGAAUGUCAAAUUUAAAAUGGCAUUAAUACAGCUGCAAACUCUGAUUUGCGGGAUUUGAAAUGGAGCAGUUACUUCUUGCUUCACUUCAGCAGCAUAGUCCAGCUUCUAAAUUCAGUUCUCAGGUAUGAGGUUUCUCAGUUACCUCUUUUUUGUAAUAAAACAUUUGAUCAGUACUUGCCAGGAUAUCCAAUUAAUUAGGUCAGUUUUUGUUAGCAGUAAUAAUUUGUUUUUGCAGCUUUAUAUGUGUCUCUGUCUCCAAAUAUGAUGAUCUCUUAAUUUGCUUCUAUAGCUUUUGUAAUAUAAUGAUCUCUUAAUUUUCUUUUGCAUAUCUUCUUUGCUUCCUCUGCUAGCUCUAUAUGAGAUUCCAUCUCCAAAUAAUUAUUCCUUAUUUCCUAUUUUUACCAGAAGCAAAUCAUUGAAUACACAUGGUAAAUUAAAAGGGUUUUAGUUUUUGGAGUAGUUUAAAUUUUUUGUUUGUUAUUGCUUGUAUUGCUGUUAAAUAUUUGAUGGGUAGUUUGAAAUGGGGAACUUGGUUGAUUGAGUAUUAACUUUUAUUAAAUUAAUAUUCUUAUUCAAUAUUGAAUUAAGACUCCUCUUAUUAAAUUAAGACUCUUAAGGCUCUAAUCUAAUGUUCAUGCUCAAUAUCUCCUCUAUCUUUCUACAAUUGGUAAAACUUUUGUAUUAUUAUUCCAAUUUUGGUUACUGGGUUGUGGAAUUUUCCAUUUUUUUUCUGGGUAAUCAAUACUAUAUAUAUGCAUGACAAGUAUAAACAAUAUUUUGGGGCAAAUUUAGUUGUUUAAUUUUUAAUUUUUAUGUGACAGUGAGAUUAUGGUAGGAUUUCGUUUAGAUUCUGCGGCCCAAUGGGAGUCUCUGCUUUGAUAAGAUUGGGGUUGAUGCCAAGAAAGCCAAUAAGCCUACUGUGGACGCCGUAGCCGCCUGGCGCUGUUUUCCAAAAUCCUCUCUCACUUGGUUAAGCAAUUAAGACUUUUUGGUUCAGUUUUUAUUAUGCCCAAUUUUGUAUUUAAACCUUAAAAAAAUUUAAACUGAUAUGGGGAUACUGAAAUAGGCUGCAGAGCUGCCAUCCCUGAAUCAGAAGAUGUUCAGAAGGAAGAAGAAGAACAAGAAGAAAGUCGUGGAAUAUCAAAAGCUUUUAGCUUUGUGAAGGUAUGCUUUUUCCCAACUCACCUCUUGCUUUUGUUGCACUGAAUUGGUAGAUUGGGUUCAAAAAUAUAUAUAUGUGAUUUUUCGUGUAACUAUUUCUUUACAUAAUUACCAAUUGGAGGUGAUUUGAGAUCAUGUAACAUUUCCUCGCUAGAACCGAAGAUUGCCGUCGCUCAGAGCUGCGUUUCAUGAAACAAGUUCAUCUCCUGCCAAUUUUGUGUACCCACCUUUUAUUCAUGAGGGUUGGUGCUUGCUUGCAACACAAUUUGGUGCUAUUAAGUUUUGCGGUUUUACAAUUUGUUCAUGCUUAAACCUCUUUCAAAUUUUCAUUUCUAUGUAAAUCUUGCAGGUAGGACGACACACCUAUCUUGGCAAUGUCGGGAUGUCUAGGCUUGGGUGGAGACGUGGUCUUAUGGAAGAGGUGAAGUAGCUUAGCUCGAUCUCAUUAGCUCUUAUCUGUUCUAUUAUGCUAAGAUCAAUAGUAAAAAGUUCUAUUGAUUUUAUAAUCAAAGAUACAUAUAUUAUAGAAACAGAGGGUAUAUAAUUAAUUUCUUGAUGUAAACAAUUAUAACUUGAGGAACCAUUUAAAGUAUUUUGGUAAUCAGCAUACUUAAACUUAAAUGUGAUAUAUCCGUUUAGUAUUUUUUUUAUACAGUGAUAAUACUUAAGUAUAAUUUACAUCAUAUAUCUUUUGAAGUACAUGAAACUAUGAAGAAAAUGAUAAACCAAAUCCCAUUCCAUCUCUGUUUGCUACUGCACAAUCACAAUCCAAUUCCAACAUGGAAUCCUCAGACGACAUGCCUACUGCAGAACAAGUUUCAUCCUGACUUAACUUAUAUUUAGUCCACGUCCUGUUUAGAUUGUAAUCCUAGUUCUACGUGUGUUUGUAUAGUACUCCUAUAAAUAUCAAUGAACAUCGCUCACUCUAAUUAAGAGUUGAGAUUCUGCAAAUCAUAUUUACUAUCUUUCAUGGUAUCACGAGCCAGCGUCUAACGACAACGGUUCCUAUUAUAAUUUUUUUCUCUUUUGCAGAUCCUAAACUAUGGCAUCUUCUUCCUCCUCCGCUGCUCCCUCCAUCACAAAUUUUCUUACGAUCAAGCUCGACCGCAACAACUACCCUCUUUGGCAUGCUCAGUUUCUUCCCUUGCUGCGCAGCCGCAACUUACUCUCUUAUGUUACUGGCGAAACUCAAUGCCCCUCUUUCUUCUUGAUGACAAUGGUAAAUUCACCGAUAAAGUCAAUCCAUUAUAUAAUGAAUGGAUCCAGACUGACCAGAUGAUCCUAUCUUGGAUUACGAGUUCUCUUACUCCCAAGGUUCUUGCUACGAUCGUCAACAAAAUUGAUUCGGCCUCUGCUUGGUCGUCAAACUCGAAUUAAUCUGAUUGUGAGGGUUUUGUUUUAUAUCAAUAUAUUGCAACAGAAGUCACACUUUGAAGAGUUCAUGCUGCACAGAAAGAUGAUGAAAUGCUACCCGUUGAGUCUAUCAUUGCUCCAUUGGAGACAGAGCUGAAGCUUACUGCAGGAGUUAUACAUUUGUUAUGCAAUAUGACCCCUUUAAUUUUAUUUUAAAACUGAUACAAAAAUACUACAAAAAUUUAUGUAGUAUUUUUGUAUCAGUUUUGAGUGUCUAUUUUGGCUUCCAUAUAUCGUCUGUACAUGUGAGAGGUAUAGUGUUCAAUAUGUAUUUGGUUUCUAUAUUGUUAAUGGAUCCUUUUUUUUUUUUUAAUUUUAAUAUAAUUUUAUUAAGGUAACCAAGUUGCAGGAUGACAUCAGAACACUUGAUCUGCAGGUAAACCUUCAAUUUCCAUAUGAAGUUUGCAUGUUCGUUGUUUCUGGAAUUUGAGUUUUUAUUAUUUCUCAAUUCUAUCACAUAGAUUACGAUUUCACAUAUGUGAUUAUUAAUGGCAAUUAUAUGAUAGAAGAAUUGGGAUUGGAAGAAGAUAUUGAGUUGUUUAUUUAUGGGGAUUAGAAAAUGAUUAUCAUACAAGUGAUAUUUAUUUUUGUGUGGAUUGUUAAUAUAUAAAACUAUAAGCUUUUGAGAUUGGGAGAUAAAACCCACAAAUUCAAAUCAGACAAAAUAAAUAAAAAAUUUAACUGACUUAAAGAUCAAACUCCAAAAGGGUAUUAAAAACAAGGCUUAUUUGAUCCAUUGAGUGUGAAAGUUUUGAGCUUUGAAGAAGCAUAGGAGGAGAGUUGUUAACCAAGCUGCAUUAUCCAUGUAUUAGGAUGUUGAGGGUAGGCAGGAAAAAUACUUUUUGACGCCAUAUCCAGAGGAGCAUAACGACAGGCCUGCAUUUUUGCAGCAAGGACCAAAACAAGUAGAAGUGAAGGCUUGACUGUUUGGGUAUUAAUCCUAAACCUAAUUAUUCUUAUUUAGGUUUAGGAUAAAUGAUUGAGUGUGUCUCGAUGAUUGUAUUACCAUGUUUGAUGAAUGACUUGAGGAGUUGGAAAUGGUUUAUUGCUUAUGUUUUUCUUAGGUGUGUACUUUGGUUAUUUCCGAGCUUUUCACGACUCUUGAUACCUAAUAGAGAAAAUGGAAACCCCAACUUUAAUUUUAUGAAUUGGUUUUGGUGCCUAAAAUGAAAUCUAGCAUAGUGAAAUCUUGCAUAAUGAAAUUAUGACAAAUUUCCCUUCAUCUUUAGAUUUUCAUUUAGUUCAAUUUGUAUGCAAUUUAGGGUUAUUCAAUUCAUGAGUGAUCAAAUUAUGUUUUUAAUUCCUUCUUCUUUUGAUUUACAGUUCAACAUUGUCGUACAAAAUGAAAAAGGUGCCAGUAACAUAGUUAUGGAUUUGGAUGCCUUUAGCGGAAUAAAACUGAAUUUUUUAACUUUGUAUAGUUGUAAACAUAAAAUACUCCAUCAGAUAGACUCAUAGCAUUUGAAAACAAUCCUUGAGGAUGGCAUAACAACAUCUCCAACUUUUGUCAUGUAAUGUAUGAAUGUAAAUAGCACUUUGUAAACAUAUGGAUGUAAUAUAUGUAUAUAAACAGUCUUUAGCAUGUAUAUUUUUCAAAACUUUCUACAUCUUCAACAAUGUUUCAAUGAUUUCUUGAUGUAAACAAUGAUAAUUUGAAGAACCAUUUAAAGUUUUCGGUAAUCAGCAUACUUAAGCUUAAAUGUGAUAUAUCCGUUUAGUAUUUUUUAUACAGUGAUAAUACUCAAGUAUAAUUUACAUCAUAUAUCUUUUGAAGUACAUGAAACUAUGAAGAAAAAACCCUAAUUAAUCUGAUUAUGGGGGUUUUGUUUUAUAUCAAAAUAUUGCAGCAGAAGUCACACUUUGAAGAGUUCACGCUGCACAGAAAGACGAUGAAAUGCUAUCUGUUGAGUCCAUCAUUGCUCCAUUGGAGACAGAGCUGAAGCUUGCUGCAGGUGGUAUACUUUUGUUCUGCAAUAUGACCCCUUUAAUUUUAUUUUAAGACAGAUAGGGUUGAAAAGAAUUUAUGUAGUAUUUUUGUAUCAGUUUUGAAUGUCUAUUUUGACUUCCAUAUUUGGUCUGUACAUGUGAGGUAUAGAGUGUUCAAUAUGUAUUUGGUUUCUAUAUUGUUAAUGGAUCUUUUUUUUUUGUUUUUUAGGUAACCAAGUUGCAGGAUGAAAACAAAACACUUGAUCAGCAGGUAAACCUUCAAUUUCCAUAUGAAGUUUGCAUUUUUGUUGUUUCUGGAAUUUGAGUUUUUUGCAGGAUGAAAACAGAACACUUAAUCUGCAGGUAAACACUUGAUUUGUUAUUUCCAAGCUUUUCACGACUUUCGAUACCCAAUAGAGAAUAUGGAAACCCCAACUUUAAUUUUAUGAAUUUGUUUUGGUGCCUAAAAUGAAAUCUAGCAUAGUGAAAUCUUGCAUAAUGAAAUUAUGACAAAUUUCCCUUCAUCUUUACAUUUUCAUUUAGUUCAAAUCGUAUGGUUUAGGGUUAUUCAAUUCAUGAGUGAUCAAAUUAGGUUUUUAAUUCCUUCUUCUUUUGAUUUUCAGUUCAGCAUUGUCGUAUUUUGGAUGCCUUUAGUGGAAUAAAACUGAAUUUUUUUAACUUUGUAUAGUUGUAAACAUAAAAUACUCCAUGAGAUAGACUCAUAACUUUUGAAAACAAUCUUUGAGGAGGGCAUAACAACAUCUCCAACUUUUGUCAUGUAAUGUAUGAAUGUAAAUAGCACUUUGUAAACAUAUGUAUGUAAUAUAUGUAUAUAAACACCACUCUUUAGCAUAUAUAUUUUUCAAAACUUUCUACAUCUUCAACAAUGUUUCAAGCCCCGCGGCAACGGGCGGGUACACUUGCUAGUAUACAUCUAAAAUUAUAAGACUAAAUCCUUUAGUUCUUGGAUUCAUCUAAGAACUACUUAUUCCAGCAGAUGCUAUGCUUGCACUACUAGAAUUUAUGGCUUGCCCUGUCAACUAUUGCGCGACAGAAGAUUUCGUCGGUUUCACCUUUUUUAACCGACAGAAUAUAAGUUUAGUAGGGCAAAAUCAGUCAACAAACUGGGUUGAUUGAAUAAAUUUACAGGAUGGCUAGAGUUCGUAGGUUAAGACAUCGGUCGUUGGGCAAACAUUUGGAGCGAAGAUGUGAGUGUUUUAACUGACGAAUAAGCUGGUCGUCAUGUAGAUCUUCUUUCCCGACGGACGGUUCAACAGGUAGCUCUUUGGAUAAUAAUUCAUCUUCAAGGGGAACAGGUUGCCCCUCAGAUGAAUGGUUAGAGGCAAUUGUGAGACUAUAAUUUUCUAGGGCCGGAAUAAAAAAUACAUAAACCCUCACCUAUUCUGUCUCUGUAACCAUCCACCAAAUACCCAUUUUUCCCUUUCUAUUUCUCUCCUAGUAAUUUCCCCUGACCGAAUCACACAAUCCAACCAACUCUCUUUAAGCCUCCCUCACUGAUUCCAUGGAUUUCAUGGACUUAUCCCACCCUCUCUCCUUCCUUCUAUAUAUAGCAAGUCCCCUUGCCUCAGUGUCCCUGGCAACAGAAUUUAUGGCGUUUCUUCGUUCUUUCAAUUAUUUGAAAGCUUCCCUGCCCUGCAAUCUUGUAUAAAGGCGUAUGGUGUUUCAUCAGUUCCAUUUGGUGGUCGGGUGGGAAAUGAAAUUAAAACACUGCAUUUCAAAUGCAUUUCAAAUGGUCUAAACCAAAUUGAAUCAAAUGUGAAGCAAAGGGCAAGAGGUGUAGAUUGAAGAACAAUGGCACCAAGAGCGAAAUUGAACUUGUUGACAGGAGGAAACCAAGUAAGGAUAACACGUCUAAAUCUUAUUUUGAAUCCAUUCAGCUCAUGAUGUUUUGAAUGAUGAUGAUCGGUAUACUCUGCUACAUGCUGUGAUUUUUCCGCUUUCAUGUAAUUAACGGCUUAUAUUUGUGGUAACCAUAUUGAUUAAAAAAGGUCGUACCCAGUGCACAAGGCUCCCGCUUUACGCAGGGUCUGAAAGGUGAAUGUCGGCUAGCCUUACCCCCAUUUUAUGGAGAGGCUGCUCCAAAGUCUCAAACCCAAGACCUACCGCUCAUGGGCGAAGACACUUGCCAUCGCACCAAGUGCGAUAUUGAUUAAUUUCGAGAAAUGACAGUCUAAUUUUUGCAACUGUCUUUUGCAGGCAAAACAAAGACGUUUGCAAGGGUGAGUUGUGUAGGAGCUUUGUUUCAUGUCCAAAGGACACUUGAGAAUAAAUGUUUACACUCAUGGAUAAUAUCUAUCUAUUUGCAGGAGUAACCCUGGGUUCAUUUGUUCUGUAACUGCUGGUCAUUGCGGCAUAUCACGCCUAUAGCACUGACAAAAGUAAAAAGAGAAUCGAAUGAAAUUUGAUAAGUUUUCAGCGGACUACAAAGAUCUUAAGCCAAGCAUAUAUUCCCAUGCAGAUAUUAAGAGGUUUACAAAUCAAUUCAAGUACAAGUUGGGCCAAGGAGCAUACGGAACUAUUUUUAAAGGAAUGCUUUUUUCUGAAUGCUUUGUUGCCAUGAAGUACUUAACAAUGGGCCAUAUUCACCAUGUCAAUGUGGUUCACUUGGUUGGUUUUUGUGCUGAUGGAUUUAGAUGAGCUCUGGUUUAUGAGUUCUUUUCCUUUGGUUCACUCCAGGAUUAUAUUUCAUCAGUAGAUAGAUUUCUUUCCUUGGUUGGCAUAAGUUACAAGAUAUUGCUAUCAGCAUAGCCAAAGGAACCAAGGAUGUGAUCUACAAAUCCUCCAUUUCGAUAUCAAACCCCAUAAUGUUUUGCUCAACCAAAAAAUCACGCCAAAAAUCUCUGAUUUUGGUCUGGCCAAGUUAUGUUCCAAGGAUCAAUCGGCGUGACUAAAGCAAGGGGGACUAUGUGACUAAAGCACCCGAAGUGUUUUCCAGGAAUUUCGGAAAUGUGUCUUACAAGGCAGAUGUCUUGAAUGCUGCUGCUUGAGAUGGUAGGAGAAAAGAAGAAUAUUGGUUCAACCAGAGGACACGACAAAUGAAAUCUACUAUCCAAAAUGGAUUUAUAAUCUUCUAGAGGAAGGAAAUGACCAACAGAUCCCUAUUGAGGAAGAAUGUUAUGGUAAGAUUCCAAAGCAACUUGCAAGUUUAGGGCUCUGGUGCAGCCAGUGACACUCAGUGGAUCGGCGGUCCAUGAAAACGGUGGUUCGGAUGUUAGGAGGAGGAGAAAACUUGAUGAUGCAAGCAACCCUAAAAGCCUCAUACAGUUAGAAGCAAUUGCUGAAUUAGAGUAACAUACGUAUAUGUAUACGCACCAACACAAGUCGUUCUUAGAUGAAUCCAAGCCAAACAAUUACAGACAAUAGUUAUUCACUAAAUCACUUUAAGGCAAGAAUUUAAUUAAUAAUACAUUACUGCACUUUCUUAACCAUUUGACUAUCACCUAGCUGACAAUGAACACGUUAGCUCCGCGUUAGAACAUCUUGGGUUCAAUUCAUUGUCUUGAAUAUCACCCACUGUCACAGGCGUCUUUUGGGGGCAUAGAGAAGGCCUGAGAGGCAUUUGCAGACAUUCAACAUCUCCUCCAAGCAUUUUGACAACUUUGGACAUCGAAGGGCGAUCACUUGGUUUCAUUUGAAUACACCACAAGGCGGUUAUAACCAUCUUUCUUAUUACUUUCUUUUCCUCCUCUGUAACAUUGUCCAUUUCCAAGUCAUUUCCUACAAUAUACUGAUCGUAUACCCACAUUGGGAAGUAGAUUUGGCUUGAAUGCUCUACCGUUGGAUUCAAAUUCCUCCUUCUGCUUGCCAUUUCCAUCAACAACAUUCCAAAACUAUAGACAUCUGACUUAUAUGAGACGCCUCCAAUAUUUUUGUAGAACAACUCAGGAGCAAUAUAUCCCAGUGUACCCCGUGCUGCUGUCAAAGAGACAAUGCUAUUAUCUACAUGAUACAAUUUUGCAAGCCCAAAGUCAGAAACCUUUGCUUUAAAGUUCUCAUCAAGAAGGAUGUUAUGAGGCUUGAUGUCGAAAUGUAGAAUUUGCAUUUCGCAACCUUGGUGUAGAUAUUCGAUCCCUUGAGCCACUCCAAGAGAAAUCUCGUACAUGUUCUUGAUAGUUAAGGGGACACUUCCUUCUUUGGAAUAAAUGUAUUUAUCAAGAGAACCAUUAGGCAUGAAGUCAUAGACUAGAGCGCGUUUUGAUCCCUCAACAUAGUAUCCAACAAGUUGCACCACAUUGGCAUGGUGAAUCCUUCCGAUUGUAGCUAAUUCGCUAAUGAAAUCUUGGCCAUCAGCUUUGGGCUUGGCCAAAACUUUAACUGCUACAAAUCGACCACUGCGUAGCUUUCCCUUAAAUACAGAGCCAAAGCCACCUUUGCCCAACUUGUCCUUAAACUUGCGAGUCAUUUUCUUGACGUCCGAGUAAGAGUACCUUAUAGGCAUGAAGUUGUUAUUGCAUUGCAGAAAAUCUUCUAUUGUGCUAUACAUUGAUAAAUGUCUUCUGCGCCAUGUGUAGAUUAGAAAUGCAGUCACAAUUGGAACUCCAAAAACAAAUCUGGCUAGGAAAAAUAACCCUACAUGCAUUGACAUUAAUAUGUUAGAUCCACUGCGUACUACUUUUUCUUCCCUUUCUUUCCAAAUUACUUUGUCUUUGAUGUAAUUAAAGAGAGAAUGGGAAAUGUACAUAUGUUGAUAAUACAAUCUCGUCUUAGUCCUUACCGAUGCAUAUGAGUAUAAACCAUACACGUACUGCAACAAAAUCAAUCGACUAUGAGUUUGAAAAGUGCAUAAAGUGAAAAAAAAAUAAAAAAAAUCAAAGGGUGCCUUUAUUGACAUCCAAAUUUUAGUUAGUUUUACUCAACUAAAAAAUUUUUGUCAUCAAACUUUUUAAUUUGCCGUCGAAAUUGAGUUCACCCAACCCACAAAGCAGCAACUACCACUCACCAAAAAAACCAACAACACACAGCCACCAGUACCAUUCACCAAUAGAAAGAGAAGGAACACACAGACCCACCAAGGAGCCGGCAUCGACGCGUCUACGAGGGAGGGACCGGAGGGUGGUGUAGUUUUGUUGGGCGCGCGGUAGUGGUUUUGUCUGUUCAUUUUCUCUUUGUUUUGGUAGGUGGAGGCUGGUGUGGAUUUGGGCGAACUUAAAAAUGAGGGGAAACUAUGAAGUUUGACAAAAUGUUUUAGUUAGGUGAACUUCACUAAAAUUUGGGUGCCGAUAAAGAUACCCAAAAUCAAAAGACUAGAUGGACUAAUUAAAUGAAGCUCUUACCCAUAUAUAACGAUGGACGCAACUUGCCAGCUGCUGCAGUACAUACCACGGAAAAGUGAGCAAAGACAUACAGUUACUAGGUUUAAGAAGUACAGAUAGAGCACACAAAAAAUAAAAGAAGCUUUUGGGAAGAAACUUCUUACGCAAAUAGAUUUUUUUCAUGACCUACAGUAAAAAAAUGUCAAGAAGAAUACACAACAUUAGCAAUAGCUCACCCAGUCUUCAAAAUUUAAAAAAUCAAGUUUGUCGAUCGAAAACUUGUAAAUAAAACAAAAAGAGGACCCCUUACCGAUUUGUUGCCAUAGAUAUUGAAAGAAACCUACAAGAACAAAGAAAGAACAAGACCACAUGCAUUAGAAUAACAAGUGUGAGGUGUAUAAGCCGUUAGAAAAUAAAUUUAAAAUUCUAGUGCUGUCAAUACAUUGAUAAUAUAUAUAUAUAUAUAUAUAUAUAUAUAUAUAUGUAUGUAUGUAUUAUUUUUUCUGAAAAUUUAACUUUUCCCGUCCAAACUCAUUUUUCUAGUCUCUAGCCCAACAUAUAAUAUUUAUCUGAAUAAAACCAAAUGAUUAGGAUCCAACUAAGAAACUUACCAAAUUAAGUUUGUGUGUCCAUUUUUAUAUUUUUUGGAUCCCUAAUAUACCCCAUCUAAGCCAGUAUGGAAAGGUCUUGUAAUUUUGCUUUAAGUGAUUACGUGCAUUGAAUUUGGCAAGGUCUUAUAGCCAUGAAAUAUGGUUCUAGAUGGAGGAAUUAAUUUGGAAUUUUUUUUAAUUUCGACAACAAAUUUCAAUUUGAAUAUACCUAAUUUAGUGUUUAUUUUCAACAAUAAAUGUGCCUACUUUUUAAAUUUGUAACAAAAUUAAUUUACCUACUUUUUAUGGUAUUAGUGACACACCCUGUCCCGAAGGAGGGCAUGCUGGCCGUCACGAGAGAGUGACGUAACCAUUUGCACAGUACGGAAGCUUUAAGAUACAAUUUAUAAGUUGAUACACCCGAAGGUGAGUCCUAAUUUUUGUCCAAUCUGUCAGAACACCGUCAAAUUCCUCGUAGUCACCACACCUUUGUGAUUCCUGAACCUGGAGGGGCGCAAAACCAAAAUUGAGUGGGUCAGUAAAACAAUUCUUUUCCAAAUCCAAACAUUUCUCAAAACGUUGUAACCCUCUCCGUAAAACUUGUAUACUUUCCCAGAAAUGUAAAAUAUAAAUAUACAUAUAUAUUCUCAAACUUCAUUUUUACUAUCUCAACAUUUUUCUUUAUCAAACAUGCCAUGCCAUGUCUAAUUCAACAGUUAAGUAUGGAUGCAUCAACAAUAAUCAUAUCAGGUGCAAGAAAGUAAUCAACCGGAGGCCCUCUAAUAGCCCUGUACGGUUGAACCUAGAGCUCAAAAUCUAUCACUCUCACUCUGCCGGGAGUCACCUCUGUGACCUGUCCGGCCUUCUGCACACAAGUUACGCUCUAGUGCUUUCUCAUCAAUCAUCUGUGCACAUAAUCUAAGGUCACCCACCAGUCGAAAUCUCACUAACACUCUUCGACUGGCCCGUCGCACCCACUCCGCGUGGACUGUGCGACCAGCAUCUACUUGGAUCCAAGGCGAGCGUGCGAUGCGGUGAAUACUAUAAGCACUAAACCAUGGUGCAGGAUUUGAGCUCAAUAUAUAUCAACAUCAUCAUAACAGUACUUAAAUACUCACCUGAUACUCACCUGUGCGUCCGCCGCACCAAUUCAUACAUAUGCAUCAUAUUUCAAUUCAUAUCAUUUCAUGCAUGGCAAUUCGAUUCACAUUUCUAUAUACAUUUCAUAUACUUCUAUGCAUGACCUUUCAAUUCACGUUUUCAUAUAAUUCUAUAUACCUUUCAUUUAAAACAUAAUUUCAUUCUAAUUCAAUUUCUGGGAAAACGUCAAGUAUAUAUAUACGGAAAACAAAACUGCCCACUCACCUGGAGUUCGUCCAACAACUCCCUAGCACCACACAUCAAGGCGUCAUGACGAUCGCCGUCUAGAACAGUAAUCAAAUCCAGCCUCAGAAUUCAUAUCGAUAGAACAUAUAACUUAUAUAAAAUAUGUCACUACGUAGAUCGAUCCGGAAGAUCUGCCACUCAGAUUUUAAAUCCAUAACUUCCAGAGGUCCACAAUAUAUCUCUAGGAUAACAUCCUAAAAUUUCAUUACCAUCCAACGGUCGGAUCUCCGUCAAUUUCCAAAACUAAGUGACGGUUAACAUUUUAUUUUAUGAACUUACAAUUCUAAUUCCGGAAGAUCCGUAACUCGGAUUCCCAAUCCGUAAGUUCCAAUAAUCCUCAAAUAUUACGUAUUACAACGUAUCAAAGUUUGGUAACGAUCCAACGGUCGGAUCAUCAAUUCACAUUUUCACCUAAUGCGAAAACUAUAAAACGUUAUUCGAACACCUAACCAACAAUCCUUAAUAACUUUCUCAUACGGUGUUCAAUUUGGGUAUAUGAAUAUACCACAGUGAUCUACUCAUUAAAAUAAUUUUUUACUGUAGCACGCGCCCCCACGCGCCAAGGAAGGCACGGACCUACGCGCCCCCACGCGCACCUUCUUCUUCCUUGGGUCGCCGGACUGGUUUUUCCGGCGGCCGUUUUUCAAAUUGCCAUAACUUUGUCAUUUCUCAACGAAAUCAAGUGAUUCAAAAACGAAAGUUGUAGCCCUUGAAGAGACAAAGAGAAUGGUACCUUGCACAACACCUAGUUCGCCGUGGUUUGGCCGGAAACUGCUUCGAAAGCCUCGGAGGUCGCCAGAAACUGGGUAUUUUUCAAAUCAGUAUAACUUCUUCAAUACUCAACGAAAUUGAGUGAAACAAAAAGGAAAGUUGUAGUACUUGACGAGACGAAGAGAUUGAUACCUACCUCGACUCCUAACUCACCGGAUAUUCGCCGGAAAAUGCCUCGAAAGCUCCGGCCAAACUUUGAACUUGUCGAUCUCCGUGUUCUUACAUCCAAAAACUUCCAACGAAGCACUCCGAGCUUCCUUGGGACCUCACUAAGCUCGCUAUGAUCUUGUUUUAGCCUAAAACGUAGUCAUUUAGAAGAUCAUGAACAAUACCAUUUCACGGGAACUUUGAAACUAGGGUUUUCCGAAGCAAAACUUACCUGAAAUGGAUACCAUCGUGAUCGUGGAGGUUCCAGGAGUUUGAUGGUGGUCUUAACUCUGUCGUUGGUGGAAGUUUAAGGUUGUUUUGUGGUUGGUUUGUUCGAACGGAGAAGAAGAGUGACAGAGAGAGUGAGAGAGUCGUGAGGGAAGAGAGAGAGAGACAGCAUGCAGAAAAUAGGGAGAGGAUUGAGGGGUGUGGGGAUCCCACGUGGUCCUUUUCCAAUCCCCAACUCCAAACCAUAAAAUUUUAACCUAAAAAUCUAAGUUCAAUCCUUAAUAAAUUCCAUUUUAUUUUCAAAACUUAGGAACCUAGAUAAUUAUCAACUUGAGCUUCACAUACUUAGUAUUUCUUAAGGGCAAUUUCGUUCAUUCACAGCCACGAAUGUAAUAUUUUGGAACGGGCUGUGACAAUUAGUAUACAUAAAUGUAGAAUAUAUGUCCGUAUAUAUUUGAUCCAAUUAGUAUUAGGGAGAAUGACAAGUCAUCCAAGUCUGCUACUGUUAAUAAUUCUGUUACUGUAAAUUAACUGAUUGUAUUAGUUGUGAUUAGUUAAGAUAGUUAUAAAGUAGUUAGGGGUAUCUAUGUAAAUAGCCAAAGGCUAUAUAUAUUCCUACACAAUGUGUAAAGUUCUCAGUCAAGUAAAUACAAUCAAGAAAACUUACUGUUGAAGUUUUCUGUUUCUACAUGGUAUCACGCCAUUCCGCUUCACAGCUUCGAUCUUUCUCUUCGCUUGCUGCAUCGAUCGACUCUUGAUCGAUUUUUCUUCUCUGAUCUUCUCUUCGCUUGCUGCAUCGAUCGACUCAUGAUCGAUUUUUCUUCUCUGAUCGUCACUUCUUCCCUUCCGAUCUUGUAGUAUUUUCUUGAUUUCUGUCAGUAAUGGCGGCUCAAUCGACUGGUUCAUCUUCUCCGGUCAUCUCCCCCUCGAGCCCAAACCCUAAUUUUCUCUGGAAACCCUAAUUCCUCUGGAAAUCCGAGUCCUCUGACUUCCUACACUUCUCUCUCACAAUUCAUAACAUCGGCAGCAUGGUGCCGAUCAAGCUCAAAAGAUCCAAUUACCUACCAUGGCGCGCCCUGUUUGGCCCGAUUUUCCGGCGAUACAAGCUUCUUGGAGUAAUCGAUGGUACUGACGUCUGUCCAUCGCCAUUUCUGCCUGAUCGUAGCAUCAAUCCUGCUUUUGAGGACUGGUAUGAGAAAGAUCAAAAUCUUUUUGAUCUGGUUGAAUUCCACACUUUCUGAGGAAAUCAUCCCGUUCACGGUUGGGGUUUCAUCCUCUCGAGAACUUUGGGUAAAGCUUGAACAGCGCUUUGGUGGAAUUUCAGAGGCUCAUAUCCAUCAGUUGCGAUCGCGCCUUCAAUCUGUUCAGAAAGGAUCGCGUUCUAUCUCUGACUAUCUUCAAGAACUCAAGGAAAUUUCAGAUUCUCUGCAAGCUGCUGGUGCUUCUGUCUCUGAUCGAGAUCUUAUCGCCGCCACACUACAUGGCUUGCCUGAUGAAUUUGAGUCUUUCAUCGACUGUAUCAUGCUCCGAUUGUCCUCUACCUCUCUGAUGAACUUCAUGGCCUCCUUCUCACAAAGGAAUUGUCUAUGGCCAGACGCAAAACUGUCAGUUCAUCUCCUGUCCCUGAAUCUUUUCAGGCUUUCUCGGUGCAGUCUCAGCCUCAUCUCCUUCCUACUCCAUCUGCUUUUGCUGCUCAGAAUCUCCCUCUUCAAUCUGCAUCUCGGUUCAACUCUAAUCGUGGCAGGAACACUAAGGGCCAGUUCUUUUCCAAUCGAGGUCAUCGAGGUAAUCGUGGUAAUUUUCCUAAUAAACCGUGGCAAUCGAGGUUAUCAAGGAUUUCGCAGCAAUCAAGGCUCUUCUCACUUCAAAGUGCUUUGUCAAAUCUGUGGUUCUACCAGUCAUGAGGCUAUUGACUGCUUUGAUCGUAUGAAUCCUGACAUCUUGUGGUCGUAUUCCUCCAGCUAAGCUUGCUGCCAUGUGUGCCACAACAUUCUGCUAAACCAUCUCAGCCUUGGUUAAUUGAUUCAGGGGCAACCUCUCAUAUCACUAAUGAUGUUGCUAACCUCACCUCUCCUACUCCCUACACUGGCGAGGAUUAAAGUGUAUAUUGGAGAUGGUAAAGGUUUAUCCAUCCUCAAUGUUGGUUCAUCUACUCUGCACACCUCUCAUAAUUCUUUUCAAUUGCGAAAUGUUUUACAUGUUCCCCACAUAACCCAUAAUCUUAUCUGCUUAUCAGUUUUGUUAAUGAUAAUAAUUGUUCAUUGACACUUGACCCUUAUGGAUCCUAUGUCAAGGAUCGUAUUUCGGGGAAGAUGCUUUUACGGGGACCGGUUAGAGAUGGCUUCUAUCCUCUUCAAAGUUCCAGCAAUCUUCAUCCUCUUUCACAUACCGCUUUACUUAGUAUUAAAGCUCCAGUUACAAUUUGGCACAAGCGUUUGGGUCACCCUUCCUCCUCCAUUUUUAGAAGGCUCCUUUCAUCCAAUAAUCUUGCUUUACAAGGCAAGUCUACUGUGGACUUUUUCUGUUCGGAUUGUGCUCUUGCCAAGAAUCAUAAGCUUCCAUUUAAAGCUGCUACUUCAUCAUCAACUCACAGCCUUCAACUACUGCACUGUGAUCUGUGGGGACCUGCCUCAAUCACAUCAAGUAGUGGUUUUCAAUAUUAUUUGCUCAUUGUUGAUGACUAUAGCAAAUAUAGUUGGUUCUUUCCUUUGAAAUCUAAGUCAGAUGUAUUUUCUACAUUUGUUGUCUUCAAAUCAUAUGUAGAAAAUUCACUUGGAAAUAAAAUAAAGGUUCUGCGUUCAGAUUCAGGGGGUGAAUUUACUAGUCACUCUUUUGCAUCAUAUCUCAGCAAACAUGGCAUUCUUCAUCAGUUCAGUUGUCCCCACACCCCUGAGCAAAAUGGUUGUGCAGAAAGAAAGCACAGGCACCUUGUUGAAAACAGCUCGCACUUUGCUUCUUGCAUUCUCAUGUCCCUCAUAUUUUCUGGGUUGAAGCAUUCUCCACUGCUAUCUAUCUUAUUAAUCGCCUUCCUAUUUCUGGCAUUUCACAGUCCCCUUGGCAGUUGCUAUUUCACAACCAUCCAGACUACUCUAAGCUCAAAGUAUUUGGUUGCCAAUGCUUUCCUUGGCUCAAACCUUACUUUCAUAGCAAAUUGGAUCCCAAGAGCAAAAAGUGUGUUUUCUUGGGGUAUAGUCUUCAACACAAAGGCUAUAGGUGCCUUGAUCCUAUCACCAAUCGCAUCUACAUCUCUCGUCAUGUCUGUAUUCGAUGAAAGUACUUAUCCAUUUCAGUUGUCCCACAUUCAACACUCUUUUCCUGUUCCAAGUCCUCCAUCUUCCUCACCAACAAUUUCUUCCUCUCUGGAUCUUCAUUUUUUAGCAAACACAUUCCUCCUGUUUUCAGUCAGCCAUCUACAUCACCAUUAUGUGCUUCUGUGCCUGUUCCUAUUUCUUCAUCUUCAUCUUCCCCUGCACCUGUCUCAGUUGGCUCUUCUUUCCAGUUUUGUUCCUCCUUCAGCACAUUCAUCUUUCUCCCAAAAUCAACAGAGUCAUCCUCCUGCCCCUGUUAAUUCUCAUCCAAUGAUUACUAGAUCCAAGGCUGGUAUACUCACGUCGAGAGCCUGUGCAGCAACUAAGCACCCACUUCCGGUUGAUAUGGAUUAUGUUCCUACAACAUACUUGCAAGCUUCUAAGCAUGCUCAUUGGAGGCAAGCUAUGCAAGAUGAAUUUAAUGCCUUGCUAACCACUGGUUACUUUGGUCUCUUGUUCCUUCUCACCAUUCUCAAAACUUAGUGGGCUGCAAGUGGGUUUUCCGGAUUAAGAAGAAGCCCGAUGGCACUGUUGACAGAUAUAAAGCCCGGCUUGUGGCCAAGGGUUUUCAUCAACAAGAAGGUAUUGACUUUUCAAGAAAACCUUCAGUCCAGUUGCCAAACCGGUUACAAUUCGGAUCCUUCUUACCCUUUGCUGUGCAAUAUAAUUGGUUUCUCAAUCAAUUGGACAUUAGUAAUGCCUUUCUUCAUGGAGACUUAAAGAGAGGAUGUCUACAUGCAACAACCCCCUGGUUUUGUUGAUCCCUUUACCCUACAUUUUGUAAGUUGAGGAAAUCGUUGUAUGGUCUCAAACAAGCUCCUCGAGCUUGGUUUGAUAAACUGUUCCAAGCUCUUCCUCUCUUGGAUUCACCCAAUCAUCCUCAGAUGCUUCUUUAUUUGUUCUCAAUGGUCCUCAGUUUAGUCAUUGUCCUUGUCUAUGUUGAUGACAUUCUUGUCACCGGACCCUAUCCUUACCUCUGUCAACACUUCAUUCAGCAACUUGGGGCUCAAUUUCCAGUAAAAGACCUUGGUCCUCUUCAUUAUUUCUUGGGAUUAGAAGUACAUCGAUCUUCCCAGGGUAUAUUUCUCCAUCAAACAAAGUACUUAUUGGAUCUUCUCAAGAAAACAAAUAUGGAGGGUGCAAAACCUUGUUGUACUCCCCUUGGCUCUAAGAAAUUAGAUCACAGUGGCCCUCUUCUGUCCAAUCCUACUGAAUAUCGCUCCAUUGUUGGUGGUUUACAAUAUCUUACUUGGACUAGACCCGACCUUGCUUUUGCUGUGAACCAAAUCUGCCAAUUCAUGCAUGCUCCCAGGGAACAACAUCUCCAGGCAGCAAAAAGGGUUCUCAGAUUUCUCAAAGGCUCUAUCUCACAUGGUGUGUGGUUCACUAAAGGCCCUGUCCAUCUUUCUGCCUACUCGGAUGCCGACUGGGCUGGUUGCACAAUUGACAGGAGAUCAACCACUGGUUAUUGUGUAUUUUUGGGUUCCAAUCUUAUCAGCUGGAGUGCCAAGAAGCAAAGUACUGUUGCCAAGGUCCUCUACAGAGGCUGAAUAUCGCUCCUUAGCUCACACAGCUGCUGAGAUAACUUGGGUUUGCAGAUUCUCAAAGAUCUGCACUAUCCUCUCUCUUACAUUCCCUACUUUUGGUGUGACAACAUAUCAGCAAUAUCUUUAGCAUCUAAUCCUGUCUUUCAUGCUCGAACAAAGCAUGUUGAGAUCGAUUAUCNGAAGUUUUCUGUUUUCUACAUGGUAUCACGCCAUUCCGCUUCACAGCUUCGAUCUUUCUCUUCGCUUGCUGCAUCGAUCGACUCUUGAUCGAUUUUUCUUCUCUGAUCUUCUCUUCGCUUGCUGCAUCGAUCGACUCAUGAUCGAUUUUUCUUCUCUGAUCGUCACUUCUUCCCUUCCGAUCUUGUAGUAUUUCUUGAUUUCUGUCAGUAAUGGCGGCUCAAUCGACUGGUUCAUCUUCUCCGGUCAUCUCCCCCUCGAGCCCAAACCCUAAUUUCUCUGGAAACCCUAAUUCCUCUGGAAAUCCGAGUCCUCUGGACUUCCUACACUUCUCUCACAAUUCAUAACAUCGGCAGCAUGGUGCCGAUCAAGCUCAAAAGAUCCAAUUACCUACCAUGGCGCGGCCCUGUUUGGCCCGAUUUUCCGGCGAUACAAGCUUCUUGGAGUAAUCGAUGGUACUGACGUCUGUCCAUCGCCAUUUCUGCCUGAUCGUAGCAUCAAUCCUGCUUUUGAGGACUGGUAUGAGAAAGAUCAAAAUCUUUUGAUCUGGUUGAAUUCCACACUUUCUGAGGAAAUCAUCCCGUUCACGGUUGGGGUUUCAUCCUCUCGAGAACUUUGGGUAAAGCUUGAACACAGCGCUUUGGUGGAAUUUCAGAGGCUCAUAUCCAUCAGUUGCGAUCGCGCCUUCAAUCUGUUCAGAAAGGAUCGCGUUCUAUCUCUGACUAUCUUCAAGAACUCAAGGAAAUUUCAGAUUCUCUGCAAGCUGCUGGUGCUUCUGUCUCUGAUCGAGAUCUUAUCGCCGCCACACUACAUGGCUUGCCUGAUGAAUUUGAGUCUUUCAUCGACUGUAUCAUGCUCCGAUUGUCCUCUACCUCUCUUGAUGAACUUCAUGGCCUCCUUCUCACAAAGGAAUUGUCUAUGGCCAGACGCAAAAACUGUCAGUUCAUCUUCCUGUCCCUGAAUCUUUUCAGGCUUUCUCGGUGCAGUCUCAGCCUCAUCUCCUUCCUACUCCAUCUGCUUUUGCUGCUCAGAAUCUCCCUCUUCAAUCUGCAUCUCGGUUCAACUCUAAUCGUGGCAGGAACACUAAGGGCCAGUUCUUUUCCAAUCGAGGUCAUCGAGGUAAUCGUGGUAAUUUUCCUAAUAACCGUGGCAAUCGAGGUUAUCAAGGAUUUCGCAGCAAUCAAGGCUCUUCUCACUUCAAAGUGCUUUGUCAAAUCUGUGGUUCUACCAGUCAUGAGGCUAUUGACUGCUUUGAUCGUAUGAAUCCUGACAUCUGUGGUCGUAUUCCUCCAGCUAAGCUUGCUGCCAUGUGUGCACAACAUUCUGCUAAACCAUCUCAGCCUUGGUUAAUUGAUUCAGGGGCAACCUCUCAUAUCACUAAUGAUGUUGCUAACCUCACCUCUCCUACUCCCUACACUGGCGAGGAUAAAGUGUAUAUUGGAGAUGGUAAAGGUUUAUCCAUCCUCAAUGUUGGUUCAUCUACUCUGCACACCUCUCAUAAUUCUUUUCAAUUGCGAAAUGUUUUACAUGUUCCCCACAUAACCCAUAAUCUCUUAUCUGCUUAUCAGUUUGUUAAUGAUAAUAAUUGUUCAUUGACACUUGACCCUUAUGGAUCCUAUGUCAAGGAUCGUAUUUCGGGGAAGAUGCUUUUACGGGGACCGGUUAGAGAUGGCUUCUAUCCUCUUCAAAGUUCCAGCAAUCUUCAUCCUCUUUCACAUACCGCUUUACUUAGUAUUAAAGCUCCAGUUACAAUUUGGCACAAGCGUUUGGGUCACCCUUCCUCCUCCAUUUUUAGAAGGCUCCUUUCAUCCAAUAAUCUUGCUUUACAAGGCAAGUCUACUGUGGACUUUUUCUGUUCGGAUUGUGCUCUUGCCAAGAAUCAUAAGCUUCCAUUUAAAGCUGCUACUUCAUCAUCAACUCACAGCCUUCAACUACUGCACUGUGAUCUGUGGGGACCUGCCUCAAUCACAUCAAGUAGUGGUUUUCAAUAUUUAUUUGCUCAUUGUUGAUGACUAUAGCAAAUAUAGUUGGUUCUUUCCUUUGAAAUCUAAGUCAGAUGUAUUUUCUACAUUUGUUGUCUUCAAAUCAUAUGUAGAAAAUUCACUUGGAAAUAAAAUAAAGGUUCUGCGUUCAGAUUCAGGGGGUGAAUUUACUAGUCACUCUUUUGCAUCAUAUCUCAGCAAACAUGGCAUUCUUCAUCAGUUCAGUUGUCCCCACACCCCUGAGCAAAAUGGUUGUGCAGAAAGAAAGCACAGGCACCUUGUUGAAACAGCUCGCACUUUGCUUCUUGCAUCUCAUGUCCCUCAUAUUUUCUGGGUUGAAGCAUUCUCCACUGCUAUCUAUCUUAUUAAUCGCCUUCCUAUUUCUGGCAUUUCACAGUCCCCUUGGCAGUUGCUAUUUCACAACCAUCCAGACUACUCUAAGCUCAAAGUAUUUGGUUGCCAAUGCUUUCCUUGGCUCAAACCUUACUUUCAUAGCAAAUUGGAUCCCAAGAGCAAAAAGUGUGUUUUCUUGGGGUAUAGUCUUCAACACAAAGGCUAUAGGUGCCUUGAUCCUAUCACCAAUCGCAUCUACAUCUCUCGUCAUGUUGUAUUCGAUGAAAGUACUUAUCCAUUUCAGUUGUCCCACAUUCAACACUCUUUUCCUGUUCCAAGUCCUCCAUCUUCCUCACCAACAAUUUCUUCCUCUCUGGAUCUUCAUUUUAGCAAACACAUUCCUCCUGUUUUCAGUCAGCCAUCUACAUCACCAUUAUGUGCUUCUGUGCCUGUUCCUAUUUCUUCAUCUUCAUCUUCCCCUGCACCUGUCUCAGUUGGCUCUUCUUCCAGUUUUGUUCCUCCUUCAGCACAUUCAUCUUUCUCCCAAAAUCAACAGAGUCAUCCUCCUGCCCCUGUUAAUUCUCAUCCAAUGAUUACUAGAUCCAAGGCUGGUAUACUCACGUCGAGAGCCUGUGCAGCAACUAAGCACCCACUUCCGGUUGAUAUGGAUUAUGUUCCUACAACAUACUUUGCAAGCUUCUAAAGCAUGCUCAUUGGAGGCAAGCUAUGCAAGAUGAAUUUAAUGCCUUGCUAACCACUGGUUACUUGGUCUCUUGUUCCUUCUCACCAUUCUCAAAACUUAGUGGGCUGCAAGUGGGUUUUCCGGAUUAAGAAGAAGCCCGAUGGCACUGUUGACAGAUAUAAAGCCCGGCUUGUGGCCAAGGGUUUUCAUCAACAAGAAGGUAUUGACUUUCAAGAAAACCUUCAGUCCAGUUGCCAAACCGGUUACAAUUCGGAUCCUUCUUACCCUUGCUGUGCAAUAUAAUUGGUUUCUCAAUCAAUUGGACAUUAGUAAUGCCUUUCUUCAUGGAGACUUAAAGGAGGAUGUCUACAUGCAACAACCCCCUGGUUUUGUUGAUCCCUUACACCCUACAUCUGUUUGUAAGUUGAGGAAAUCGUUGUAUGGUCUCAAACAAGCUCCUCGAGCUUGGUUUGAUAAACUGUUCCAAGCUCUUCACUCUCUUGGAUUCACCCAAUCAUCCUCAGAUGCUUCUUUAUUUGUUCUCAAUGGUCCUCAGUUUAGUCAUUGUCCUUGUCUAUGUUGAUGACAUUCUUGUCACCGGACCCUAUCCUUACCUCUGUCAACACUUCAUUCAGCAACUUGGGGCUCAAUUUCCAGUAAAAGACCUUGGUCCUCUUCAUUAUUUCUUGGGAUUAGAAGUACAUCGAUCUUCCCAGGGUAUAUUUCUCCAUCAAACAAAGUACUUAUUGGAUCUUCUCAAGAAAACAAAUAUGGAGGGUGCAAAACCUUGUUGUACUCCCCUUGGCUCUAAGAAAUUAGAUCACAGUGGCCCUCUUCUGUCCAAUCCUACUGAAUAUCGCUCCAUUGUUGGUGGUUUACAAUAUCUUACUUGGACUAGACCCGACCUUUGCUUUUGCUGUGAACCAAAUCUGCCAAUUCAUGCAUGCUCCCAGGGAACAACAUCUCCAGGCAGCAAAAAGGGUUCUCAGAUUUCUCAAAGGCUCUAUCUCACAUGGUGUGUGGUUCACUAAAGGCCCUGUCCAUCUUUCUGCCUACUCGGAUGCCGACUGGGCUGGUUGCACAAUUGACAGGAGAUCAACCACUGGUUAUUGUGUAUUUUUGGGUUCCAAUCUUAUCAGCUGGAGUGCCAAGAAGCAAAGUACUGUUGCAAGGUCCUCUACAGAGGCUGAAUAUCGCUCCUUAGCUCACACAGCUGCUGAGAUAACUUGGGUUUGCAAGAUUCUCAAAGAUCUGCACUAUCCUCUCUCUACAUUCCCUACUCUUUGGUGUGACAACAUAUCAGCAAUAUCUUUAGCAUCUAAUCCUGUCUUUCAUGCUCGAACAAAGCAUGUUGAGAUCGAUUAUCACUAUAUUAGAGAAUUGGUUUUGGCUCAACUUCUCAAAGUCAAGUUCAUCUGCAGUGAAGACCAAUUAGCUGAUCUUCACACCAAGUCUCUGUCUAAAACCAGAUUUAAUUAUCUGUGUUCCAAGCUUCCCAUUGGUCUCAUUUCUGAUCCCCCUUCUCGCUUGAGGGGGUGUAUUAGGGAGAAUGACAAGUCAUCCAAGUCUGCUACUGUUAAUAAUUCUGUUACUGUAAAUUAACUGAUUGUAUUAGUUGUGAUUAGUUAAGAUAGUUAUAAAGUAGUUAGGGGUAUCUAUGUAAAUAGCCAAAGGCUAUAUAUAUUCCUACACAAUGUGUAAAGUUCUCAGUCAAGUAAAUACAAUCAAGAAAACUUACUGUUGAAGUUUUCUGUUUCUACAGGUUUUGGAUUGGAGGAGUUGACACAAAAUUAUAAAUAUAUUAAACAAAUUUAUCUAUUCUAAAGUUGGAGGGAAAUUGGCCUGUACAUUGCUACAGUAAUUUUUUUUUACCCAAUUUCACGUUAUUUACAACAAAGCUAUCAGAUUUGGGUUGGGUUGGAGGGUAAUUUGUUAAAAGUUAGGAGGGUAAUUUUGUGCAUAGGGUUUAGGUGCCCUCCUAUACAUGACCCUUGAUUUUACUUUAUUUACACCACUGCCAUCAAAUAUGUGGCUGAAUUGGAGGGUAUUAUUAAAAGUUAGGAGGGUAGUUUGUUCAAGGGGUGAGGGCGACAUUCGCAGACAGAGAGCGAUGGGAGCCAUGGCCAUUGCACAGAGAGAAAGGGAGUGAUGGGGGAAAUUACAGACAGAAAAGGAAGGGAUGGGGGGGAUUUGAUGGAUGGUCACAGAGAGAGAUUGGGUGAGGGAUGUGAGAGGAGAUUACAGAGAGAUAAAUAAAAGGGAGGGAUCGGGGGAUGUGAGGGAUGGUCAGGGAGAGAAAUAGUGAGGGAGGGAGGGAUGGGGGGGCUGAUUUUCGGUUCCUCCUUCCAGAUUUGUUCCGUAAAAACCUGUUGGGUAGAAUUCAAUUUCCUCCCCCUUUCCCCUGAACGAAAAAUUCGAAACCUACAACUCAAAACUCACUCAUUUGUCGUCCCUCCUUGGCUUUCCGCUUUACUCAUCUCCCGGUGGUUCUCUCUCCAUACGAUUCCAUUUCGGUGAGUUCUUCGUUGCCCUCAUGAUUUCCCACUUUUAUUUUUGGGGCGUCCUUAGUCGUCGUUUUUAUCUGGGUUUACUGCAUUGUUGCUUUUAGUUUCUGGAUUUUUAUUUUUUUGGCACUUGGAUGAAUCGUGGUUAAUAAUUUCACAUCAUGGGAUUUUCGCACUUCUGAUGGAAUUGAGCGCGGGGAUUCGGGGUGGGGUUUUACUGAUAAUUUGUCUUCAUUCAAACGAAGGGUUAAAAUUUAUGAGUAUUAACAAAUUUUGUAAAUUAUUCUUAUACAUUUUAUUGAGGGAUCUAAUCGAUUUCUUUCUGUAGUGGGAUUGAAAUUGGGGCUUUGUGGUACUCUCUCUCGCUCACUCUCUCUCCUAUGUGUAUGAAUUGAGUUCUGCAGUGAGUUUGCAGGUGGGCGCGUUCACUAACUAAGCUUUCAAGGGAACCGAUCAACGGUUUGCUUGCUGGGGGAAUUCGGAGACUACCAGUGUAUGAUUUAGUUAUCAUUAAUUUUUUUACUUAAUUUUAUCCAUAUAUAAUAUGUGGGUAAAUUUAGAGGUCGCACUUGGUGCGAUGGCAAGUUCCUUCGCCCAUGAGCGGUAGGUCUCGGGUUCGAGACUUGGGAGCAGCCUCUCCAUAAAUGGGGGUAAGGCUAGCCGACAUUUACCUCUCCCAGACCCUGCGUAAAGCGGGAGCCUUGUGCACUGGGUACGAUCUUUUAUAAUAUGUGGGUAAAUUUAUACUAAACAAUUGUGAUAAGCCAAUAUGCUAUACGACUUUGAAAGCAUUGAUUUUGUGUUUAGUUUGCAUUUUUGCAUUGUGAAUGUUGAAUUUUGUGUUUAAUUUGGAUUUUUGUGUUUGAAUUUGUAGCAUGAUCUUCCGCUGCAGCAUCCAAAUUUUGCAUUUGUAAAUUGUCAAAGAAAAACGAAGUAUGAGGAAAUUAUAGGAGAUUGUGUCGGCUUUGGCCAUGAAGGGUAUCAGCAGCUUGUUCCCCCAUACAGGUGAUUAAUCGCAGUCUGUUCUAUUUGGAUGAGAAAGUGAUUGAAAAAUAUGAUUUUUUAUUUGUUGGUUGAUUUUGUAUAACUCCGCCGUGUAAGUUUAUCUUACAUUGCCGGUCCCAAGCCCGGAUAAAGGAGGAGGGGGAGGGCGUCAGGUAGUCGACAGCUGGCACUCCAUGAUCACGUCGAAUCCUUAUGAAAAUGAAUCCAGAACGAAAUCGCGCUAAAGCUAGGGCGUCACCCAUAAGUGGCGCGCUGUGUGGCCCGAGCACAGUGAUAAGUGAGCAAGGGUCGUUGUAUCUCCAUCGGCACCCGGAUGCAGUGUUAAAUGAGCAAGGGGCUAUAGAAACUUCUUUUCGAACGACUCCACUCAAAGUUGUUUGGGAGCAUAUGCUCCUAUCAACUUUACACGGGACACACAAAAGAAGUACUUUGAUCCUAUUAGACGGGGAAGGGUGAAGAAGCUAGGACAGAAGGGUAGAGUUCAAGAGAGCAAAAUGCGUUUAGGAACGUGGAAUAUAGGAACCUUGAACGGGAAAAUCUAUGGAAGUAGUAGAAGUUAUGGUGAGGAGAAGGAUAAAUAUUAUGUGCCUACAAGAAACUAAGUGGGUUGGUCGUAAGGCAAAGGAUCUAGAAAACUCAGGGUUUAAACUAUGGUAUUCGGGCACAAAUAGAACGAGAAACGGUGUUGGCAUCAUCGUGGACAAGACCUUGACACAAGAUGUUGUAGAUGUCAAGAGGGUAGGAGAUAGAAUCAUGGCAAUCAAGAUUGUAAUAGGACAAGAACUUAUCAAUGUGAUUAGUGCGUACGCACCUCAAGUAGGGUUGGAUACGAGUUCGAAGGAGAAAUUUUGGGAAGACCUUGGAGACUUGGUGCAAGGAAUUGCUCAGACGGAGAAGUUAUUUAUAGGAGGAGAUUUAAAUGGACACGUGGGCAGGGAGACAGGCAACUAUGGAGGUUUUCAUGGUGGCCAUGGUUUUGGGGAGAGAAACGAGGAUGGGGAAGCUAUCUUGGAUUUUGCAAUGGCAUAUGAUCUCUUCUUAGCCAACACCUUCUUUAAGAAGAGAGAAGAACAUGUGAUCACCUACAAGAGUGGGUCGUCAAAAACACAAAUAGAUUUUCUUCUAAUGAGGAAAGGGGAUCGUAUAACUUGUAAGGAUUGCAAAGUUAUACCAGGAGAGAGCGUGGCUAAUCAACAUCGCUUGUUGGUGAUGGAUGUACAUAUCAAAAGAGUGAGAAAAAAGAACAAGACUUGGAAGUGCCCAAGGACUAGAUGGUGGAAUCUAAAAGAAGAAAAACAAGCCAUUUUCAAAGAGAAAGUAAUCACCCAGUGUGUGUGGGAUAGAGAGGGGGAAGCUAACCAAAUGUGGGAUUCCAUGGCUAGUUGUAUCCGAAAAGUAGCAAAAGAGGUAUUAGGAGAGUCCAAGGGCUUUGCCCCACACCAAAAGGAAUCUUGGUGGUGGAAUGAGGAGGUACAAACAAAGGUGAAGGCUAAGAAGGAAUGUUGUAAAGCCUUAUACAAGGAUAGGACCGAUGAAAAUGGUGAAAGGUAUAGAAAAGCGAAGCAAGAGGCGAAGAAAGCUGUGAGAGAAGCUAAGUUAGCGGCUUAUGACGAUAUGUAUAAGCGACUAGAUACCAAAGAAGGAGAGUUGGAUAUCUAUAAACUAGCUAGAGCAAGGGAAAAGAAGACAAGGGACCUAAACCAAGUGAGGUGCAUCAAGGAUGAGGAUGGAAAGGUUCUUGCUACAGAGAACGCGGUUAAAGACAGAUGGAAAGGUUAUUUUCAUAAUCUUUUCAAUGAAGGACAUGAAAGGAGUGCUUCUUUAGGGGAGUUGAGUAACUCAGAAGAGUGUAGAAACUACUCUUUUUAUCGUAGAAUCCGGAAGGAAGAAGUGGUUGUAGCUUUGAAGAAGAUGAAGCAUAGAAAAGCAGUAGGCCCAGACGAUAUACCAAUCGAAGUGUGGAAAGUUUUGGGAGAGACAGGUAUAACAUGGCUCACUGACCUUUUCAAUAGGAUUUUGAAAACGAAGAAGAUGCCAAAUGAGUGGCGAACGAGCACUUUGGUGCCUAUCUACAAGAAUAAGGGCGAUGUACAAAAUUGCAUGAACUAUAGGGGUAUUAAGCUAAUGAGUCAUACAAUGAAGCUCUGGGAGAGAGUCAUUGAGCAUAGAUUGAGGCAAGAGACACGGGUUUCGGACAACCAAUUCGGGUUCAUGCCAGGGCGCUCAACCAUGGAGGCAAUCUAUCUCUUACGAAGAUUGAUGGAAAGAUAUAGAGAUGGGAAAAAGGAUUUACACAUGGUCUUUAUAGAUUUGGAAAAAGCGUAUGAUAGGGUCCCAAGAGACAUUCUUUGGAGGAUUUUAGAGAAGAAAGGAGUACGAGUAGCAUAUAUCCAAGCUAUACAGGAUAUGUAUGAAGGAGCAAAGACUGCCGUAAGAACUCAUGAAGGACAAACCGAAAGCUUUCCCAUAACUGUAGGAUUACAUCAAGGCUCAUCCUUAAGUCCUUACCUUUUUGCGUUGGUAAUGGAUGAGUUAACAGGACAUAUUCAAGAUGAUAUUCCUUGGUGUAUGCUUUUCGCAGACGAUAUAGUGUUGAUAGAUGAAACUCAGGAAGGGGUAAAUGCAAAGCUUAACCUUUGGAGAGAAGUGUUGGAAUCUAAAGGUCUUCGCCUAAGCCGAUCAAAGACAGAAUAUAUGGAGUGCAAGUUCAGUGCAAAUGGAGGCCAAAACGAGUUAGGGGUGAGGAUCGGAGAUCAAGAAAAUACCAAAGAGCGACCGUUUUCGUUACCUAGGAUCUAUCUUGCAAAAGAACGGAGAAUUAGAUGGAGAUCUCAACCAUAGAAUACAAGCUGGAUGGAUGAAGUGGAAGAGUGCAUCCGGCGUGUUGUGUGACCGCCGUAUGCCACUGAAGCUCAAGGGAAAAUUUUAUAGGACGGCAAUAAGGCCGGCGAUGCUGUAUGGCACAGAAUGUUGGGCGGUGAAGCAUCAACACGUACACAAAAUGGGUGUAGCGGAGAUGAGGAUGCUUCGUUGGAUGUGUGGGCACACGAGAAAGGAUAAGAUUAGGAAUGAGGAUAUCCGGGGUAAAGUAGGAGUAGCCGAAAUUGAAGGAAAGAUGAGAGAAAAUCGGUUACGGUGGUUUGGACAUGUGCAAAGAAGGCCUACUGACGCUCCGAUUAGAAGAUGCGACUAUGGGACAGAGGUUCAGGGCCGAAGGGGUAGAGGAAGACCUAGGAAAACUUUGGAAGAGACCCUAAGAAAAGACUUAGAGUACUUGGAUCUAACGGAGGACAUGACACAGGACAGAACACAAUGGCGUUCUAAGAUUCAUAUAGCCGAUCCCACUCAGUGACUUGGAUUUUCCAAGUCUCCAACCGAGAAGUUUUCCUCACUCGGGAAAUUAAGGGAACACUACCUCAACCUACAUGCUCCACUCACAAAGCUUCAACAUACAAGCUUCAACAAAAGAAAAUUCAAAGAACUUAGCGAAGAAGGCUUUGGUGUAUUUAACACAAUACGUUGAAAUGAAGGAAAGCUUAUUUAUUGAUAUCCCCGAUAAGUUACAAAUAUGUACAUAUACUUGAGUCAAAAUAAACAAACAAGAGGGAGCCUUCACAAAGGUUGCUUAGGAGAAGUCUCAGCAGUCGGUAGAGCCCCAGAAAGAGAAGGCACCGGAGGGGGAUCAUUCGGAGCCUCAGUACUGGACAGAACCCUAGAAGGAGGAGGCAUCAGAGGUUGAUCAUUUGGAGCUUCAUUACGCGGUACAGCCCCAGAAGACGAAGGCAAUAAAUGCCUUUGGAACAAACCCACAAAUCUCUGAUGAUCAAGUAAAACCUGACCAUCAGAUUCCUUCAUCUGGUCAAGCUUCCUCUUCAUGUUUGUAGCAUAGUCAUGUGCGAGCCGGUGCAACUGUUUAUUCUCAUGCUUGAGCCCUCUAAUCUCCUGUUUGAGACUCAUCACUUCAGCCGCCAAUGAUUCAACUUGGCGGGUUCGAGCAAAUAGGCGUUGGGCCAUAUUAGACACAGAACCUGCACACUGAACACUGAGAGCCAGAGAAUCCUUAACAGCCAACUCAUCAGACCGUUUGGAAAGUAGUCUGUUAUCUUUGGGAGUGAGAAGGUUCCUGGCCACUACCGCAGCGGUCAUAUCAUUCUUCAUCACGGAAUCCCCAACGGUAAGAGGACCAGUAGGGGAGACGAAGGAUGGGCGCCAUAUGUUGUCUGGAGAAGGCGGGGCUGCCUCUUCAACAAGGUUCAAGUCAAAACGACGGUCGGAGGGGCCAGACAUUUUCAAAGGUGUUGAAGAGAGAAGAGGUCGGACAAAUCAAGAUCUUAGAAGUGCAAGAAUGGAGCUUCUACUGGUGGAUAUUCAAGUGUGCUUUGGAACUUAAUGUCAGCCCCUAUAAAAAUCUGCACUCGACGAAGCUUCAGAAAUCGAAGAGGCGCCUGCUCAGAAAUCGAAGAGGCGUUUGCUUUCUCAAAAGCUGGGCUGCUCAGAGACCACGAGGGUCGAUCUCAGAAAUCGAAGAGGCGUUUGCUUUCUCAAAAGCUGGGCUGCUCAAAGACCACGAAGGCCGAUCUCAGAAAUCGAAGAGGCUUGCUUUCUCAAAAGCUGGGCUGCUCAGAGACCACGAGGGCCGAUCUCAGAAAUCGAAGAGGCACCUACUUUUCCAGCCUUGUCAGCACCUGUCACACGCACACUCAGCUUUGCGGAAAUUAUGGGCAUUCUGUCGAAGAUUUCUGGCGAAGUAGAAAGCACAUGAAUCGUACUGUUCAAUCACCCACUUCCCACACGCAACAGUAGCUCAUGGGUACCACAGAUAACUUUGCCAAAGUUCUCUGACAAAGUUGAGACACGUGAAGCUUGCAGCUCCCACUACAUCGCUCUGACCAAGAAGGGUAAAAGAAUUAGCAAAGAAACAACACUAACAAAGUUUAGACACAUAAAUUUUGAAGGUCUAGCUACCAUAUUAUUACCCACAAGGGUAAAGGAACAGUACCACUGCUGGAUAAUUGGAAAGUCCCGGUGUGUCAACCUCUGUGCUUCGUGGCAAGGUAGACUAGCAAACAUGCCCAACCUUUACUCACAUUCGAGAAAACACUCCCAACAAGAUUGCUUGCUCCAAAAUCGAAGAGGCACCGCCCUCCGAAUCUCGAGAGCCAGACUCCCAACAUGAUUACUUUCUCAAAAAUCGAAGAGAGGGUAAAGGAACAGUACCACUGCUGGAUAAUUGGAAAGUCCCUGUGUGUCAACCUCUGUGCUUCGUGGCAAGGUAGACUAGCAAACAUGCCCAACCUUUACUCACAUUCGAGAAAACACUCCCAACAAGAUUGCUUGCUCCAAAAUCGAAGAGGCACCGCCCCUCCGAAUCUCGAGAGCCAGACUCCCAACAUGAUUACUUUCUCAAAAAUCGAAGAGAGGGUAAAGGAACAGUACCACUGCUGGAUAAUUGGAAAGUCCCUGUGUGUCAACCUCUGUGCUUCGUGGCAAGGUAGACUAGCAAACAUGCCCAACCUUUACUCACAUUCGAGAAAACACUCCCAACAAGAUUGCUUGCUCCAAAAUCGAAGAGGCACCGCCCUCCGAAUCUCGAGAGCCAGACUCCCAACAUGAUUACUUUCUCAAAAAAUCGAAGAGACACCGCUCUCCGAAUCUCGAGAGCCAGACCCCCAGCAGGAUUGCUUUCUCAAAAAUCGAAGAGGCAUCGUUCUCCGAAUCUCGAGAGCCAGAUCCCCGACAGGAUUGCUUGUUCGAAAACCGAAGAGGCACCACUUUCCCAACUUCAAGAGCUGGAUCUCCUUGGAUAAAGCUUGUCUGUAAUCUUCACACGCAACAUCAGCUUUCCAGAUACCACAGACCACUUUUUCAAAGUGCUCUGACAGAGUUAAAACAUGUGAAGCUGGCAGCUCCCACUACCGUGCUAUGACCAAGCAGGGUAAAGGAAUAGCAUUAUUACUUGAUGUUAGGGAGACUCCUAUAUAUGUCGACCUCCAUCCCCAACGGACAGGCAGACCUGCAAAAAUGCUCAACCCUUCCUCUUAUCUGAGAGGGCACUCCCAACGAAGCCUUUCGAAAUAUUCAGCUUUCUUUCCCCCCGAUAAUACCUCUGUAAACAAGCUAUACUAGAGCAAGAAUAUCUCAUAUCAUCAGGGUUAAAAGCAAGAGUAUCCCAUAUCAUGCUUUUUCCCUGUCUUUUCCUUUGGCCUUGUUCUUACCUGCAAGACAAGGAGAAAGAGAGCAAUCAGUCAGCACUUGGAAUCAAGCUUCCAGCCAGGAACUGACUGCCUGGAACCCCUUACCUGAUUACUUACCUGGCAUUGCUCUCGAGUACUCAUCUUCAACAUCUUAUGCUUCCAGGGAAGAUACCGCAUCUGCCUGAGGAACAGAUAGGGCAAGUGAGAAGGAUACAAGGAAGCAUGUGGAGACAAGCGUAACAGCACACGUGCCGAUACAUCCAUUACUCUGUCAAAAGCAAAAGUAUCCCAUAUCAGCAGGGUCGAACGUACUCUAGAUUUGAUGGACUUGUUUUGACCCUCAAAUUCUUCAGUCGGCCUUAUACUCUGGAGGAAACCAGAAAACCCUCCAGCCCAGUUCAAGAAUAAGCCUGUGGAAAGUUACUUCUUCAAAAGCAAAAGUAUCCCAUAUCAUCUCUUCUCAUUUUUCUUCUCUUUAUCCUUCAUGCUGCCUGCAAGAUAGGGAGAAUGUGAACAAUCAGCCGGAGCUCUGAUUGCUUACCUUGUCUGUCACCUCUUUCAGCAGAUCCCCUAGCUCGGCGACUUGGGGGACUCCUACUACAUGGUUUGUAUCGCGCUUGACCAAGCCUGAAACUACAAGUAAGCUUCAAGUGACAAUUGAUACAUUACCUUGUGCAUCUCCACCAGUUACAGAUACCACCCCUGGAUGGAGGAAGAGUACUUCCAGAGAAGAUGCCACAUCUACCUAUGAGACAGAUAAGGAAAGUCAAGACGAUACCACACUCCGGUACUUAGAAGUUUCGUGGUUACGAGAUCAUUCUCCCACAAUAUUUCCUAAUGUCAUUUGUACUAAAUCAUUCACUUGUACUCACUAAAGGAGAGCUUGAACCUAUGUACUUGUGUAAACCCUUCACAAUUAAUGAGAACUCCUCUAUUCCGUGGACGUAGCCAAUCUGGGUGAACCACGUACAUCUUGUGUUUGCUUUCCUAUCUCUAUCCAUUUAUAUACUUAUCCACACACUAAUGACCGGAGCAAUCUAGCGAAGAUCACAAAAAAGUGACCGUUUUCGCUACCUAGGAUCUAUCUUGCAAGAGAACGGAGAAUUAGAUGGAGAUCUCAACCAUAGAAUACAAGCUGGAUGGAUGAAGUGUAAGAGUGCAUCCGGCGUGUUGUGUGACCGUCGUAGGCCACUGAAGCUCAAGGGAAAAUUUUAUAGGACGGCAAUAAGGCCAGCGAUGUUGUAUGGCACAGAAUGUUGGGCGGUGAAGCAUCAACACGUACACAAAAUGGGUGUAGCGGAGAUGAGGAUGCUUCGUGGGAUGUAUGGGCACACGAGAAAUGAUAAGAUUGGGAAUGAGGAUAUCCGAGGUAAAGUAGGAGUAGCCAAAAUUGAAGGAAAUAUGAGAGAAAAUCGGUUCUGGUGGUUUGGACAUAUGCAAAGAAGGCCUACUGACGCUCCGGUUCGAAAAUGUGACUACUGGACAGAGGUUCAGGACCGAAGGGGUAGAGGAAGACCUAGAAAAACUUUGGAAGAGACCCUAAGAAAAGACUUGAGUACUUGGAUCUAACGGAGGACAUGACACAAAACCGAGCGCAAUGGCGUUCUAGGAUUCAUAUAGCCGACCCCACUUAGUGGGAAAAGGCUUUGUUGUUGUUGUUGUUGGUUGAUUUUGUAUGGACGAUGUAUUAAUUUUUUUUUUUUUUUGGGAUUUUGUGUAUUGGGUAUUGUGUAGAACCAGCAAUGCAGGAUCUGAUCAGUCACGCCCGAAAAGGGGUUUGUUUCUCAAAUCACAUUAAUUAAUUAGAUUAUUAAUGUGCGUUGGAAGGCUCUUCAAUAUGAUUUCUAAUUUCUCCUUUCCAGCAUUCUCUUUUUGGUUUUUGGAGUAUGUAUGUGAUUUGUAUUUGAUUAUAGAAUAAAAAUUAAUAAAACACGAGAUGCAGCAAUUAAUUUGCAUCCUUAUGACAACACAUAUAUGAAAGUGCAUUCAAUUUCAAUGUGCGAAUGUGUGACAGGACAGGAUGUGCCUGCCUGCUGGUGGUGGUAUGCUUGCUGUUGUUUCUUGCGUUGUUAAUUUUUUGUGUGUUGAUUUGAUUAACAAUUCAAGCGUAUCUUAUUUUUUUUGUGUUGGUUAGCAGCCAGUUUUAUGGCCCCGAUCUAGUGAUGCUUCUCAGUGACUGGUAAUUGCAGUUCAUUGCCACCAGUUGGUCAGCUACCUGCUCUGAAAGAGCUCUACGUAGAAGGGAUGAAAGUUGUUAAGAGUGUUGGUGUUGAGUUGUACGGGGGAAAUCAACCAUUUCAAUGUUUAGAGAAGGUAAAGUUUCGGGAGAUGCCAGAGUGGGAGGAAUGGCAGCCUAGUCCAAGUGGAUGUGAAAGUCCAGACUUUCCUCAUCUUAAGGAGCUGAGGUUAUCCGAAUGUCCGAAGCUGAGAGGAAACUUGCCCACUCAUCUUCCCUCCUUGAAAACACUUUAUGUGAACAAGUGUGAGGUUCUACAUAAAAACAGGGCCAGUAAUACCCUGAACGUGGAAUCCUUACGAGGAUCUCUUGAAAAACUGACAAUAAAUGGAUGCCCGGGUCUCUCAUUGUUACUAGAGUCGAUGGAGACGCUGCCGUCGCUUCAGAAGCUUGAUAUUGAUAGUGUUGGUGGGAAAGAGUUGUUGGUGCAAAUGGUGCACAACAGCAAUCGUCUUCAAAGUUUUGACUUUAUAUAAAUGUUCCUCACCCUUGUCGUUCCCUACAAAUGGUCUGCCCACCACGCUGACGUCACCGAGCAUAACAGAUUGCAAGAAAUUAGAAUUCCUAUCACGUGAGAUGAUGGCCAAAUUGACUUCCCUUCAGUCUUUGCGUCUAUCCAACAGCUGUGAAUGCAAAGGCUUGAGUAAUUUUUGUGAGUCUGCUGUUUGGUUUUUUUUUCUUCAUUUUAGAGAUUUUUCUACUGUUUGGUUUUUGGGUUUUGUCUAAUUUUUGUGGUCUGCUUUAUAGAUUGUUCUCUUUGGAAGCUUCUUUCCAGCCUUGACCUUCUUCUUGCCUGGUGCCUUCUCAUUGAGUAUUGGAGGAGCAUUAAAACACAGGUGUGUGUGUUUUGUCGAUGUAAGAGAUGAACGACAUAAAAACAUCCGUCUUUGUAUUUUUUUGUGCUUUUUCUAACCCAUCAAUUUCUUUUGAGUCAACCAAAUAGUCCCAAAUUGCAACUUAUGUUGUGAGGUAUUAUUGUCUAAAAUUAAGUAUGCAUGUAUAUUUUAUGUUUGUGCGCGCGCACACCUCCGCAUGGUGUUAAUCUCUGUGGGUCAUCUAUGUAUAUGUAGACAUAUCUAUAUGUGUAUGUGUGGAAUGCAACAUAUCGGAUUUAGGUUAUACUGUGCAUAGUUUUAUUGCCUGUUAUUAUCUACGAUAUCACUAUGCCAUUUCUAUGCAGGCUCUGAAAGUUAUCCAUGAGCUUUAUAAGCACUUACCAUAAUUUAAGCAGUCUGUUUUGGGUUCUUUUUCAUUAGGUCAUUAGCUACAGAUUAAUGGAGAAACGAGGACCAUGCAACUGAUUUGGGUUCUUUUUCUAAUUUUCUGAUUUUGGGGUUUUGCAGGGAGUACUGAUGUACUGAUUUUCUGGGAUUUUUUUUGUCCUUGCAGGAUUUUUGGUCUUUGGAAUGGGUAUGUGUUGUUUUUAACGUUUCAGUUCUAGCUUGUUCCGUUCUUCGUUGCUUCGUGAUUCUCAUUUUUUAGUGUUGGGUGAUGGAAAUUUGUUCAAGUAGUUGGUAGUUUUUUUAGAAAGUUGGCAUUUUUAGUUAUAUUUUCUGUUUAAUCCUAAAUGUUAGACUGGAAAAUCAUUGAAAUGACGGUUUUUUAAAAACUCAUAAUUUUUUUGUUCUGGGAGUUAAAAGCAUCUUUUCCAGAUUGGUUAUAAGGGUUAUGUUCUCUUCAAUUGGUUCACCUAAUUUUGAUUAGUUUUAAGUUUUGUCCUUUUAAGUUUUGUCUUUUAAGUUUUGUUCUUUAAGUUGUCUUUUAAGUUUGUUCUCUAAGUUUUGUCUUUUAAGUUUUAUCUUCUGUGCUGUAAUGAGAGAUUUCUGUUGGCCUUUCGGAUUUUGGCAUGGGAAAGUUCACUUAUUUGUCUAAUUAGAUUGUGUAUGCCUUCGAUUCUUUAUUUAAUUGUUCUGUUUGUGUUCAGGUGUGAUGAUCUAAAUUUCAUAUGUUUGGAAUUAUUCACUUAACACCAAUUUGUUACAUUCAGAUCUCCACCCCACAUUUCACUAGUUCAAAUUCCAUAGAAGUCGGUUACUGCAGAUUGCGUCUACAAUUAGAUCAGAGAUCAACUGCUCUUUUGUUAUCCUGCAGAAGAUUGCUUUUGGGAAGGAUCUGAAGUAGUUUCUUUCUGUAAGUUUAUUCCCAUGUAGCUCUGUCUUUUCUAAUUGAUGGUGUUGAUAUUACACUGUAAUUCAUGAUGAUGAUUUAAUUGUUUAUUGAUUUGUAAUUGUUUGUGAAUAAUGUGGCAUAUAUGACUUGCAAUAUGUGUUUGUAUGAAAGGGAUGACAUAUUAUGUUGCUGACUUAAUUGUUUAUGUUUUUCAUAUUUGCGAAUGGUGUUAUGAUCAAUUAGGUGAUUGCUGACCUGUGACUUUGUUUGGAGCUCAAAUUUUGUGAGCAUUACAUUGGAUUGUUUUGAUGUUGUUUUGGUUGACAAUGCAGGGAUAGGAGAAACAAAGAGGAUGACACUUAUAACUGCCCUUCCCCAUCGGCCGUCUUCAAAUUUGGAUCACAAGAAGGGAGCAACAUAGGUGUUUUCCUUCUUCAUUUAGAUAUGGUUAGUGUAAAUAAUUGGACAAAAGAGCCAAACAAACCCUGUUCUCUCAAAUGGAGUCGAUGAUGUGGUCGAUGGCCACCAGCCCCAACUCAAGAGUUUGGCCUUCAUAUAAUUGGAUUGUAGUAUAAUUUUAUUUUGGUUCAUUUCUUUUUUCCUUUAUAUAAGUGCAGGUGUUGUGAUGUUUUGAAUAAAGGGUGAUGAAAGGUGGUUCACACACUUCCUCCUUACUUAAAGCAAGUGGAGAUGAUGGGUUGUAUAAAAAGAAAAACUUGCCAGGUACUUCGAUUUUCUAUUUUAUUAAUUAUUGUUUGGUUUUCCAAAUGUUGUAUUCACAAAGAGAGACCAAUGAUGUCUUUGAGAAACAAGUUUCUUUGUCUACAUUGCGAGAAUUUGCAGUUUGCAACUUUCAUUGGUUAUUAUAUUUGAUUGAGUUAAACUUGGAUUUCUGGAUUUUGACUUUUUCGUUUGUUUCUUUGUUGUAGAGUUGGCUUCAUUUCAUUCCAGUAACUCUAUUCCAGUAACUCUCUAAAAUAGGGCCAAGAACUCACUAAAUAGGUAGUCAAGAGGAAUUCAGUUUUGCCUUCAAUUUUUGCCUUCUGUUUACAUUCUUCCUGGAUGCACUCUCACCGCUUCUCUCGCUUACCACUUUUGUCUCACUCACCGCUUCAUCUCUUCUGUUGCUUACAAGGUCGUGUCAUAUAUUUUUUUAAUUUUUGUGUGUUUAAUUUAUUGAAUAUUUGAAAAAAGAGAUAAAAUUUUCAAUUUACAAUUACUGAUAUGAUGUUUGUUUUGAAAAUCAUUAAGGUGAAUGGAGAGAUUUACAACCAUGAAGAGCUGAGGAGCCGUUUGCCAAAUCAGAUUUAUAAGGUCUCAUCAAUUAUAAAUAAACGACUUUUCAUUCCCAAUGACCUUUAUCGUUUUUCUUAAUGGGUUAGCUGAACAUGAGGUAGAUGCUGACUUUAUAAAAUAUGAGAAUGUUUUAGGAUUUCAUUCUAAUUUUUUGGCUGUUUGAUUACUUUGCUUUUCGUAAUUUGUUUUGCUUAUCGUCAAUUGGAUGGGACAACAUAUUUUUGUAACCAGUUUGUACUUUUUUUUUUUGUGGAAACUAACCAGUAUGUACUUUUACCAUCUCGGUUUUGAUGGAAUUGGAGCUUUCAGUAAUGGGUUCUGAGGGAAUUGGAGUUUUGAGUAAUGGGUUUUUUAACAACUAUAGUAUCAUUUGUGAUUCUUUUAUUUAUAAGAUAUUAUAUAGGAAACUGUUAUUAGCACUCUAAUAAUCUUAUUCUACACUCGCGACAAGUGUAUUUUUCUUUCUAAUUAUGGAAAGUUUGGAGUGCAAAAUGAGAAUUUUGGAGUGCCAAUAACAAUUCCCUAUUAUAUAUAGCUCUACUAAGAAGGCGACUGUAUAUGUCUUCAUCCUGUUAAAUUGUAUAUGGCUCUUGAUGUCGGCUGAAUUAAAUCAAAAUGAAAACCAAGCUGCUGAUCUUACCAGCCCAUAUCACUUAUCACUUAUUUAAAUUAUUUGAAGAUGCAUACGUGGAUUGGUGAUUUUGUUGGAUUCACUUAGCUCAAAUAUAUGUUAUCUGAGUCGCUACAUUUGAGAAUGUGAUUCUGUUCCUACCACCAUUUUGCCCACUUUUUGUGGAAAUUAUUCAUUCCUGUUGUGAAUAAUAUCCCCGGCAGCGAAGUGCGGGCGCAUUUUCUAGUUUAAGUUAAAUCACACAAUGGGUCAUCAAUAAUGACAAACUCGUCAUUUAUGCGAGUCAAACAUGAGACCACCUACCUACUAGUUUAGUGGAAUACCACAAGUGACAUGUUGAUACCUUUAAAUCUCAUAUAAUGGAUUGCAGAAUUAGGAUAUACCUAGUCUAAUUUAGUCAGUGCGUGAACCCGAACAAUUAACCAGGGUUUUAUUCUUGCUUGAAUGUUUGUAAUAUGUUCCUAGUUUGACAAGGCAAUUAUAUUUCCGACUACAAAAGUUAUUAAUUUAGUCGAGAAUUGACGCACCUGAAAUGGUGUGAGGAAAACAUGUAGACACAUCAGACGCGGUCCAUCCUGAGCAUUGUGUAUUAAGGAUAAAGCUCAAAGCCAUACAUGAGGGCAUUGUGUAUGUCUUUAUAAGAGAAGUUGCUGUAGUCCUCAACGUGGCCGGCAGCCAAACUCAUCCACUCUACACUGCAACCCUCAUCCAAAUCCCAUGCUUCCAACCUGCCCCCGACAUAGUCAUCGACCAUGACAUAGCUAUACGUUUUUGGUUGACUCGAAGAAGAAGAAGAAGAAGAAGUAUUAUUCAAGCAUGGAGCAGUGUCCACGUACAGAGAAGAAUUCGAUGGAUUCGAACACUUCAAGUAAUAUAUAGAUAGAGAAUUGAUGUCAUAGGUGGGCCAAUAUAGAGAAUCGAUGUCCUCGAUGGGCGGAAUAUUUUGAGACAUGGAAGAGCAAUUGUUGUUGUCAAGCCCAGGAUCUAGAAGUCGGAUUGUUUUGUUAAUGUAGUUGAUUGCCUGGACAUAGUAUUUUCCGGAAGAAGGUAGGUCUAGUACUGUAAUGUUGCUCUCACAGGACAGAGUAAACCUUACGUCGCCACAGUACUUUGGAUCAUCGUUCAGUCGAAAAGGAUGGCUUAUGUUGUGGAUAUGGCCGCAGGAUGAAGUGCAGGACUUGGCACUACUGUUGUCAGCGUUACAAGUUUCACUGCAAAAGCAAAGAAGAAGAAAGGCUAAACUUAAGGUGAAGGACCUGGUUCCACUGAUUUCCAUUGCUCUGAGAGAGAGAGAGAGAGAGAGAGGGCACUAUAGCUUAAACACCAAGGAGUUAUAUAAUAUGGGAGGGGUUAAAGCACCUCGCUUAAAGUUGCAGUAAGCCCGUCAAAUAUCCUAGGGAAAAGUCGGUCAAUGCUGUCCUAUAGAGAAAAGUCGGCCUUGAUGUUUGACACGGUCACACUCUCUCUCUCUCUCUCUCUCUCUCUCAUUGACGAGGGACACUGUAAUUGAAAAAAAAAAUUGUUAUUCAGAGAUAGAUCUUGAAAUUCUUAUUUUAUAUAAAAAAAAGGGGUAUUUAGAUUUUAGGACCUAUAUAAGAUAAUUUUUAGAUUAUAAGGUUUCAAAAUCUUAUUUUAGUCCCUAAUUUAAUAUUCAUCGCCACAUCAUAUUAUAAGAUACCUCUAUUACCUACCAUAUUUACAAACUUUGCCAUUUAAAUUGUCAACCUAUUCUAUAAUUAAGGCUUAAAUAUAUUCCGUUAAUAAACCAUUCGUCAAUAAGAUAAAUCCAACUAUGGUAAAUUAUACUAAUUUAUACUUGCUGACAAACAAAUUAAGUCUAUAGUAAUUUUAGGUCAGUCACCUUAAGAAGUCGAAGAUGAAAAAAUCAAAUACAAAACAAUAGGUUAAAAAAAUUAAAUAAUAACCCUUAAUAUAUAUAUAUAUAUAUAUAUAUAUAUAUAUCACAAAAAAAAAGUAUAACAACUCCUUAUUGUCUAUAUAUAGGAAUUGCAUAAGUGUCGGUACAUAUGUGUAGGUACAUACAUGCACAUAGGUACGGAAGUAUCGGUAUGGAAGUGCCGGUACAUACGUACACAUAGGUACGAAAAUAUUGAUACGUUAGCAUCGGUACAAAAGUAUCGGUGCGGAAGUGUCGAUACUUAUGUACAUAUAUAUAGGUACGCAAAUAUUGAUACAUAAACAUCAAAAGAAAAAAUCGGUAGAUUCGAUGUAUGAGAAGGUAAAAAUAAAUCAUCAACACUAGAAAAAAAUGAUAAAAGUAAAUCAUGCACUAUUAGAUGCAUAAGAAGAAGAAAUAUUAGAUGUGGAUGGUGGCCCUAGCCCUCUCUUCUAACACGGUUGAAGAUAAUUUUUUGGGUUGGACAAAAAGUUUCAUUUUUAAGGAGAACCAUUUAUGUUAGCAAUAAAACUGAAAAGUUAUAAAUAAAAUAAAUAUAAGACAUUAUAAUUCACUCAAGGAUAAUAUAGGAAGAAAAAAAUUACAUAAAAGGAAUUAACUCUGACAUUAAAUAUAAAUGCUGACUUGGACAUAAGUCAAAGGACUAUAAUUAGUUUUUUAUCUUGGUUAAGGUUUUAGUCUAAAGAUAAUCUUUUUCAAGGAUUAAUAUCUAGUUUCCUAUAAAAAAAAACACCUAAUAUUAAUCAUUCAAAUGAAAUUGUUAAAAUUAAGUAUAAAUAAUACAUAAUGAAAACUGAACACAUACAAUCAACGGUCACGACCAUGAAAUCCUCCGGAUCCUCAGAAAAAAAUCCGACGAUGAUCUUUUUCUGUGUAAAAUAAUUUGAGGGUAUAAUACUGGAUGUGCGAUUAAACCGAAGAACCCACCCACCUCCAUCUUCUCUGACCAACUUGAACCCAGCCACUACUACAUGUCAUCCCGACAACCCACUCUCAGCUUCCCAAACCGCCAUUUUUCACCCAAUGGAACAUUUAAAGAAAAAAUCCAUCUGCAAAUCGAAAACCACCGAAAAAAAUUAAAUCAGAUACAUUGGAAAAAACGCAAAACUCAAUGGAACAACACUGGCGUGGAAGAGAAAAAAAGCAGAAGGUGAGAAUGGAGAGAAAGAAGCGAACGGAAAGAAAAAGCAAAGAAGAGGUUGGAAACGGAACAACAGAAGAACAAUAGAAGAACAGAAAUGGGUAUGGGAAACGGAACAACAGAACAAAAAGCAGGCGGUGUAUAGAGCAAGAAAAGCAAACCUCACGAUGACCAACACGUGCUAAGAGAGGCCCCGGUUCACUGUGUAUCACAUUUUUUAAUAUUUUUUUUGGUCUUCCCACCGGCUAUACAUGGGAUUCCAAAAUUAAGAAGGUAUAAAUUUUUAUUGUUUCUUGUGCCACAAACCAUGUGGCCCAGUCUUAAUCACAUUUUUUAAAUAUUUUUUUUGCUCUUCCCAUCAGCAGUACAUGGGUUAAAAAAAUUAGGAAAGUAUAAAUUUUUAUUGUUUGUUGUGUCACAAACCACGUUGCCCGGUUUUAAUCACAUUUUUUUAAUAUUUUUUUGUCUGCCCACCAGCUAGGUUUAAAGAAUUAAAAAAGGACUAAAAGAAAGACUCCACAGAUGGAGGAACAUGGGAAUAGAAAGGGCAAAUUUGGGAUUUUACUGUACAAAAAAGACAAAAAGUAACUGCUGAAGACUAACUUGAGGGGCAUUUUGGUCUGCACACUGCCCUAGAACAGUAACCAUCGGAUUGGGUUUUAGUAUAUAUAGAAUAUGUUUAGAUAAGGACAAUAAACUUAGAAUUUUGCCAAAAGUCAGAAUUUAUAAAUUGAUACAAUCAAUUCAUUUGUUUGGAUUCAUAAACAUAGAAAUUUAGACUUUCCGCGUGAGAAAAAACUUGGAAUUUGGGACCUUCAAUUCUCAUGUUUAAAUUUCAUGUAAAUAGGUGUCAUUUAUAAAUUUCAGUAAGUGAGAGUUUAAAAAUAACAAACAUGUAUUCAAAUUUCAUUCCUCCUUUGGUUAACCAAAAAAGAAAAUUUAUAAAUUCUAGAAAAUAAAAUUUCUUUAUUUUAAUUUCUGUUAUUUUAAAAUUCUUAGGGCUUGUUUGGUAUUCUACUUGAAUCCAACUUUUUAAACUAAAAAAUAAUUUUCAAGUUUUAGGCCUUAAAAACUUAUUUGGUAGAACUAUUUAAAAAAACUGAACUUAAGACUAACUAAAAAAUAUAAUAUAUUAUCUAAAAACACAAAAAAUGAGUUUUUAGAAUUUUUAAACUUAAAUUCACUCAUUUCUUUUCUCUCCCUCCUCCCCUCUCACUCCAAAUCUCUCUCUCUCUCUCUCUUUUCUUCUUUCUCUCUCCCCUUCUCUUUUUUUUAACCUUUUUUUGUCUCUCAUCUAAUCCGCUCUCUUCAUUUUCUCGGUUCUUUCUCUCACUCAUAUUCCUCUCUAUCUCCUCCAAUUCUCUCUCUUCAUUCUUUUUCAACCAAUAAUUUCUUACUUUUUUCCUCUUCUCUCCUCUUGAUUCUCUCUCUUCAUUCUUUUUCAACCAAUCAUUUUUUACUUUUUUUCCUUCUCUCCUCUUUCUCCCUCGACUUCCUCUUUUUGGAUCUCUUUGUUCAGUUUGAGCUGUAAGAUUUAAAAUUAUUUUAAAUCGUAUACCAAACAAGUUUUUGAGUCUUAAAGAAAAUUGUUUUUCAAAAAAUGUUCUUAAGAAAUGUUUUGAGAAAUGAUAAAAAAUUUCAAAUAAGAUACCAAACAAGCCCUUAAUAAUCUUAAAUUUUCCCAUCCAAACAAAAAAUUUUCUUGUCAUAGAACUUUCAAUUGGAAUCAAAGAAGACAAUCUUUUCACAACUAAUUAUUCUCACCAAAAGCAAUUUUUAUUUUAAAGCAAUCAAUACCAAACUGCAAAAGCAAAGUAGGAAGGCUAAAAUUAAGGUGAAGAACCUGCUUCCACUAAUUUCCUUAGGAGGGAGAGAGAGAGGGGGAGAGAGAACCAAGCGAGCGAGCAGAGAGAGAAAACACCAAGUAGUAUUCUAAUGUUGGUGGGGUUAAGUCACCUUCCGUGAAGUUGCAGUAAGGACUUCUAUCCCAGAGAAAAGUCAGUAAAUGAUGUUGACACAGUCAACGACAAAGACAGAAUUGUGUAACCAUAAUUCUCUCUCUAUCUCUUUUUCAUUAUCGGAUGACAGUGUAACACUACUACGUAUAUAUCUCUGCUCAAUUAUUGAAAAGAAAAAUCCAUGUGCAUUAUUUUUAUUAUUAUUAUCUCAGAAAUGCAGAAAUUGAUCAUCUCUUCCUUUUGCAUAUUGAUACUGGUUUUCUUCAAACUAGUUGAAGCAAGUCAAUAUGUGUGCGCGAAAUCCAACUGUAGCAAUGAUCAAAGCGGGGCUAUCCAUUUCCCAUUAAACAUCAGGCGCACACAUCAUUGUGGUAAUUCUGGGCUUGAAUGCAAUGGGAGAUAUGAACAGCAAAUACUAAUAAAAUUAUUUGUCAAAGACAUAGAUUACAAGCGUCAGGAAAUCCAAGUCUAUUCCCCAAGUAACUGCCUGCUGCUAAAGCAUGUUGAAAUCCCAAACAUGCCACCCUCUCCCUUCAACGUGUCAGUCGAUGACUACAUGAGUAACCUUACCUUAUUCAGUUGUCCUACUUCUUUUGCAAGACGAGAUACGGAUGUGUAUCAAGUCCCCUGCCUCGGCGACCGUGGCAAGAGAACUUAUGCCAUUUAUUCUGAUUAUGGUUUUAGAACUCUCUUCCGGAAUCUACAAUCUUGUACAAAAAUGUAUGAUGUUUUAUCAGUUCCAAUACCCUCUGAAUAUUAUGUUCUUCGUUUCAAAUGGUCUAUACCAAAUUGCAGAAAAUGUGGAGAGGGAAAGAGGUGUGAAUGGCAGAACAAUGAAAUUAAAUGUAUUCAAUGGAGGAAACCAAGUAAGGAUAACAUAUGUAUUCAUUGCUAGUUUUAAACAUCUUUACAUUUGUUUCUCAGUAAUUAUUGUUUAAAACAUGUCCAAUCCAUUUUUACUAUGAAUAUUAACUGACAGUCUCAUUUGAAUUUGCCUUUAUCUUUUACAGGCAACACAUGGAAAUUAGUGGUCACAGGGGGAAUCCUGGGUUCUUUGCUUCUUGUUCUACUGAUGAUUGCAGCAUAUCGGGUAUAUAGCGUUGAUAGAAAGAAAAAAGAGAUUCGAUUACGAAUUGAAAGAUUCUUGGAGGAUUACAAAGCACUCAAACCAAGCAGAUACUCGUACGCAGAUAUUAAGAGGAUUACAAAUCAAUUCAAGGACAAGUUGGGCAAAGGAGCCUAUGGAACUGUCUUCAAAGGAAUGCUCUCUUCUGAAUUCUUUAUUGCUGUCAAAGUCCUCAACAGUUCCAAGGGAGAUGGGGAAGAGUUCGUAAAUGAAGUGCGAACGAUGGGUCAUAUCCACCACGUAAACGUGGCUCGCUUGGUUGGAUUUUGUGCUGAUGGAUUUGUACAAGCUCUUGUUUACGAGUUCUUCCCCAUUGGUUCCCUGCAGGAUUUCAUUUCAUCUGCAGAUAGUAAGAAUUCAUUUCUUGGUUGGGAUAAGCUGCAAGAUAUUGCCCUAGGCAUAGCCAAAGGAAUUGAAUAUCUUCACCAGGGAUGCGAUCUACGAAUCCUGCAUUUCGACAUCAAACCCCAUAAUGUUUUGCUAGACCAAAACUUCACUCCAAAAAUUUCUGAUUUUGGUAUGGCCAAGUUAUGUUCCAAGGAUCAAAGCUUGGUGUCCAUGACUACAGCUAGGGGGACCAUGGGCUACAUUGCACCUGAAGUGUUCUCCAGGAAUUUCGGAAAUGUGUCUUACAAGGCAGAUGUCUAUAGCUUUGGAAUGCUGCUGCUUGAGAUGGUAGGAGGAAGGAAGAAUAUUGGUUCAAUCACGGAUAACACUACAAAUGAAAUUUACUAUCCACAGUGGAUUUAUAAUCUUCUAGGGGAAGGGGAUGACCUACGAAUCCACAUUGGGGAAGAAGGAGACGGUAAAAUUUCAAAGAAACUUGCAAUUAUAGGGCUAUGGUGUAUCCAGUGGCACCCGUCGGAUCGUCCUUCCAUGAAAAUAGCGGUUCAGAUGUUAGAAGGAGGAGGAGAAAGCUUGAGUAUGCCGCCUAAUCCCUUUGUGCCUACUGGUUCUACAACUAGGAAUGCAAGACGCCUAGAGCUAGAAGCUAUUGCUGAAUUAGAGUAAAAUGUAUAUGCAGAUAUAUAGACGUAUAGAUAUAGUAAUAUUUACAUUGAAUAAGAUACCGUUUGAUAACCAUUUCGUUUUCAGCUUUUAAUUUUUAUUUUUCACUUUUUUGAAAACUGAAAACUAAAAUCUUGUUUGGUAAAUACUUUUAGUUAAAAAAAAAUGAAGACUGAGAACUAAAAAGUGAAAGCUCAAAGGAAGUAGAUUAAAAGUAGUUACCAAACAAACCGGAAUCUCAAUAAUAAAAAAGAUUGAAUUGCACAAUGCAAUCCAAACCAAUCAAAACAUUAAAAUAGCAAAAAAAUUAAAAUUCUAGUUGAUUAGAUUCUGAACAUAGUAAAAAUGAACAGAUCCGAUGAAAAAACAAAAAAUUCUCAGAUAAAAAUAGGGAUAAAGUAGAAUAUUUAUAAAUAGCUCAUUGUCUCUUAUGUCAUCAAUUAUUUCUAUAGUAUAUACAGGUUUUUGGAAAAAUUAGGUUCCCAUCCCUUAUUUUCAUAUUACAUUGAUUGAAAUCUUAUUAUUUUUCUAUUUUAGAUCAAGGUCCCUUGACUUAUUCCAUGUCAUCAUUUUAGUAUUUAAAAUAUUACACGUCAUCAUAAACGAAAUCUCAUCCCUUUCUGCAUUUAAGGCAAAAUAAACUAUAUAAGUAAGUUUAAAACAAGGAAAAUCCAUUUGAACUCCUCCAUUCUUCUUCUUCCCUUAUGCACAUCUGGAAUCUACAACACCCCAAACCCAAUUUUCUCCAUUUUUCUUCAUUCCUGAAUUGAUCCAAUGCAUAUAUGUUGAAUAAACCUAUUGUGAUUAAAAUACAAAUUAGCAUCAAUGAUUUUAUCGGCUUGUGAGAUUUGUGUGGCAUAGGCAAGGCAAUGCAGGCAUCGCUUUAUCAAAGAAUCUGGUUGAUUCAAACAUGCAGAGACUGUAGAGUGAGCGGGCUAUGUAAAAACUGUACCAUUUUGAAGUCAUUUUCUUUUGUUCUUUACAUUUUUUUUUCUUUUAUUAUUAUAUAUUAGUCUUGAUUAUUCAAUGUCUGGUUGGCUACACUUAUAUCCAUGGGUACAUUUUUAAUCUACAUGUUUCGUUCUAAUAUAUCUAUUGCUAUAAUAUGUUUUGGUUGGUUCAAAUUUGUUUUACAUAAAUAUAUGGGUACAAAGUUUUUGUAGAAUAUUAUGUAAAAUGGUUUUUAAGGUUGCUGCAUUUUACGUACCCACAUAUGCAUGUCUAUAAAACAAUGUGGUAUGAUGUACAUUCUUUUCUUUGAGUUUUUAAAUGUACCCAUGAGUUUUCUUGUAAAUUCGGUAUGUACCCAUAUGCUAUUUAUGUUAUGGGUACAUACAUUAUUUUUGGUCUAAGUUCAUGGGUACAUUACUUUUGUAUGUAUGAAUUCAUGGAGUACAUUAUUUCCCUUAAUACUACUCAAUAAAAUUCACAAAAAUAUGUGUAGCGUGCAUGAUUUUUUAUUGUAGAAAUUGUUUGUUUUUUUUAAGUCUCAUAAUUCAUGAAAUUUGUACAUAUAUGAUCACAUAAAUUUUUUAAUUUUAUUAAAUUUCUUUUAGACUUGAUCGAUUGAUUGAAUCUCAUAAUACUAGGAUUUUGAAUUACAUAAAUUCUUGGAUUUAAAUCCCUUAAAUGUUGAACUGCAAUCAAUAUUUUAAAUUACAGUUUUUUAUUUAAGAUAUCAAAAAGAUGACAUGGAAAUAUAGUAAUACUAAAAUGCUGAGGUGUACAAAGUCAAAGGACUUUGAUAAAAAAAUAAAAAACAAUAAGAUUUCAAUCUAACAAUUGAAUUGACUAGGGAUCGGAACCAAAAUGACCCUAGAUUUUUAUUGAGUUUAAUCUUAAUAAAAAAAAGACUUCUUGUAUCACAAAAAAUACAAGAACCAUUAUUUGAAUGAAAUAAAAGCUAUGGGAUGGAGAUAUAAAUGGAUCCUUUAUUUCACAAUUGGAUUAUAUUUAUUUGAUACACUGUUGUCAAUAUGAAUGCUGAGAAAAGACUACAAAAGAAAAAAACAAUUUAUAAAUAUAACUAACAAUUCCAAUUUCAAUCAAUUAGACAAUUAGAAUUAUAAGAAGAAAAAAAAAAGAAAUUUCAGUUUUCAGUUUAAAAAAAAUGAAAAAAAAAUGGUUAUCAAAGCCGUCCAAAUAAUACAAGUUUGUUUCCACUCUUUGUUUAAGCAUAGAUGCCAAUUUUUGUUUAUCAUUUUUUUAACCUUUAUUUUUUGUUACAGUAGAAGCCCUGGAAGGAAAUCGAGCACUGGACUUACCAAACUCUUAACUUAUUUCUACACACCAAGAGCUUGAUUUCGGUUCUUAUUUAUACUAUUUAAGCUAUAAGCCGUGACAAGAAUUAGAGAACUAUCAUUUGUUGUGAGCUUCAAUUGGUUAGCACUUUGUAUGUUUUCAUUAGAAUAUAUAUUUCACUUAGACUUUCUUAUUAAAAAAGGGAUCAGCUGGUGACUUUACCACGACAAUCCAAUUUUAUGGGGGUCAUGAAUACUCACAAAGGCAUUUCAGCCUCCCCCUAUAUCUACCGUCGCGUGAUUCACCAUUGUCAGAAAUCGAACCCAAGACGUGUUGUAUAGAAUACGGGCCUAAAAUUCAUUUCUAACCACUGAGUCACCCCGCGUUUGAUUAUAUUUCACUUAGACUUAUCUUGCGGUAUAGCAUGUCAUCCCCGCCCAAGUUUUUCCCUUCGCGUUGACUUUGGGAUACCAAAACUUGCCAAACAAAGUAGAUUGAUUAGUAAGCGAAGCUAAUUAUUCGACUAAACAUUGUUUAGAAUUUUAAUUAAAAGAACCAAUAUGAAUCUGUUUUUUUUUUUUUUGACAAACUAUAACGUUAAGGAGUUAAAUUGUUAGUUGUUAAGAGUACGGGGAUAGGUGAGGAUCGAACCUCCACCAUAGUGCAUAGACAUUAUUGGUUCUACAACUGCUGUAAAUCACAUAAAACAAAACGUAAUACUUUGAGGAUGGAAGACACUUCGUGGAUAGCGGGCAAUCAACACUAUCAGUUGCUAUCCAAAACUUGGAAUUAUGUUUAUUGUCCGAAGGAUUUUUCUUCCAUUAAAUUGCUAAGGAAGAUGAGGAUGGGUAGAGUGUCUAAAUGUCAAGGUUGAUAAGAACGUGUAUGGUGUUCAGCUUGCGAUUGAGAUUUGUUGAGUGGCACAACAAACCACAUAAAAUUUUCUAAAUGAUAAGCUUGAGUAUAAUUUUUUACCACGUAUUUAUCUUUAAAAUCAUUAUAAUUAGAUUUUCUCUUAAUUAAUAUAGACCGUUAGAUUCAUCUAAUGACCCAAGUUUUUUUCCUCUUUUCUUUCUACUCUUUUUUUCUUCUCUGAUUUUCCAUUCACCGUGUAGCAGUCGUUCUUCCCCAACUAAGUUUCUUAUUUUUCUUCACAAAAAAAUUGUAGAAAAUAUUAAGAAAAGAAAAGUCAUCAAUAUCAGACUCGACCAGGUAAUCGUUCCAACCUUCCCAGCAACUCUCAGUCUUAACAAGGCACCAAAUUUUCUCCGCCACCUAACUCGUCAUUCAUUUAUGGGUGUUUCAAGCUUGGUGAAAAUUGAUAGAGUUCCAUGUGUGUACACGGAUGUGAACAUAUUGGCCACUCUCUAAUGUGUUGGUUUAUCACAAAGAACCCAGAUACAAAAUUUUAAAAAGCAAACAAUUACAACUUCUCAAAUAUUAUCUAACAAACUUUCAAUGAAAUGUUGCUCAUAAUUGAAAAAAGGUUGACGAAGGACGGAGUUGGAGUUAUUUUAGAUGGGGAAGAGUUAAAAGAAGGAAGCACCAUUUAAUUAAUAAAAGCGAUUGGAGAAAUAGUAAUUCAAUGGUGGGCGUUUUUAAGGUGUGGACCUUGUAUCACACCCCGAUUCCAACAUACAUUGAGGAUCAACACGUGACAUGGGGACAUAGGGGACAUAAAUCUUAUGUAAGAUACAAAAUGAAAUACUAUAAAUAAUAUCCCAAAAUGAAUAUGAUAGUGGGUUCACCCCUAUAAAAUAUAUACGAGUUUGUACAUUCACAAAAAAAAAAAAAAAAAAAAAAAAAAAACACAUACACACACACAAAACUCUCGCUAGGCCAAGACUUGCCCAUGGUGCUCAAAGGAAAGUCCCAAAAGAAAGAGUACAAUGAAGGAUAAAGGGGUAACCUAAACACUCCAAGUCUCUGAUCUCUGCACUGCUACCCUCACCGGCUCCUCGUAAUCUACUCAGACCUAUCACAUGUACAAACAGUGCCUACAUUGUGGGAAUGGUGCAUCGGGCAAACAAAAACCCGGAUAAGCUGCAAAACUCGUGUGAGUGACAAUAAUGCAACAUAUGUGAUAAUCAAGAAAAACAUACCAUCGAUCGCAGUUUAUAAACCUCAAAUAUAACUUCAUACUUAUGAAAUCAUAAUCAAGUCACUGAAAACUUCGAAUGAGUCACCCAGACAUCCAACGACUUUUUAAAAUCAAAUCUCAGAGAUUCCAAAACUAUCAUUCACAAAUACACUAAAAACUAGGGCUAGAGUGACACAGUUCGGCCAAAGACUACAUAAGUAACCAAACAAGAAGUGGCCCCCCAUAGCGGAUUAACCAAGCAGAGCCACUCCUGAAAAAGUAACCAAGUAGGUAGUGACCCCCAUCACGGAUUAACCAAGCAAAGUCACUCCUACGAAACUGUUAGGUAGUGAUCACCCAUCGCGGAUUAACCAAGCAUGAUCACCCCUAAGUACGUAUGGCCAUACCUAAGAAAUAAGGAUCGCCCACCGCAGAUUAACCAAGCACGAUCCAAAAAUAUUAUGGGUCCCCUAUCACGGAUUAACCAAGCAUGACCAUCCAUGUACCACUACUACAUGGUGUAAAUUCGGUGUCACCUAACCUCGUGACACUAGGGUAACGGUCCUUUACUAGCCCUCACGUUUUUCAAACAUUUCAAAUAUAUAAUUUAAAACACAAUUCAUAAACAUUUCGAAUAAGGAAGUCACAUAGUGUUUAAUAAUGUAGGUCAAUGGAAAACUUUAAAAACAAUUAUUUAGCAUAAAACAUAUUUUAGAAAUCCAUGUUGUAUCCACAAAGUAUACUAGCAUGGGAGAUUUUCAGGGUAAUAACUCUAUCAUAUAUAUUAAAGUCACUCACCUGGAGUCCACACUAACGCACCCUAACACGAAUAUCAAGACGUCACGUACUAUCAUCUGUAACAUCCCACAUCAACCAACGGAGAGAGGGUGAUGUGCCUUAUAUGUACAUGCCCACCUCCAUAGCAUGAGACCUUUUGGGAGCUCACUGGCUUCAUAUUCCAUCGGAACUCCAAAGUUAAGCGAGUUUGGGCGAGAGUAGUCCCAGGAAGAGUGACCCACUGGAAAGUUCUCGUGUGAGUUCCUAGAAACAAAAUCGUGAAGGCGUGGCCGGGGGGGGGGGUUAAAGCGGACAAUAUUGUGCUACGACGAAAUUGAGACUGAGAUGUGACAGAAUGGUAUCAAAGCCACUCUGCCGUGUGGUGCGAGUGUGCCGACGAGGAUGUCGGGCCCCUAAGGGGGGUGGAUUGUAACAUCCCACAUCGACCAACGGAGAGGAGGUGAUGUGCCUUAUAUGUACAUGCCCACCUCCAUUUAGCACGAGGUCUUUUGGGAGCUCACUGGCUUCGGAUUCCAUAAGAACUCCGAAGUUAAGCGAGUUCGAGCGAGAGCAUUCCCAGGAUGAGUAACCUACUGGGAAGUUCUCGUGUGAGUUCCCAGAAACAAAAUUGUGAGGGCGUGGCCAAGGCCCAAAGCGGACAAUAUCGUGCUAUGGCGGAGCCGAGAUUGGGAUGUAACAUCGUCACCUAAGACAAAGUACAAGUCCACAUUUAAAGUUCUUCGUGUAUUCACAUAAUAAAAAAUUUCCAUAUGCCCCCUACAACUAAUGAAGAGAAAUCGAGACACGUUGACAAAAAGUCAACUGUUGAUCAACGGUAGGGUCCAUAACCCUACGUAACUCGAUCUGCAAGAUCCAGCCACUGUAUUUGUGAUUCAUAAGUUCCUAAGGUCCUUAAAUCUUACGUACAAUAACAUACUAAACUUUGGUGACGAUCUAAUUGUCGAAUCAUCAUUUGCUAUAAUGUUCAAAUGACGCAAAUUCAUCAAUCAGAUGUUAAAUAUGGAAUCGGUCAUCGAAUUUAGCUUAGGAAGGUCAAGUGGUGUCUCGAGCCACGUGCUGCCGUGCGCAGCAGCUGGCAACCCAAAUUCGUCGGAAAAAUCACCUAAUUCCAAAAUGAAUGUCGUUAGACGUGGAGUAAAUUGUAUACCUGUGAAGAAGCCCAAUUUGGUCGGGAAGUGGCCUGAAAUCACUUUAGACCGUCGGAAACCCUAAAAUAGGUGAAUCUCGAUUCGUCAUCUCCGGUAUUCCACCGUCCUCAAACUUGUUUAGGGUUUGCUCCUGGUCUCAAAAGAAUGCUAAUGAUGGUGGUGAUUGAAGGAGAAUGUUUCAGAAAUAAUGAAUCGUCGACGAGGGUUUCACGAAACCGACAUGGGUGUUCCUUGUGGAACUAAGACCAAAUCUCAACGGUUUUGGCUAGAAAUGGAUGCUGGGAUGUCGUGGUGAGGUUUGGUAGUGAUGGGAGGUCGAAGAAAGCCAAAAAAAUCGACGAAAAAACAGUCGUCGGAGUCGCAGGAAACGGGUUAGAAAAACGAGUCGCCAGGUCUGAAACGGGUCGAAGGCUUUUGGGACAGCUACUUACUCUCUCUUCUUUGAUUAGUCACUCCACUCACUCUCUCAUUUGAUUAGUCCAGCCUUCCCACAUGGUGGGAGUUCCCUCAUAUAGUAACCCAAAAUUUACUAUUUAAAUCUGGUAUCGAACGUUCGUAACUUUUUCGUUAUAGUUUCGAUUCGCAAACAGCUUUCGCCUACGCGCUCGUAUGAUCGAAUUAUACUCGAAAACAUUAAUUGUGACCUCGAAAAGGUCUACGAGUUUUAAAAGAUUAAUUACAAAAAUUCACACCUUGUAACUAUACGAUCCAAAUUCUAAAAUUAACGGAAUUAAAAUAAACUAAAAAUAAUGUAAACACGAAAUACAGACUUUAAUAAUGAAAUACGUAAUUAAUAGUAGUAUUCCGGGAACGGGAUUUCACACCUUGCGUCCGGACCUUGAGUGCGGAUCAGAAUCCAAAGGUCGUGAUCUGACAAGCUCAUGCAUAGAACGGAGUCGUUGUGACCCAAUGCAAUUCAAAACUUUUAUGUUUUUUAUUUGCUGGGUACGUUUUUGUAGGAGGAAAAGGGGAAGUCGAGGGAUUCUUUGCGCAUUAAAGAGGGAAAGAGAGAAAGGGGGAGCUAAGAGGUUCUUCGCGCGUUAAAUUUUUGCUUCUAAUUUUGCAACCUAGAAAUAAAGUAUUUUCUUUAUGGUUUAUGGUUCAAGAAUAUAAUGGAUGCAACCUAAAAAUGUUUCUUUUUUUAUUUUUUACUUUUUUUCUUCUUAUGUUGGCUUUUGGUUUAUUUUUAUAACGCACUAUAUAUUAACUAAAUUUAUAAACAUUUUGUAUCUUUGUUGCAGUCAAAUUAAUCAUAUGGGUCGGCAUGACUAAGUUCGACUGAGACAUACAGAUGUUUUGCAAUCUUAAGUCUAACCUGACACACCUCGACCUCAAUAUCCAGUGAACACCAAAAUUAAGGUGUGCUGGCCAUCAUCCGGAUGGGUGACGAAACCAUAAUAUGCAUGAAAACAUAACUAAAUUAUCAACCAAUAAAAUCUAUUGAAAAAUUUGGCAGAACAUCCCUUAAAAUAGGGAUAUGCCCAAAUUAAAAACACUUGCACAUGAUCACAAUUAUUCAAACACAUCCCGAAGGGCCACACUUAAUGGGACUUCGACCAUCUAUUACAUGCAUGAGAAUAUGUUCAGAGAAUAAUUACCCAAAUACGUCUUAUUAAAAUAUUGAGUAAAUACCAUACAAGAUAGAAUACGUCAGAGCUGUUGCAAAAUACCUCAACGUCGGAUGUAAUCACUGAUAGAAUUACUGAAUCAUGUAUAAAUGGAAAGCUGAUAAAUACAUGUAAUUUGAGUGGAUACUUACCAACAGCAUGGAUACAAUAUCAUCCACCAGUCGUAACUAGUGAAAACUGGAUAAUAUAAUCAUGUCAUUGCCGAGUAAUCUCAAGGCAAUGACAAGAUGAGAAUGUAACUGAGUAAUCAUAUCAUUACUAAAUAAUUUCAAAGCAAUGACAAGCUGAGAGUAUAACCGUAUAAUCAUGUCAUUACCGCGUAAUCUCAAAAUAAUGACAAGCUGAGAGUAUAACUGUAGUACCUCUUAUUAGUGCAAUGCAUGAUAUGAAUUCCAUCUCACAUAUAUAUGCAAGCCAUAAUCAAACCAAUAAACAUCCAACAAAAGCCACAAUCCUUUUAACAUUCGACCACAAGAUCAAUUUUCAUAUUUCCCAAACCUAGGUUCCGAAGCAUUGUUUCGAAUUAUUAAUACAAGAAACCACCACCACCUCAAUCAAUUCCUAUUCAUAAGUGUAAGCAAUUACUAAAUGCAUCACUUUCGACUCUAGUCUUAAUUAGAUUACUUGGGAUACUCAUUCACACCAUCAGAUCCACGUACAAUUUUGAUAAACUUUAAAUAGCAUGGUUAAAAUAAAUGAAACAUUUGAAUGAAACACUUUUAGAAAAUAAGUGAAGAUGUUGUUUACAAAUAUAGAUGCAUCUGUAUAUAAAAGCUUUGGCGGUUGAUUCGUAUACUUCCAGAGAUAUAAGCAAGUUCAUUGGAAUAUGCAUACAUGGUUAAUGUAUUACGGUAUAAUUAAUAAGAAAACAAUUGCAUCCCCUUCAGAUUAUAUAUAUAUAUAUAUAGACACACACACAUACACAUACAUACACACAGGCCCUUUAUGCAAAGGAAUUUCCAUUUUUUUUCAAAAAAUGGGGAUUAGUUGUGGGGCCCACGCUGCAUUGAACUUUAACGAUCCGAACAAUCUAUUUUGUAAGUCUCGAUUCAUAGAUCAUCCUUGCAAAAAUUCAAUUCAAUCCGAACCCUUUUGCCUAUUUAAUUAUCAAGAUAAAAUUUCAUUGUUUCUUAUAUAACAAAGUAUUCGUUAAUUUCUUUGAACUCAAUUAGAUAUCUUAAACAUUUCCGAUUUGGCUAAUAUUUUGCAAAGAUGAUCUAUGUGGUGCAACUUGAAAAAUAGACGAUUUCGAUUGUUAAAGUUCGAUGUGGUGUGAACCCUACAAUUAAUCUUCAUUUUUAUAAAAGAAUGGGAACCCCUCCCCUUAAAGGUUUCCUAUGUAUAUAUUUGUUCUUCAGACAUAUGCAAAAGGUAAUGUAAAACCAAUGAGAACUUAAAUAGAUAUUCCAUACAUAGGACAAUUCCAUAUAUGCUUUUUCAACAUUUAUAUCGAAAAGCCAAAUUGUUUUGAGGAAAUUAAUUGUAGUAAUGGUCCCUUAACUUUUAUCUUAUUGGAGCAAUGGUCUCUCAACUAAAAAUUCAUGACCAUUGGUUCCUUAACUCCACAAAACGUGUAGUUAUGGUCAUUUUCAUUAACUCCGUCAGAACUUUUGUUAAAACAAGUAAUGUUAGAAGAAUCAUUGCUACAAUCAGGUUAAAGUUGGGGACCAUUGCUCUAAUUGAAUUAAAGUUGAGGGAUCAUUACUCCAAAUUGCUUAAAGUUCAAGGACCAUUUCUACAAUUUUCUCAUCUAGUUUCCCAUAUUUACCCCAUGAUUCAGCUUCACAUGCAUUGCACAUGACUCAUUUUGACAAAAGUUUUAACGAAAUUGACGAAAAUGACCAUAAAUGCACGUUUUGAAGAGUAAGAGACCAAUGGUCGCAGAUUUUAGUUGAGGGAUCAUUGCUCCAAUUUGGUUAAAGUUGAGGGACCAUUGCUACAAUUUGCUCAAAUGUUUCGUAUGCGAAAAUAGGCAUUUGUAAAGUUUGGCUUGUUCAUGGCAUUAUUACUUUAGUCUAAAGUAAGGCUGGAAAUGGCACUGUAGAAAUGAAUAGUGUUCCAAUCCGAAUUUCAGUUUAAUUACAACAAUGCCAUUGCUCUUUGUGUUGCCUUUAGGUGAGCAACCCAACUUCCAGCCAGGCCCAAAUGUAUUGGUUUUAGCUGAGAAGCCCGACCUUUGGUCAGGCCCAAAACUUUAAAUUACAGUUUUGCCCAUACAAAAUAACAAUUUGAUUGUAUCGGGAAGGACAAUUUUGUCCUUUUAGUUUUGGGCGAGAUAGGGGGUAACCGGGUAGAUUUCAUUUGCUGUCGUUGAAUGAAGGUUUCGGGGAUGAAGGUUGUGUGUGUGUGUGAGGGAGAUGACGAUGGAAGGAGAGCGAAGGGGAGGGGAAGGGUUCUCGGCACUGUUGCUGCAUGUGGAUUUCACAAGUGGGUGAAUGGGUAUGGUUAGAGAAUACCAUAUAGGUUGUCGGGAUUUCAGGAAACGGGGUAGGGGUCAUGAAUGAACCCUGCUGAGAGUGGGUGCCGGAUCUUGCGCUGCAUGCCUCAAAUCAAAGAUAAGUUCAUUUUUUUAUUGUAUUCUUUAAUGGUAGCUUAGCUUUUGGAAUUGUUUAGUAUGUUAGGUCCAGUUUUGGGGGAUUUAUCUUUUAGAGAGAGAGAUGGACAGGGAGAUAAAGAUAGACAGAGAGAGAGAGAGGAGGAGGAGGCGGAGGAAGUAUGGCUGUGUGCUAUUUUUGGUGUUAAUUAAUGGGUUGGUGCGCAGGGUGAGUGACAGAGUGACAGAGUGACGGAGGGAUGUGUGGGAGGGUAUGGGUUUUUAGUUCUUUCUUUUGAUUCAAUAGGUUAUACACUGUUUGAAAAACCUUUUUUUUAUUUUUUUGUUCUCGUUUGCUUUGUUAAAACCAUCAUUUGAAUUUUUGGGUUUCACUGUGCUCAUUUCUCUGUUUCUUCAUAAUUUGUUGGUGUUUGCUUCUCAUCCCUCUGUUGGUAGAUCUUUUUCUCAUUUCUUGGUUCCUUAUGUAUUCUUUGGUACAAAUCUGUUUACUUUUUGGUUGUGUGAUAAUCUUAGCAGGUGAACUAUAUGAACGUUUUUUUGAAACGAGCACAGUGAAGCAAGCGUAGAUUGGGAGGCAACCCAAUAUUUCUAUUCAUUGCCUUUUUCUGUCAUUUUCAAUUUUCUUGCAUGCUAAACUGAAUUAUUUCUUUUCUUUGUAUUUGGGUUAUGUCCACCCUUGGAGUUGAUUGCGGAAUUAUAGUUUGGGGGUCAUCAUUUGAUUUCACUGCAAAUUGGGGAAGUUUUUAGUCCAAAUGCCGGAUCACUUCAAGUAUCACCUUCCAUUCGAAGUUCACUUCCAUGCCAUGGAACCUAUGGGAGUGUGACUGGAGGCAUCGUCCGGCUGCAAGACGUUAAAGAAAGCGCUUCUUGGGAGGCAACCCAAGCUUUCUAUCUUUCAUCUUUAUUUUGAAUAAUUUUAAAUGUUCUUGUUCUGUUUUUCUCUUAUUUUCUGGUUUUUGUAUUUAAGUCCUACUUUUGUUCCUUUAUGCAGGUAAUGAUUUUGCAAUCUCUACCACAACUUCUUGCAAGGUAGUUUUACAUUCAUAAAAACGAAAGGAACAUUAAGCAUAUAAAUACAAGAGGGAGCCUUCACAAAGGCUGCUUAGGAGAAGUUUCAGCAGUCGGCGGAGUCCCAGAAGGAGGAGGCAUCAGAGGUUGAUCAUUUGGAGCUUCAUUACGUGGUACAACCCCAGAAGACGAAGGCAAAUGCAAAUAAGGAAGAUCUAUGAAUCGCUUCACAAUCGAAAAGGAACAUAUGGUAGAAAAAUUCAAAGAUGAGCAUACAAACAAGAAGGAGUCUUCAUUGGUCAGGAGGUGUCGCAGCAGUCGAAGGAACAUCAGAAAGACGAAGUGUCAGAGCUUGAUUGUCCGGAGCACUUGGUGAAGCACCAGAUGAUGAAGGCAGAAGUUGCCUCAGGAGUAAAGCCAUAAACCUUUGAUGAUCACUCCGAGCCCGAACUUCAGCCUCUUGCAGCUGGUCCAACUUCCUCUUUAUGCUUGUUGAGUAGUUAGUUGCGAGCAUGUGCAACUCUUUAUCUUCAUGCCUCAGCGCUCUGACCUCUUGCCAAAGGCUAGCCACUUCAGCCAUCAACGACUCCACUUGACGAGUUCGAGCAAGAAGGCGUUGGCCCAUGUUUGAUACUGAGCCUGCACUUUGGACGCUGAAAGCCAAAGAAUCCUGAACAGCCUGCUCGUCAGACCGCUUAGAUAGCAUCCUACUGUCUCUUGGAGUAUGAAGAUUUCUAGCAACCACUGCAGCUGUUGCAUCAUUUCUCAUCACAGUGUCCCCAACUGUAAGAGGACCGUUGGAGGAUAUGAAAGAUGGCUGCCAAAUGUUACCUGGAGACGAGAGGUCAAUAUCUUCUUCGAUAUUCAGGUCAAAACGACGGUCGGAUGGGCUAGACAUUUUCAUAGGUGUUAAAGAAAGAAGAGGUCAGACAAGUCAAGAUAGUAGAAAUGCAAGAAGGGAGUAUUCACAGGCAGAAAUUCAUGUGUGCUUUGAACAUCCUGCGAACCUCUAUAAAAAAUAGCACACAAUGAGAUUUCAGGGAUCGAAUAGGCGAGUUCAGAGAUCGAUGAAGCGCCUGCUUUCUCCAAAGCUAGGCCUACUCAGGAAUCACAGGCUGAUCUCAGGUAGUGAAGACGCGCCUGUCUCUCUCAGCCCCGUCAGCACUUGUCACAUGCAGAGAAAACUUUGAGGAAAUCACGGGCAGUUUGUCGAAGCGCCGAUUCCAACCAUCUGUCUUUCUCAGCCUCGUCAGCUUUGAGGAAAUCACGGGCAGUUUGUCGAAGCGCCGAGUCCAACCGCCUGUCUCUCUCAGCCUCGUCGGCACUCGCUUUCUCAAAAGCUGGGCUUGAAAUCACAGGCCAAUCUUCAGUUUCUAAAUUUGUUCGCACUUGUCACAUGCAACCUCUGCACUCAACGAAGCUCAGAACUCGAAGCGCCAAUUCCGGAUAUUAAAGAAGCCUUUGCUUUAUCAGACGUGUCAGCAUCUGUCAAUUGCACAUCUGCGUUGCGUAAAUCACGCGCAAUCUGUCGAAGAUUUCUGGAGAAACGGAAUGCACGUGAAGUUUACUGUUAAAUUACCCCAGGCUUGCUGACACGAGUACUAGAACAAUGCCUUCCCAGCCAUUAAGAAAAAUUCUACAAAUGUUAAAGGCAACCUCACUCAACUUUCAGCCUCACUCAACCUUUCUUCCUCUCUGAGAAUGUAUUCCCGAAGAAGCCUCCCGAGUCACUCUGUGUUUCUCAUCCCUUGGGAUACCCCUGCAAACAACCCACCCAGAGCAAAAGUAUUUCAUAUCAUAACGGUUGAGAGCAAGAGUAUCUCAUAUCAUGCUUUCUCCCUGUCCUUUGUCUCGCCAGCACUUGGUAUCAAUCUUCCGAGCGGGGACCGACUGCCUGGAACCCAUUCCUGAUUGCUUACCUAACCUUGCUCUCGAGUACUCAUCCUUCUUAUGUUUCCUCUUCGUCUACCACAUAGGGGAAGUGAUAAUGAUACCUCGAAGCAUGUGGAUACAACGUGCUGAUUCAUCCUCAACUAAGGACAAGGGAGAAAGCAAGCAAGAUGUGGGCACUUGGAAAGAUUGAACAAAGAAACAGACUAACACCUCUACCUCGUGCCUGCCUACCGAGCAGAAGAAACAAGCAGAGAAGAAUGCAGACUGCACAAUCAAACAACCCAGGAACUCUGAUAUUCCUCGCUCAGGAUUCCAAACCAGUUUGAGAUUCGCCUACACAAAUUGGUGUGUUCUUUCCUUUUCUUUAUGUGUCUUUAUUUCAUUUUAUAUUUCUUUCCUUCCAUUUUCAUGUCUUAUUGUUCAAAAAUUCCUUUCAUUAUCAUUGGGGACAAUGCUAUAAUUAAGUUUGGGGGUAUUUGGAAAUAUAUUUCGUUAGUUUAUUUCUCUAUUAAAAAAAAAAAAAAAUUUUGCAUUUUUAUUGUUGUUUGUAGCUACUUCUCAAUUCAAUGAUGAGAUUUGAUUUUAAUUUCCUUCUUACUUUCAAGAAAGUCUAAGUUCUUUUCGUUGUCUUUGUGUUAACUGUGAUUUCCAGAAAUCAACUUGAAAAAAGAAAUGUGCCUAGUCUUGUCAAUGUGAAACUUGAGCAUGAUUUAGCGUUUCAUAUGUGAAUCAUGUGAGAUUAUGUAAACCUUGUGAGUUUUUUAGCCUAUACAUGAUUGAACCAUUAUGCAUCAAUCUCAUUCCUUCUUGUGCGUAUGAUCUCACUGUACAUGUAUCUCUAGAACUUGCUUUAUACUACUCGAUUCAUUAAUCAAUUCAUGUAAUAACUUGGAAGUGAUAUAGGCCAUCUUUGGAUCGUUUGAGCCUUUCAUGCCUACCUUAUAUGCUAUGUUUAUCCUUAGUAGCCCUUUGAGCCUUUAACUAAGCCAUUUCUUUGUUAACCACAUCUCUUUACCUUGCUCCAAUAUUGGAGUUGAGCCCAUACACAAAAAUCGAUUCCUUAUUGUUUUGAGAAAGUAUUACAUGGGUUGUGCUUUUGGGGGUUUCAUUUAUAUAGAAAGAUGGAUGGAGUAUGUGUAUACAAUGAAAUGUGAAUUUGAUGGGUGAUGUAGAUUUUGAAAAUUAUUUCAAAAGAAAAAAAAAACGAAAAAAAACGAAAAAAAUGAAAAUUGGAGAGUGUUGAUUUGUUGAAAAUGUGUCGGUAGAGUAUAAAUUUCCUUUUAAAGUUAAAUUUGGGGAGUAACAGGUGCUCGAGGUUUUAUUAUUUUGCUUUCAAUUUGAGGUGGUGUGAUAUUGAGGUGUUGGAAAACUACCAAAGUGUACUUUCUCAAAAUUUUUGAUUUCCAUAUCCUUUCUUUCAUUAGCCUAUCACCUUUAGCCCCAUUACAACCGUAAUAAAGUCCUAUUGAUCCAAGGUAUUACUUAAAUAUUGAUAAGCGAGUUAGGUGGACAAGCAAGCACAUGGCGGCAUGUACAAUGAGAUUACUUGAGUGAAACACAUUAACAAAAAAUUAUGAGUGAAUGAGCGUAUGUCUUGUGAGAAACUCACAUGUUUGCAUAUGAUGAUUUAAAGGAGCUUGGAAUUGCAUUGACAUAGCUAGCUCACACAUGGCAUUUCAACGUUUUGUUUGAAGGAAAUUUGGUUAACUAUUGGAUGAUGUUUUGAGCUCUUGCUUACUUCUUGGCAGUGUAUCUCAUGACUAGCACUUAUCUCUGAAAUCGAAAUUGAGAAGUUGGCUACUAAGUUGUUGAAUCUAGUCUUAGUUGAGUGGUUUUGUUUUGCUAGAGGACUAGCAAAAAUGUAAGUUUGGGGGUAUUUGAUCACUCAUAUAUUUCAUGCAUUUAUACCAUCCAUUUCUAAAGUCUUUGUGAUGUUUUUGUGUUAAAGUUGUGGCAUUUUACCUUACCUUGUGUUAAUGUACAGUUAAUUUUAUUUUAGGAUCAAUUUCAAAGAAAAUGGGCUGAAAAGAAAAUAAAAGAAAAGAAAUAAAUGGGACGGAAAGGAAGACACUGACAGAAUAAAAGAAUGAAGAAAGAGGUAGAACGGCAGAUAGAGAAGUGGGAAGAAAGUGGAGUGCGCAUGGGAUGGAAGUGGAACAAAAAGCAGGAGAGGGAGUGAGGAGUGCGGGAUAAAAGCAAAGAAAAAUAGAAGAAUAAGAAAGAAGUGGGAGGACACGGACUGAGUGGAAGAAUUAAAGAGAGAAGCAGGGUGCAGGCACGGACAGAAAGGAGAACUGAAGAAUAAAAGAGAAGACAGAGAAGCAGAAAAAAGAAGAGAAACUGACGUGAAAGCCAGUGCGCAGAGGGCGCAGAGAGAUAGGAGAGAUUGUGCGGGAGCAGAAGCACAGAAGCAGAGGGAACAAAAUCACAGACUGACAGCAGACGCAAGAGGCACGGCAGAGAGCAAAGCUUCACUCUAUUUUUCUUGGUUUUAUCUUCUCAAACCCAUGUUUUACUUUUGGUUUAAUUUGUGAAUUAUGUGUAACUAAAUUUUAAGUAGUUAGGGGCUGUUUUGAAGCCCCGAAUAUGAUUGUAAGUUUGUUGUGAUAUUUUGUUUGAAUGACUUUUAUGAAAGGAUGAAAAUUGUUUCACUACUUAUGUGAUUGAUAAAUUCUUUAUGUGUUUCUAUGGAUGCAUACAUAGUGAGCAUAUCUAGGAUUUUAAUGCUAUGAAUAUAUGUUUACCUGCCCUUGUUGAAUGAGGACCUACAUAUGUUCUAGAGUAGCACUUGUUAAUUGUGGUUAACAUGUGAACCGAUUUCUAGGAUAAGUAAGACAAUGCCAGUACUUAUCAUGCCUUGUGAUGACUCAAACUCUUUUCGUUCUUAAUGAUUUCUACUUGUUAAAUCUAUGAACACGACAUUCUAGAUUACAUGCUAGGGACUACGUUAAGUUGAAAACGCUAUUCUCUUAACAUACUACGUAAGAAAAAGUAAUAGGUUGUGUUCUAACAUUGAGCCAACUUGAGCAUCUUCAUCCGGAAAUAAAAGGAAUUUGAAUGAAACAUAACAUGUUUGCAUGAUUAUUUGGUGGUGGAUAGCAUUUCCCCUAAUUCGUUUUCUUAACUUGUGAAUUAAAAUCUAUUGGUAUUAUUUAAAACUGGUUGAGGUCCUGUUUUGUCCGAUUUAAUUUAAAUAGCUAAUCAACUUCAAAAAUCCCAAACAUUUGUGUGAGCAUAGCUUGGUGUGUCUAGUUUAUGUGUAUAAAAUUUCGUUGCAUUUGGAUAAGUGUAAGUUAGUCUAAUAAUUAUUGUUCGGUGGCUGGUCAGUGGAGACAACCAUCCUGUUUUUGUGACAUUUUAAGUGUUUGGAUAAAACAAUUUUCUGCGGAAAAGACCCUUAUUUUCAUAUGCUACAAUCGACAAAAUUUUAGUGUUAAUAAGGAAAAUCAAUAGGAUUAUUGUGGGCUACUUUGUGGUGCGUUAUAAUUACUACCAUGCUGUCAGUGGGUGUUAAUAUCAGGUACCCAUGUUCAGUUUUUCGUUUUGAUUUGAAGGAAUUUCUUGCGGAGAGGAGCAAGGGUUUCUUGGUGAGUUCUUCGGGUUGUGCAUAUGGGUAAUUUUCUUUUCGGUUUAACCCUCUGCUUCUGCUGCUCUCUCUCUUUCUCUCAUCCCUGCCUGCUCCUCUCCAAUUGUUUGCUGUUCUUAAAUAUUGUGUUCAUUGCCUGAUACAAGGGGCUGCAGCAAUCUGUUUUAUCCUACACGGGACAACGAGGCAAUGGCGUGACAACAGGUGAGCUUGGAUAUCCAAAGAAAAAGAACAGUUGGUUCAUCUGCUGGAGUCUGAGCUUAGAGAAGUGGAGGAAAAUUGCAGGUGUGCGAGAAAUUUUAUUUUGCUGAUAGGACUCCUUAUUUACUGAUGCAUUUUGAAAUAAUUGAAAAGUUGGAUUUGAGUUAACAGCUAUAAAAAUGUAGACAUGAUUGCUGAGAUUAUGCUAUGAAAGUGGAAUAAAAAAAUGGUAGUUUAUAAUAUUGCGUACCAAUUGUUUUCUCUCUUUUUUACCAAAUGAUAAGGGUGGUGGCUCAGGCCGCCCCCCUAAGCGUCCCCACUCUUCGACAAGUUGAAAUCGUGGUGAUAGUUUAUGGGCUGUGGUCUUGGGAUUCUGCAAAUAGAAUGAAAAACAGACACUUAACUAUCUUGUUAUUAAGCAUUUCUGCAUCAUUCAGUUGCUCUUGAUUUUCGUCUUUUAAGCGAUCUUAUUUCUGCGAUCUGACUUGAGGAGGGUUUUUAGACCUAUGGUUGUGGGUGUUUUCUCUGACCCCAUUAUCCGAGAUUUGUAGACUUGCGAUCGGCGGUCAAACAUUUUGUGAUUCUUGUUUUCUCUGCCUUUCGGUCGUUAAGCGCCGGCAGUCUUUAGAUCUUUGGCAAAUCAAUUUAAUACAACCGAGGUAUGUUUUAUAACUGCUGUCUUUCAAUUUUUGUUCUGUAUUUUUGUUAAUUUGGAUGAAGCUCUAAUAAUUUUGUUUUGGAUCAGUUGUGGUCCUCUGUUAGGAUUUUCCUGGCUAAGAGGGUAUUUGCGUUUUUGUUGCUUGGUUGGUCGAUCACAGAUUUACGAACAGCUGUGGUGGUCCUGUUAUUUUUUGGUAUGUUUUUUCUCCUUUUUGGUUUUUUUCCCGGUUUGAGCACCCAUUCUUGAAGAAUUAAAAUGUGUUUUAUAGUUUUUUCAGGAGAGAUUAGAAAAGUGAUUUCAAUUUGGGAAAAUUUAAUGUUGGUUAAAAUUUGUUUAUAAUUUUUGGGAAGGAAUGAGAGGACCCAUUGAAGUAUGUGUUGUGAUUAUUUUUUAUUCAUAUUUUUAACAAAUUGGGCAUGAAUUGGUAGGUUAACUGUGUGUGUUUAUUAUUUGAAUCGGCCAUGUUUGUCUUUCUAUGGUUCUAAAAAAUUUGUAAAGGCUGUUAACUUGGAAGAAAAUGGGAUCGAGGGUGAGGGGAAAACGGCAGAGAAAGCAUGGAAGAGAGAUUUGGGAUUAGGGGUAGGAAAACAGAUGAAAAGAAUAUGAUAGAGGAAUGGGUUCAGUUCAUUUUCACUAUUUUUUUUUAACUGAUUUGGAUUUUGUUUGGGUUUAACUCCGCCUAUGUCUUACAUGGCCGGUCCCAAGCCCGGAUAAAGGAGGAGGGGGAGGGCGUCAGGUAGUCGACAGCCGGCACUCCAUGAUCAUGUCGAAUCCUUAUGAAAAUGAAUCCAGAACAAAAUCGCGCUAAAGCUAGGACGUCACCCGUAAGUGGCGCGCUGUAUGGCCCGAGCACAGUGAUAAGUGAGCAAGGGUCGCUGUAUCUCCAUCGGCACCCGGAUGCAGUGUUAAAUGAGCAAGGGGGCCAUAGAAACUUCUUUUCGAACGACUCCACUCAAAGUUGUUUGAGAGCAUAUGCUCCUAUCAACUUUACCCGGGACACACAAAAGAAGUACUUUGAUCCUAUUAGACGGGGGAGGGUGAAGAAGCUAGGACAGAAGGGUAGAGUUCAAGAGAGCAAAAUGCGUUUAGGAACGUGGAAUAUAGGAACCUUAACGGGAAAAUCUAUGGAAGUAGUGGAAGUUAUGGUGAGGAGAAGGAUAAAUAUUAUGUGCCUACAAGAAACUAAGUGGGUUGGUAGUAAGGCAAAGGAUCUAGAAAACUCAGGGUUUAAACUUUGGUAUUCGGGCACAAAUAGAACGAGAAACGGUGUUGGCAUCAUCGUGGACAAGACCUUGGUACAAGAUGUUGUAGAUGUCAAGAGGGUAGGAGAUAGAAUCAUGGCAAUCAAGAUUGUAAUAGGACAAGAACUUAUCAAUGUGAUUAGUGCGUACGCACCUCAAGUAGGGUUGGAUACGAGUUCGAAGGAGAAAUUUUGGGAAGAUCUUGGAGACUUGGUGCAAGGAAUUGCUCAGACGGAGAAGUUAUUUAUAGGAGGAGAUUUAAAUGGACACGUGGGCAGGGAGACAGGCAACUAUGGAGGUUUUCAUGGUGGCCAUGGUUUUGGGGAGAGAAACGAGGAUGGGGAAGCUAUCUUGGAUUUUGCAAUGGCAUAUGAUCUCUUCUUAGCCAACACCUUCUUUAAGAAGAGAGAAGAACAUGUGAUCACCUACAAGAGUGGGUCGUCAAAAACACAAAUAGAUUUUCUUCUAAUGAGGAAAGGGGAUCGUAUAACUUGUAAGGAUUGCAAAGUUAUACCAGGAGAGAGCGUGGCUAAUCAACAUCGCUUGUUGGUGAUGGAUGUACAUAUCAAAAGAGUAAGACAAAAGAACAAGACUUGGAAGUGCCCAAGGACUAGAUGGUGGAAUCUAAAAGAAGAAAAACAAGCCAUUUUCAAAGAGAAGGUAAUCACCCAAUGUGUGUGGGAUAGAGAGGGGGAAGCUAGCCAAAUGUGGGAUUCCAUGGCUAGUUGUAUCCGAAAAGUAGCAAAAGAGGUAUUAGGAGAGUCCAAGGGCUUUGCCCCACACCAAAAGGAAUCUUGGUGGUGGAAUGAGGAGGUACAAACAAAGGUGAAGGCUAAGAAGGAAUGUUGUAAAGCCUUAUACAAGGAGAGGACCGAUGAAAAUGGUGAAAGGUAUAGAAAAGCGAAGCAAGAGGCGAAGAAAGCUGUCAGAGAAGCUAAGUUAGCGGCUUACGACGAUAUGUAUAAACGACUAGAUACCAAAGAAGGAGAGUUGGAUAUCUAUAAACUAUCUAGAGCAAGGGAAAAGAAGACAAGGGACCUAAACCAAGUGAGGUGCAUCAAGGAUGAGGAUGGAAAGGUUCUUGCUACAGAGAACGCGGUUAAAGACAGAUGGAGAGGUUAUUUUCAUAAUCUUUUCAAUGAAGGACAUGAAAUGAGUGCUUCUUUAGGGGAGUUGAGUAACUCAGAAGAGUGUAGAAACUACUCUUUUUAUCGUCGAAUCCGGAAGGAAGAAGUGGUUGUAGCUUUGAAGAAGAUGAAGCAUAAAAAAAGCAAUAGGCCCAGACGAUAUACCAAUCGAAGUGUGGAAACUUUUGGGAGAGACAGGUAUAACAUGGCUCACUGACCUUUUCAAUAGGAUUUUGAAAACGAAGAAGAUGCCAAAUGAGUGGCGAACGAGCACUUUGGUGCCUAUCUACAAGAAUAAGGGCGACGUACAAAAUUGCAUGAACUAUAGGGGUAUUAAGCUAAUGAGUCAUACAAUGAAGCUCUGGGAGAGAGUCAUUGAGCAUAGAUGAGGCAAGAGACACGGGUUUCGGACAACCAAUUCGGGUUCAUGCCAGGGCGCUCAACCAUGGAGGCAAUCUAUCUCUUACGAAGAUUGAUGGAAAGAUAUAGAGAUGGGAAAAAGGAUUUACACAUGGUCUUUAUAGAUUUGGAAAAAGCGUAUGAUAGGGUCCCAAGAGACAUUCUUUGGAGGAUUUUAGAGAAGAAAGGAGUACGAGUAGCAUAUAUCCAAGCUAUAAAGGAUAUGUAUGAAGGAGCAAAGACUGCCGUAAGAACUCAUGAAGGACAAACCGAAAGCUUUCCCAUAACUGUAGGAUUACAUCAAGGCUCAUCCUUAAGUCCUUACCUUUUUGCGUUGGUAAUGGAUGAGUUAACAGGACAUAUUCAAGAUGAUAUUCCUUGGUGUAUGCUUUUCGCAGACGAUAUAGUGUUGAUAGAUGAAACUCAGGAAGGGGUAAAUGCAAAGCUUAACCUUUGGAGAGAAGUGUUGGAAUCUAAAGGUCUUCGCCUAAGCCGAUCAAAGACAGAAUAUAUGGAGUGCAAGUUCAGUGCAAAUGGAGGCCAAAACGAGUUAGGGGUGAGGAUCGGAGAUCAAGAAAUACCAAAGAGCGACCGUUUUCGUUACCUAGGAUCUAUCUUGCAAAAGAACGGAGAAUUAGAUGGAGAUCUCAACCAUAGAAUACAAGCUGGAUGGAUGAAGUGGAAGAGUGCAUCCGGCGUGUUGUGUGACCGCCGUAUGCCACUGAAGCUCAAGGGAAAAUUUUAUAGGACGGCAAUAAGGCCGGCGAUGCUGUAUGGCACAGAAUGUUGGGCGGUGAAACAUCAACACGUACACAAAAUGGGUGUAGCGGAGAUGAGGAUGCUUCGUUGGAUGUGUGGGCACACGAGAAAGGAUAAGAUUAGGAAUGAGGAUAUCCGGGGUAAAGUAGGAGUAGCCGAAAUUGAAGGAAAGAUGAGAGAAAAUCGGUUACGGUGGUUUGGACAUGUGCAAAGAAGGCCUACUGACGCUCCGAUUAGAAGAUGCGACUAUGGGACAGAGGUUCAGGGCCGAAGGGGUAGAGGAAGACCUAGGAAAACUUUGGAAAGAGACUCUAAGAAAAGACUUAGAGUACUUGGAUCUAACGAAGGACAUGACACAGGAUCGAGCACAAUGGCGUUCUAAGAUUCAUAUAGCCGAUCCCACUCAGUGACUUGGAUUUUCCAAGUCUCCAACCGAGAAGUUUUCCUCACUCGGAAAAUUAAGGGAACACUACCCCAACCUACAUGCUCCACUCAGAAAGCUUCAACAUACAAGCUUCAACAAAAGAAAAUUCAAAGAACUUAGCGAAGAAGGCUUUGGUGUAUUUAACACAAUACGUUGAAAUGAAGGAAAGCUUAUUUAUUGAUAUCCCCGAUAAGCUACAAAUAUGUACAUAUACAUGAGUCAAAAUAAACACACAAGAGGGAGCCUUCACAAAGGUUGCUUAGGAGAAGUCUCAGCAGUCGGUAGAGCCCCAGAAAGAGAAGGCACCGGAGGGGGAUCAUUUGGAGCCUCAGUACUGGACAGAACCCUAGAAGGAGGAGGCAUCAGAGGUUGAUCAUUUGGAGCUUCAUUACGCGGUACAGCCCCAGAAGACGAAGGCAAUAAAUGCCUUUGGAACAAACCCACAAAUCUCUGAUGAUCAAGUAAAACCUGACCAUCAGUUUCCUUCAUCUGGUCAAGCUUCCUCUUCAUGUUUGUAGCAUAGUCAUGUGCGAGCCGGUGCAACUGUUUAUUCUCAUGCUUGAGCCCUCUAAUCUCCUGUUUGAGACUCAUCACUUCAGCCGCCAAUGAUUCAACUUGGCGGGUUCGAGCAAAUAGGCGUUGGGCCAUAUUAGACACAGAACCUGCACACUGAACACUGAGAGCCAGCGAAUCCUUAACAGCUAACUCAUCAGACCGUUUGGAAAGUAGUCUGUUAUCUUUGGGAGUGAGAAGGUUCCUGGCCACCACCGCAGCGGUCAUAUCAUUCUUCAUCACGGAAUCCCCAACGGUAAGAGGACCAGUAGGGGAGACGAAGGAUGGGCGCCAUAUGUUGUCUGGAGAAGGCGGGGCUGCCUCUUCAACAAGGUUCAAGUCAAAACGACGGUCGGAGGGGCCAGACAUUUUCAAAUGUGUUGAAGAGAGAAGAGGUCGGACAAAUCAAGAUCUUAGAAGUGCAAGAAUGAAGCUUCUACUGGUGGAGAUUCAAGUGUGCUUUGGAACUUAAUGCCAGCCCCUAUAAAAAUCUGCACUCGACGGAGCUUCAGAAAUCGAAGAGGCGCCUGCUCAGAAAUCGAAGAGGCGUUUGCUUUCUCAAAAGCUGGGCUGCUUAGAGAUCACGAGGGUUGAUCUCAGAAAUCGAAGAGGCGUUUGCUUUCUCAAAAGUUGGGCUGCUCAAAGACCUCGAAGGCUGAUCUCAGAAAUCGAAGAGGCGCUCGCUUUCUCAAAAGCUGGGCUCCCUAGAGACCACGAGGGCCGAUCUCAGAAAUCGAAGAGGCACCUACUUUUCCAGCCUUGUCAGCACCUGUCACACGCGCACACUCAGCUUUGCGGAAAUUAUGGGCAUUCUGUCGAAGACUUCUGGGGAAGUAGAAAAAACACAUGAAUCUUACUGUUCAAUCACCCACUUCCCACACGCAACAAUAGCUCAUGGGUACCACAGAUAACUUUGCCAAAGUUCUCUGCCAAAGUUGAGCACGUGAAGCUUGCAGCUCCCACUACAUCGCUCUGACCAAGAAGGGUAAAAGAAUAGCAAAGAAACACAGCACUAACAAAGUUUAGACCCAUAAAUUUUGAAGGUCUAGCUACCAUAUUAUUACCACACACAGGGUAAAGGAACAGUACCACUGCUGGAUAAUUGGAAAGUCCCUGUUUGUCAACCUCUGUGCUUCGUGGCAAGGUAGACUAGCAAACAUGCCCAACCUUUACUCACAUUCGAGAAAACACUCCCAAUAAGAUUGCUUGCUCCAAAAUCGAAGAGGCACCGUCCUCCGAAUCUCGAGAGCCAGACUCCCAACAUGACUACUUUCUUAAAAAUCGAAGAGAGGGUAAAGGAACAGUACCAUUGCUGGAUAAUUGGAAAGUCCCUGUGUGUCAACCUCUGUGCUUCGUGGCAAGGUAGACUAGCAAACAUGCCCAACCUUUACUCACAUUCGAGAAAACACUCCCAACAAGAUUGCUUGCUCCAAAAUCGAAGAGGCACCGCCCUCCGAAUCUCGAGAGCCAGACUCCAAACAUGAUUACUUUCUCAAAAAAUCGAAGAGACACUGCUCCCCGAAUCUUCGAGAGCCAGACCCCCAGCAUGAUUGCUUUCUCAAAAAUCGAUGAGGCAUCGUUCUCCGAAUCAAUCGAAGAGGCGCUCGCUUUCUCAAAAGCUGGGCUGCUCAGAGACCACGAGGGCCGAUCUCAGAAAUCGAAGAGGCACCUACUUUUCUAGCCUUGUCAGCACCUGUCACACGCACACUCAGCUUUGCAGAAAUUAUGGGCAUUCUGUCGAAGACUUCUGGUGAAGUAGAAAGCACAUGAAUCUUACUGUUCAAUCACCCACUUCCCACACGCAACAAUAGCUCAUGGGUACCACAGAUAACUUUGCCAAAGUUCUCUGCCAAAGUUGAGCACGUGAAGCUUGCAGCUCCCACUACAUCGCUCUGACCAAGAAGGGUAAAAGAAUAGCAAAGAAACAGCACUAACAAAGUUUAGACACAUAAAUUUUGAAGGUCUAGCUACCAUAUUAUUACCCACAAGGGUAAAGGAACAGUACCACUGCUGGAUAAUUGGAAAGUCCCUGUGUGUCAACCUCUGUGCUUCGUGGCAAGGUAGACUAGCAAACAUGCCCAACCUUUACUCACAUUCGAGAAAACACUCCCAACAAGAUUGCUUGCUCCAAAAUCGAAGAGGCACCGUCCUCCGAAUCUCGAGAGCCAGACUCCCAACAUGACUACUUUCUCAAAAUCGAAGAGAGGGUAAAGGAACAGUACCAUUGCUGGAUAAUUGGAAAGUCCCUGUGUGUCAACCUCUUUGCUUCGUGGCAAGGUAGACUAGCAAACAUGCCCAACCUUUACUCACAUUCGAGACAACAGUCCCAACAAGAUUGCUUGCUCCAAAAUCGAAGAGGCACCGCCCUCCGAAUCUCGAGAGCCAGACUCCCAACAUGAUUACUUUCUCAAAAAUCGAAGAGACACUGCUCUCCGAAUCUCGAGAGCCAGACCCCCAGCAUGAUUGCUUUCUCAAAAAUCGAAGUGGCAUCGUUAUCCGAAUCUCGAGAGCCAGACUCCCAACAUGAUUACUUUCUCAAAAAUCGAAGAGACACUGCUCUCCGAAUCUCGAAAGCCAGACCCCCAGCAUGAUUGCUUUCUCAAAAAUCGAAGAGGCAUCGUUCUCCGAAUCUCGAGAGCCAGAUACCACAUACCACUUUUUCAAAGUGCUCUGACAGAGUUAAAACAUGUGAAACUGGCAGCUCCCACUACCGUGCUAUGACCAAGCAGGGUAAAGGAAUAACAUUACUACUUGUUAGGGAGACUCCUAUAUAUGUUGACCUCCAUCCCCAACAGACAGGCAGACCUGCAAAAAUGCUCAACCCUUCAUCAUAUCUGAGAGGGCACUCCCAACGAAGCCUUUCGAAAUAUUCAGCUUUCUUUCCCCCCGAUAAUACCUCUGCAAACAAGCUAUACUAGAGCAAGAAUAUCUCAUAUCAUCAGGGUUAAAAGCAAGAGUAUCCCAUAUCAUGCUUUUUCCCUGUCUUUUCCUUUGGCCUUGUUUUUACCUGCAAGACAAGGAGAAAGAGAGCAAUCAGUCAGCACUUGGAAUCAAGCUUCCAGCUAGGAACUGACUGCCUGGAACCCCUUACCUGAUUACUUACCUGGCAUUGCUCUCGAGUACUCAUCUUCAACAUCUUAUGUUUCCAGGGAAGAUUCCGCAUCUGCUUGAGGAACAGAUAGGGCAAGUGCGAAAGAUACAAGGAAGCAUGUGGAGACAAGCGUAACAGCACACGUGCCGAUACAUCCAUUACUCUGUCAAAAGCAAAAGUAUCCCAUAUCAGCAGGGUGGAAAGUACUCUAGAUUUGAUGGACUUGUUUUGACCCUCAAAUUCUUCAGUCGACCUUAUACUCUGGAGGAAACCAGAAAACCCUCCAGCUCAGUUCAAGAAUAAGCCUGUGGAAAGUUACUUCUUCAAAAGCAAAAGUAUCUCAUAUCAUCUCUUCUCAUUUUUCUUCUCUUUAUCCUUCAUGCUGCUGCAAGAUGGGGAGAAGGUGAACAAUCAGUCGGAGCUCUGAUUGCUUACCUUGUCUGUCACCUCUUUCAGCAGACCCCUAGCUCGGCGACUUGGGGGACUCCUACUACAUGGUUUGUAUCGCGCUUGACCAAGCCUGAAACUACAAGUAAGCUUCAAGUGAAAUUGAUACAUUACCUUGUGCAUCUCCACCAGUUAAAGAUACCACCCCUGGAUGGAGGAAGAGUACUUCCAGAAAAGAUGCCACAUCUACCUAUGAGACAGAUAAGGCAAGUCAAGACGACACCACACUCCGAUACUUAGAAGUUUCGUGAUUACGAGAUCAUUCUCCCACAAUAUUUCCUAAUGUCAUUUGUACUAAAUCAUUCACUUGUACUCACUAAAGGAGAGCUUGAACCUAUGUACUUGUGUAAACCCUUCACAAUUAAUGAGAACUCUUCUAUUCCGUGGACGUAGCCAAUCUGGGUGAACCACGUACAUCUUGUGUUUGCUUUCCUAUCUCUAUCCAUUUAUAUACCUAUCCACACUAAUGACCGGAGCAAUCUAGCGAAGAUCACAAAAAGCGACCGUUUUCGCUACCUAGGAUCUUAUCUUGCAAGAGAACGGAGAAUUAGAUGGAGAUCUCAACCAUAGAAUACGAGCUGGAUGGAUGAAGUGUAAGAAUGCAUCCGGCGUGUUGUGUGACUGUCGUAGGCCACUAAAGCUCAAGGGAAAAUUUUAUAGGACGGCAAUAAGGCCAACGAUGUUGUAUGGCAUAGAAUGUUAGGCGGUGAAGCAUCAACACGUACACAAAAUGGGUGUAGCGGAGAUGAGGAUGCUUCGUGGGAUGUGUGGGCACACGAGAAAGGAUAAGAUUGGGAAUGAGGAUAUCCGAGGUAAAGUAGGAGUAGCCGAAAUUGUAGGAAAGAUGAGAGAAAAUCGGCUCCGGUGAUUUGGACAUGUGCAAAGAAGGCCGAAUGACACUCCGAUGUGACUACGGGACAGAGGUUCAGGGCCGAAGGGGUAGAGGAAGAUCUAGGAAAACUUUGGAAGAGACUCUAAGAAAAGACUUAGAGUACUUGGAUCUAACGGAGGACAUGAUACAAAACCGAGCGCAAUGGCGUUCUAGGAUUCAUAUAGCCGACCCCACUUAGUGGGAAAAGGCUUUGUUGUUCUGUUGUUGUUGUUGGAUUUUGUUUGGGUUUGAGGCCAUCAUUGGCGUUAAGACGUUUAUUAUCAGAUCGUGUGUUUUUUGCUAACUUUUAUUGGUAAUUUUAAUGUUGUUCUUAUGAUUUUGUGUGGUAGGGUUUCUGAUUUUUAUCGUUAUUCAUUUGGUUUUUUGUGUGUGUUGGUUUGUUUAUUUUGCAGGUUGUGUUUGUGCUGGGACAACAUUUUCCACCUUCUGUUUGCACUGGGAUGAUUGCGUUUUAAAACUGUUGGGGUGAGAUUUACAUAUGGAAUCAUUCCAUUUUUUUUCUUCCAAAUAUGUGCAUUUAGUUCUCUUUUAUUUUAAAUUUUAAAAAUUAAAUCGUUAUUUGAGUAAAAUGUUUUAUCAGUUUAUGUUAUGUGUUGUGACCAGGAAUUCUGUUGGAUUUGCGAAUUUUGGUUUGAUGAGAGAAAUGAGGAGUUUUUUUUGUUUGAAUUUUUUAUUGGACCGAUUUUCAAUUGGAUUGCAUUCUGCCUUUUUGCACCAUUCGUAUGCAAGCAAUUCAUUGUUUUAAAUACAAUUUGAAGAGAGCUGGGUUGCGGGUUGGAUAUAAAAUGUUAAGGUGAGAUAAAAUCGAGAUACCAAGGGUGGAAGAAUGAUUCAGAAUUGGGGGAGGAAAACAGAGGGAAGAUAGAAGAGUAUAAGAGAAGGAUAGGGUUGACCUCAUUUAGAGUUUUUAUUUACUUAUUUUUUUUUAUAAAUUGAUUCAGGACUUGCAUAUCAUUUCUAAAUUUCUAACAUUUUUGUUUAAUUUGACUCCAGUUGAUGGAAAACAGAGCUCUUACUCCUAUCAAUCAGUUGGUCCCGUACAUAAAUGCAGAAAAAUCAAGGUUCGAGUUUGCAGAGUAUGCAGACCAAGGUUUCCCGAAACUACUGGUGCAUAUUCAGGCUUGCAUUGUAUAUUACUUACCUAUUAAAAAUUUGUUUGGAAUUUGCUUUUCCCACAGAGGAGAAGAGCUGACAGUUACGCUGUGGGCAGAUGUUGCUCGAAGUAUUGCUUCUUUAUCCAUUGAAUCAUUGUCUCUGCCGAUCAUUGUGGUUUUCACAAGUUUAAAGGUCAAGCUGUACCUAGGUAUUUGACUUAGUUAAAAACUAAUCUAUUUACUAUUAAUUUUUCUAUUAUAUUCAAACGUUAUUUAAUAUAUACUCUACUAAUAUUUUCUUAACAUGUCACACAAACAUAUUCACUUCUUUUGAUCAAUUUUUUACAGCGUUUCAUAUAAAAGCUAACAUUUAGUUGAAAUUGAUUAGCAACUCUUUUCUUGCAUGUAUACAUACGAAUUAAACAAUAGUAUUAAACUAUUUGUUAUCAUUCUCAGUUUUUGUUUUAGAAUUAGAUUAAUAUAUUUAACCUGUUUUAGAAUUAGAAUUAUUUGGUAUCACUCUCAGUAUUUGUUUUAGAAUUAGAAUUAGAUUAAUAUACUGAGAUUAUUUAGACAAAUCUAGCAUUUUCUCAAAAUAUUUGACUUUUAAACUUAGAUUAAUAUAUUUAGCAGUUUUUUAACAUGCAAUUUUUCAUUAAUUUUUCAACACACAGACAAGAUAGUCUUGAACACCAUUGGUUCAUCACUUUUCUUCAUUGAUCUAGAUAUUCUGGAAGUAAAUUCAUACAAAUCAGUGUAAGUGUGUUUACUUUGUUUAAAAAAAUAUUAUAUGCUCUCACAAUAAAAGAAGGGCUAUUCUCACAAAAUUUAUGAACUAAUGUUCUGUUUUAACCUCUACAGCUUUUCCAAAUGCACAGAACCUCUAAAAAUACUGCCACCUUUUACAAAACAGGCCCGUGAAGCUCAAAUCUUGCAGACAGCGAAGGUCACAAUUGCAGACGCUGAAAUUUUCAUGCCAAAAUAUGAUGUGGAGGAUGAGAAAUUGUUUGCUGUUGUUCUCUUUUCAGUUUUGCAGGCGAUGAUCUUUUACCAAAUGUCGAGGAGCUUCCAUGGGACAUGCUCUAUGCUCUCGCUUCCCAGUUGCCUCUGUUGGGGUUGGAAAAGCUACAGAUCACAAUGUAAGUCAAAAACAGUAAAGUUCCCAAGAUGUUCUGUGCUGGAGCAGAUUUAAAGGUACGAAUUUUUAAUUUUUUUGUGAAGUCGAUGUUUUGUUUUAAAAGGAGUUAUAAUGGAUUGAUUGGACAAGUACAGAGUGUUUGUUUGUUUGGUUGAAUGUAAAAAGGAAUUGGAAGAAUGAUGAAAGUACUUGCAUUUGGUUGUAGUUGGUCAGGCACUGAAGGACCGGUCAAUACGAAGUGCAUCUGUGGGACAAUAGUUGAAAGAAGGCCAGAGCAGGAAGAGAAGGCAAGGUUUGUGAAGAAAAACAGUAAAAGGUCGUACCCAGUGCACAAGGCUCCCGCUUUACGCAAGGUCUGGGAGAGGUGAAUGUCGGCUAGCCUUACCCCCAUUCUGCUUUUGUUUAAUUAGAAGAAAUGUGCAUUUUUUUUUCCCAGUCAAAUUCUGCUUUUGUUCUGACUAUUUUCCUUACUGUAUGCUGAUUUUAUUAUUUAAUUUUUGGUUUUUCCUUGAUUGGCUUGGGAAUUACAAUCAAAUGAUGAAUCUUCAGUUUACUUGGGUAAGCAUUUUUUAACAUAUAAUUUAGCUGACCAUUUUAACUGUCAGACCAUGUUGUUUUUGGUUAUCUAAUCAUUCCAAGAUGGCAAGUUAGGAUUGGAAGGGUUGCUAGAAAUAAGGAUUAUAUCUUGGGACAUUCGGUGAGUGAUUUUUCAAACUUUCAGUUUUACAAGACAAAAUAUCUAUUUUUGUGUGUAUUCUUCAAGCAUGUUAUCAUUAUUUAGGUUGUAGGAAAAAAAGAGAGUGACUUGAGGUGUUUUUAGAUAUUUUUGUGUGUAUUCUUCACAAUGUAUUAAAAGCGCGAGGCGUGGGCGAGGCGUCCGAGGGAUAGCCCACGCCUCACGCCUUACGGGACCUAAAUUUUUUAAUAUAUACACUGAGCGUACACAUAUAUUAUAUUAAAAAAAAUUAUUAAUCAAUAAUCACCCUGAGCACACAUAUAUAUUAUAAAUACAUAUAUACACAUAUAUAUACAUAUAUAUACAUAUAUUAUGUUAUAUAUAUAUAUAUAAAAUAGAGGAUGAAAAGCACAAUGAGCACACAUAUAACAAUGCAUGCAGACAGCACACAAUAUAGUGCAAGGAAUAGGUAUGAGGUAGUUAAAACCCUACCCAAAAUCUGGGUUUGGGAGUAAAAAUAAAAAAAAAAAAAAAAAUUGCAUGAGGCGCGCCUAGACGGCUCCGACAACGCCUUCCGGCGCCUUCCGCCCACUCCCUCAAAACAAAGGCGGCAACCCUCAAGUCCAGCCUCACAGGGUGCCUAGGCGCACCCUGAGGUGAGCCUUUUAAAACAUUGAUUCUUCAAGCAUGCUAUCAUAAUAUUUGUAACUAUAAAAAAUAAUAUACUAUUAUACCUCUGUUUCUCUUUUCUUUGUUUUCAUGAGAAAUUAAUUGCCAUUGGCAGCACUAUAGAAAGCCAUCUUUCUCCAUUAUUCUCCGCUUCAUGCAUAAUUACAUAAUUCUACUAUCACAGUUGUCAGUCCUGAACAAUAAUGCAAGUCUAGUGGCAAAAACCACCUCAAUGAACAACUCACACACACACACAGACACUGAUCAUACAUCUCUAACUCUCUUUUUCAAAUAACACACUCUGAUCCAAAACAGGGUAAAUAAAAUGCACAUCCUUAUACAUUUCUAACUUUGUUUUUCGAAAUCCAAAAUAGGGUAUUCUAACUCUCUUUUUCAUUCAUUUCUUACAAACCAAUCAUACAUUUAAAAUAGGCUUUGAAUAAAAAUAGGGUAUAUAAUUAUAUACCUCAAAAUGCCUAGGAACCAACUUCCCCCUCCAACGAUUCAAAUUCUUGAAAUUGCCAACACAGUAAAUCCAUUAGUACUAUAUAAAUGAAAACACAAUUGAAACCCAUCAAACAAAACAAUCCCACAAUUUAAAUGAUUCAAUCCUACUACAAUUGAAAUUCACAGAAAGAAUGAAAAACCAGAACAAAACUGCAGCACCUAAAAAGUUGUCAUACAAAAAAAAACAUGGAAUGUAAAAAUAUGUUAAGAAAUCUAGUUCGUUAAUUUCCAGCUGCUAAGUGGCAUUAUGUAACUUUAGUAGUAUAACUAAUUAACUACUUAUCUGGUGGGUUGCACUUUUAUCCAAUUGGUAAGGAAAGGAAAAUAAAAAUCAACCCCUUGGUCUUAGUUGUGGCUGCAAAGUGCAGGCCACCACCAAGUCUCAGUGUUUGUGUUUUAGCAAAACACUUAAAUAAAUUAAAUUCUGAAACGUAAAUUAUAUUCCUAUAACUUUAAGAUGCACAUAUAGUAUUGUUGAAGUCGAACUGAAAGCACUGACAAUUCCAAGCAACAAAGCAGCAAUUAUUAAGAGCCAAAACUCAUUCCUAGUCUCCUCAUCCUGGUACUCAACUCCGUAAUCUUCUGUCAGCAUCAUUGACUGAAAUUAGGAGAGAAAAAGAAAAGGAAUUUCAGAAAUUGUCUAUGAAGCAAAGGAUACUGCAGUUACUUCAAGACAUGUAAAUUGCAUAUGUAUAAAGUAAUUUUCUACAUAAAGUAAUGAGGCAUAACUUUCUCUCUCCUCUUCAAACCCUAAACAGAGCAAAGCAAACUUUACAGAGAUUAGAAUGAGAACUGGAACUAAUCGAACAAUGACUGAAAAGUAACAUACUUGAGGAGUGAAUGAUUUAGUGUUUCCAUCAUCGGAAGCCGGAGUAAGUCGCUAAGAGAGGUCGCAAACAGCCCAAAGGGACAAACCCAGAUCCCCGGCCCCGAUCCAUACCCUUCCCCCUCAAAUCCCGACGGCCCCCAUACUUUUCUCUGACUGUACCCCCUCUCCCACUCAUGAAAUCGAGGAUCUGUCGCAAUGGUACUGAGAUCCCCACUCCUCCCUCUCCCUUUCUCUCUGUCGCUCUGUCUCCCUCUCCCUCUGUCUGUCUAUCUUUAUCCCAGAGCGGCAUGGCCUCCCAUCCCUGAAACCCUCACCGAAAGUUGGCAAUUUUGUAAAUAACUUGAAAUCCACCAACAGCAGGGGUAGAGAAUUGAAACAAACAUUUAGGCUCGUUCGAUAACCAUUUAGGCCAAAACUGAGCACACCUAAACCAUUCCUACUCGUGCCAAAUGUUAGUGGGGAAGCAAGAUGAUGACUUUAUUAUUCAAAACCAAAAGAAAAAAAGAGAGAAAACAAAAUAACAAAUGUAAUGGUUGUAGUGUAAAAGCUGAGAACGUAAAUAAACAUGCAGGGAAAAAAAUUGAAGAUACAAAGUAGCUGCAUCAUGAACACUUACUCCAAUUAGACGCAAAAAGUGAUGGUGAUGAGAAGAGAGAGAAAAUGCAGUCGUUUUGAUUUUUCUGGCUUUUAAAGGGAGCAGCUUUCUUCGACCACCAAAAAAAGGAAGCUGCUUUUCGUGUGGUUGUGAUUUCCUGAGUGUAUGUGAGCGGGUCUAUGGCACUUGCACUGUUUGUGUCGGUUACGGUAACCGGGCGAGCUGGACACGGCAGCGUGGGACUGAAUUCGGAGAGGUGAGAAAAAUUAAAAACACAAAAAGAAGGUGUUCAUUUUGUCACAUU